rnacentral:lncRNA from 1 species
CUAUUUCGAAGUUUUUUAACCAUCUCCUUCAUCAGAACAAGGUGGAUUUCAUUGAACAGUUCAAUGAGAAGCUUGUUGUCAAACAAAGGAACAAGACCACCAAAUUCUUGAUGUAAGUUGUUUUUUGUCUUAUAUUUGUAUAUUACUUUGUAGCAUGUUUAGCACGAAGAUUAGUUAGCAAUGAACUGUAAUGAAGAAAGAAAGUGGAGUUAACAACCUUAUUCGGUCAUUUCCCAUUUUGCGCACCAAACAUGCACUUGAUGUUUACAUCCUAUAAAAUCUAUACGAGUCCGCAACUUGGACUUAAAGUUAGUAGAAGUGAAUUCCUGUUAAAAUAUUUUGUACAUGUACAUAAGGCGUUCCUUUUUCAUUUGCUAUUUUCAUCCGUCCUCCCACAUUUUUCAACACUAAAAUCAUAUGGCUUAAUCAAUUUCAGCACGAGUAAAAAAAAUAUUACACACGGCUUCAUCUUCAUCAACUUUUCCCCUAUGAUAAUAUACAGGUUUCACUUCUUUUUGUGCUCAUAUUUUUGUUUAGGUUUGGCAAUUAGAUAAGCUCAGCUGCUUUUAUUUCUUUCUCGUCCAUUUUUUUAGUCUAGGUAUAAAUAUGUUUCCGUGUAUGCUAUGGGGUUGUGAGACAUGAAUAUUGAAUCAAUUGGAAACAUGCACCAAACAUCUUCACAUCUUGUAAAAUCCAAUAUCUUUUCCAUAUACAAUUUCACAAUUCUUCUGUGUCUUUUGCCUCUACAAAAACCGCUCUCUAUAUUUCUCUCCUUGGUUCAGCCAAGUUAAAUGGUGAAUUUUUUUAUUUUUUAUUUAUUUUGCCUGAAAAUUUUAUGUGAGAGUGCACAGGUGUAUGAGACUAUGGAUGUUGGUUAAGUGUGUAUUUAUAUGAGAAAUAGUGAGAGAGAUUGAGAAAUAGUAGUGAUAUGCACCAAACAUGCACUAAACUUGCACUUAUGUUGACAUCAUGUGGAAUCUAUUACCUUUUGUGUACACAGGUACACAAUUCCAAGUAAAUAGAAGUUAUUACAAAUGAUAAUUGUCGUCAAAUGUAACACUCCAAAUUUUCAUAAACUUUGGAGUGCUACCAAAAAAUGCACUUUUCUUUGUGUUAAAGGCAGAACGAUGAAAUAAAAUUCUUUAUAAAAAAAUAACUGGAACAUUCAUAAAUCUAAAUGAAAUCAUUGAAAUCGUAUCUUUGAAAAAAAAAAAUAAACACGCAACUAAUUAAAUAACACGUUUUUGAACAAAUUAAACUAACUAACAAAUUGAAAAAUAGAAAACUUAAUGCUUUUAUUUUUAUUUUUAUUUUGAAUUAUCUUUGCAGCCCGUAUCACUAUCCCCCACCAUUUCAACUGACCUGUAAAUUUUUUUGUAAGAGGGAGUAUUUAAAAAUAUCCAGUAAGAUACGUGCAAUUUUCGUGGAUAAUUAUAUAACAAUAAAAUCUACAUUUCAUACCACAUUUCUCUUAUGGAGUAUAUUGGUGACCAAACGACAUACUUAUCAUUAGUCAUUUAAAUUUCCAAAGGAUUUCACAUUUCGUUAUGAAGAACCCAAUAGAGUUUACAUUUCGUUAGGUCGAACCCGAAGGUCCACCGAUAAUUCAUGCAUAAAUUAUUGGAUUUAAAAGUAUACUGAAAUAAAUCAUUUACACAAAAGUAUCGUACUUUGAUUUUGAAAGGUUGGAAAAAAUAAGAUCUUGCACGUAAAAAUUCUCUUCUUAUUUUUCUAUACCUUUUCCUCUCCUCUCUCUUUAUCAUGGCUCUCUUUAUUUUCCGUGAUGAAAUAAUGCAAAUUCUUGCAGUAGUUAUGGUUGAAAUCUCAAUUGAGUUUGCAUGCAACUAGAAUUGAAAAACCUUGUAAUAUAAGGAAUUUGAAUAAGAAUUGAUUUCAAAUGGUAUAGUAGUAUACUCUACUAUUGAUUUUCCUGGUAUAAUCAUCCCAUUAAAAGUAGGACACUUGGCCAACUAGUGCUUGGUUUCGAAAAGUGAUUUGAAUUGCACUAUACUAUUGGUUUCAUAUAAAUCACGUGUGGUAGGAAUUACAAAAUUAAAAGAAUUUUACAUAAUUAAUAUUGCAAGCCCCACCAACUCGAUUAACUUGUUAUUCUUUUAAUCUGACUUAUCUUGAUGCAGUCUAAUCCAAAAUAACUUUUUUUCUCGUGUUAAUGACUUCUAACUAAUUACGAGCUACAAAAAGUAUUCAAUAUCGAUAUACUUAUUCCCUAUAUCAAAAUCUAAUUAUUUGCCCAAAAUAAAAUUAGAAUUAAACUAUUUCACUUUAGUUCCUCUACUUUCAAAAUAUAAAUAUAUAGCAUAUGGAAUAAAAAAAAUUUAUUCUAUAAAAUUUUCGGAGAAUUACAAACUUUCCUCUUUAAAAAGAAUUUCGUCCUCAAAAUUACCUGAGUUGGUUAACAUGUUUUGGAUACUUGACUUUGACAUACUUAUAAUAGUACAUAACAUGAAGCAAGAAAACUCUUAAUCAUGCUAAAAGAAUGACAUUUCAUUUCAUACCUUGGAUCCAUCGGAGAGUGGUUGAACAGUGAGUGUCGCGUGCCAAGAAUUUUUUUUUAUUUUUAUCAUUGCAUGGUUAAGACUUUAAAAAUUUUACAUUGCCCUUAAAUUCCUAAUGUUUAUGAAAAUACUUUAUUUUCAUUUCUAUUAAAAUUUUUCUAAAAUAGGAUUUUCUCAAAAUAAAAGUUUUCAAAAAGAUAAUUUUUUUAAAUUUGGAAUGGUUUAAAAUAUUGUUUUUUUGUCUUGUUGAUUUAAAUACUGCGCAACCAAGUCUUUCAGAUAAGGGGGGAUCACAAGUGGACCUCUUAAAUCAUGAGCUCUUCUUAAACAGUUUAGGCAACCUUUCAAUUUUACUAAUACGUAAAUCAAGAAAAUUCAAACAAUAAGUAGGAACUAGAGAUCUCUUAAAACAUAUAUUUCUAAUUGACAAAUUCCUAUCAAAACUCAUUUUGUUGGGGCAAAAAAAAAAUGUCUACACAAGGUGGAACCUGGGCUCUGAUACCAACAGGGUGGUGGGACAUCAAGAUUGAAUCAAUUAGCAAAUGGUGGGUUUCAGAAGGAUCAAGACUAGCGGGGUAUGAUGAGGAUUCUUACGAUGCCUGAAAAAUUGACAAAGAAGUGGAGAAGCUUUCUCCCAAUGGUGAUUUUGAAGACAAUUUAGCUGCCUAUCAUCAUUAUGUCUCUCAUAUCAUGCUCGAUGAGAGCCAAAGCCAAGAUUUGACGCAAUAUCAAACAAGAGAUCUGAAGAGAUUUCUUUGAAUGCAGUAGGUAAAAGUGAUGCAGAUGCUGAUGAUGAGGAAAUUGAAAUAAUUCCGAGGAUGGUGAAGAUGUUUCCGUUUGCUACAGAUGAAGGUUAAUGAAAGCAUGAAGAAGAAGAUGGAGAGCUUGAUGUUAAAGCCGAAAGUGAAGGCAAGUCUGAGAAUACGAGUAAUGGUGCACUAAUGCCACAGUUUGAUAUUUUUUCUGCUCACAUGUAAACAUGGCCUCUCUUUUGAGAGGCAGUGAUGGAAAUGAUAGAAAUCCACCAACUAGAGGUAGAAGAGGUUAUACUUUGUUUUCACAAGCUAUUCCUAUAUUUUUCAACGUUUUAAAAUUCUAAAUUCAUACCGAUUUCAUCAGUUUUAGCUUGUGUCGAAGAAUAUCUACUCACAACUUCAUCUUCAUCAACAAUUCCUAAGAUUAUAUAUAGGAUUAUGGAAAAAAAUUUCCAUUUCCAUGACUGUAAGAGCAUACUUACAGCAAACAUGCACCUAAUGUGCACCAAAUGUACACUUAGAUGUUCACAUCUUAUAAAUUUUGAUAUCCUGUGCAUAUACGGGUUCACAACCCUAAAUUAUUAGAAGUCAGUUCGAAGACCCUUUCUUCUUUCAAAGAAAAAUUGAGUAAAAUUUCUUUUUUUCCUACCAUUUUCUUCUCUAUAGAUAAGACUCUUUAUUUUUCUAUUUGUAGUUUAGCAAAUGUGAAAUGGUGCGGACGCUAGUGGAGCCAGUUCUUUGCGAGCCAACGCUAUCGCUCGUGCUGGGUUCUCCAGAAUUAACGGGUCCUAUGAUGAUGAAGUUCAAGAAGCAGGGUUUACCUGAUCUGACUUUUAUGAAUGGAGAAAUGAACGUAAUGGAAAGUGGAAGCAGAAAUUGGAGGUGAUAACAUAGUAGUAGCUUAACUCGUGGAUUUGUGAUUGGUUUUGGGCUAUGAACCGGCCCAAUAGUUUAUAAGUCCAUCACUGAUACAUGUGGAAUUUCAAGAAUUAUUUGUGAUACAUUUGUGACUUGGUAUGUAAGACCUAUGUGAUAUUGAGAUCGGCCAGAAAAUUGUCCAUGAUUAUAUAUUUCUUCUAGUUCACUGAGAGGCCUUGACCGUGUUCUAUACUAGACUAAGGAGUCUUUACUAGGGAUGAAAAUGCCUUGACCAUGUACAUAUAGUUCAUUUAGGGGUCUUGGCUGUGUUCUAAAAUUAAUUAUGAGAGAUUUUUGAGAUCAACUUCCGUUUACCGAAGGGGCUUAAGGCCCAUGUUGGGAGUGCUUAGCCCAAUGGGUAGUCUACACAUGUAUGACCAGCUUACACAUUUCAAUUAGAGGGUACAUUUUUAGUGAAUUUUUUCAGUACGUUUGAUACGAUGAGAUUAUAGUAUGAUUAACAGCUUAUGUUUAUAUCAUGACUUGAGAUGAUAUUUUACGAAGUUAUGUGAAUGUCUCAUUUUUUAGUUUUAAUUAUAUGAAGUUAUCUUGUGAAUUAUUAAAUGAUAUGAACAUGAUUUUUGAUAAAAAUGUAUAAAUGAGAAGGUAUAAUUAUUUUCGAAUUUCUCCUCUCACUGAGAUAUCAACUCAUAUAUUUUCCUACGUUUUUCUUAUCAAGCAGCAGUUAAGUAUCUGGGCACCUUUUGAAGUUGAGCUUUUGAUUUUGGAGUCAGAGCCAGACGACAGGAUUUGCUAGUAUGACUUACUUCAUAGAAUGUUCAUGUGUAGGUGUGAUUUUGCAUCAUUUGUAGAUAGUUAUGGGGCUCACUAUGUAUGUGUAUCCAUAUGUACAUUUCAUAUUAUUAUCUGGGUGAAAAUUGAGAUUUAGGCUUAUUUUUAUUGUGUUGUGUUAUGUUCUGGGAUUUGUGUAUAGUGAAUUACAGGUUGAUUAGUCAUAUUUACAAGAGAGAUAAUGUCGAAAUUUUGUUAAAAAUAAAUUAUAAAAAGUAGUGUUUGUAGUAGCCUUGAUGCUUGAUCCGACUUUUAGUUGGUAUUUAUCAUCGGUGCAUGCCACAUUCCAAGUCCAGUAACAUUACAUGGGGCAGGGCAUGUAAUCGAUGUGGGCUAAAAUUGAUAAUUUGAGAAUCGAAGCAAGUUUGGAUAACUAGUUAAAAUAGGGGAAAAAUGUCUUGCAUCCCUUAGAAUUAAACAAUUAUUUUAGACUUAAUAUAUAUACUAUUGAACCACCUGAAACAAGAACUUGCAUACUUUGUUGUUAUCAAUUUGGAUUCAAAAUAUGCUGAAUUCACCGUCCCUGAUAAUUUUAUUAUACAGUGACUAGCAGCGUGAAAUUAAAUCAUGCAUCAACAAGUGAAAAAUAAAGAAAGCAUAAGAUUGAAUAUUAAAGCAAGUUAUAAACACGAAGAAAGUAUAUAAUUAAUAAAACUAAGUAAACCAUCCUGGAAGGGGUGAUGAUUACUCUUAAAGCACUGCAUUCAAGGAGGGAAAACUAAGCCAUUACUAGUUCUACUGUUGCAUGCUUGAUGGUUCUGCAUUUUGUCGAUUGAUUCCAUUUCCUCCCUUGUGCUAUCCUCCGUGAGAUCUCUCUCUUUUUCUCUCUAUACAUAUUUUGGAAAAGCGAUUUGAGAAUGUGACUACUUUCUGAUUAAGAAGAAGAGAGGUUAUACUAUUGUAAGUUGGCGAGUUGUUAAGCUUUCAUUUGGAAAACAAAUAUACAAACUAUUUAGAAAUUAAGUCAAAGUUAAUUAUAGAUUUCAAUUUCCAAUGCACACACAUGACAAUUAAAGGAGUGUAUAUAUUGAUUUAUCAAUUUAUAGAGAACGUUCUAGAAUUUUGUAAAAGGAAAAAAUCACUGCCUCGCACAUGGAACACACCAUGCCUACACGUAACAUGCGAAUAGGCGCAUGUAUGAUACAUAAUAUUUUUGUUUAUAUAUUCUAACAUGGUCACAUAAUAUUGGCAAAUUAUUUAAUUUUCAAGGUAUUCGAAUAAAUAAUCCAUAAAGUACCAAAUGACCUUCCUCUUCUUACUAUUUCGCUAACUUCAUUCAAAAUCACGUGAAAGAUAAUCACGUGUCAUGAAUUAAAAAAGAGACAAAAGUAUAAGAAUUAAAAUUAAAGCAAGUUAUUUGGAACAAAAUAAAUAUAUUAUGGCUUGCGCACUUGAACGAAAAAUGAAGUCAUUUAAUUAUGUCAUAUUAUACAAAUUGAAAGACAUUUAGGUUUGUUUAUUAGUGUUUUUUUUUUUUUUUUGUACAAAGGAAGAAGGCAAAAAGACUCAAAAUACCAUGAUUAUGUGGUCAACAAUGUUGUCACUUCCAUUAAUGAACAACCAAGGUAAGGCAUAUAUUUAUUUAUUUAACUCGUUCGUUUGCAUUUUUCUGUUCCUUUUUUAAGUUACUUAAUGUUAUUAUGUGCAUAAUUAUUGAUGAAAGAAGAGGACAUCGAGCAUCACAAAUGUCGACAAGGCCCCCUAAGAAGAGUCCAUCUGAAGACGUAAAUGAAACAAGAUCAAACAGGGAGAAGCAUCAUGCUUUAACAAUGAGAGCAAUAAUCAUCCACGUUUAAUAAGGGAAAACGCAGUGAGUUGAAGCCCUACCCAAGGUAGCUUGUCAAAGAACUACCACACCAAGAGCUCUAAGAGUAUAAGGAGAAGGUAAAGUCCAAGUAGCGAUUACAUUUACAUUUUUCUCAUUACAUUGCACUUUGAUUAUGAAUUAAUGGACAGUUCUUUCUUUUGCAAGAUUUGGAUUUUCUUAUUAGUAUAAAAAAAUUGAAAAAAGAAACCACCAAAUCAGGAACAUCAGCAAAUUUAUGAGGAGCAUGGAAUUAUGUGAUGCUUUGAACAUGUUCGUAAUUCUUGGUAAUAAAGAUUUGGUCGAAAACCUUAAAAUAAUCGAGUGGUGGAAUUUUCAUGAAGAUGAAGUCACGAGUAGAGAUUCUUUGAUGCAGGCUAAAAUUGAUGAUUUGAGGAUCGAAAUACGUUUGAAAAACUAGUGAAAAUAGCAAAAUGACUUGCAUACUUAAGAGUUAAAACAUGAUUUUAGAGUUGAUAUACGUUGAAGAUGUACUACUGAACCACCUCAGAUGAGAACUUGUAUCCUUUGUUGUUUCCAAAUCGGAUUCGGCAUAAAGAGUCUAGCAGUGUGAAAGAAAAUUAUGUAUCAUGAAGUGAAAAAUUAAUAAAAAUUAUUAAGACCAUCCAAGGAGAGGUGAUCUACUCAAGCCAGUCAAAAUGUAAAGUGUUCCUUAAUGUUGGGAAAACACCUCCCGAAGAUUGCCCAAAGAUCAAUCAAAGUUGACAAUAUGAAAAUAUCCAAACCACUUCAAGAACAAGGAAAUGAGGAAGAAAUGAUUUCAAUGUAUAUUGGAAGAACAAUGUAUUGGAUUACUUGAACAAGCCUCAAGUUAAUCCCAAAGAAAGAAAAAAUGGCUUUGAAUUUAUACCCAAGAAGAACAAACUCUUACUUGUAAAAUUCUAUCCAAGCCCUCUCGGUUUAUCUCUCUCAAAAUCGUGCCUAGGUCUUGUGUUAUGUUGAAAGAGGCAAAAAAACCGUGUAUAUACCUAGGCGCUAACAUUCUGUUUGGCUUCUGCACUCGGGGCGCCUAGGCGCCAUGUUUCUGCCGGGGAGGCAGAAACUGGGCGCCUGGGCGCCCGGCAGAACCAGCCCCUUCUCUUCCUUCUCUUCUCAUUCCUUUCUCUUCCUUCUCUUCUCACACUUAAUAUGUGCGAAGAUAUAGAAAGUAGGAUUAAGGAGAUAUUGUAACACUCCGAAAUUUCAUAGCAUAGAAUUAUUUGGUGAUAAUAAUCUUGACCAAGAUGGCUUUAGAUAAUUUUGAAAUAGUUGAGGGAUUAAAAUGAAAUAGGUAUUAAUUAUUAUUAUUUUGGGGCAAAUAAUUUUUUAUUGAUAAAGUGAGAUUUUGUAUAUCGAUAUUGGGCAGGAUGUAAUUGACUAGAUAUUAUUUUUGGUAACACAAAAUCAGCGUCGUGUGCAUGAAAUAUUUAUUUAAUUAGUUAGGUGAUUAUGUUAUUUUUUAACCUAUGUUUAAAUUUAUAGAUAUUUCAAUUAUUUUAUUUUAAUCAUUAAGAGAAGUAUGUUUUUGGUAACACUCCAUGGGUUAUAAAAAAAUUUGGGUGUUACAUAUUGGAAUAUGUAUUUGGCUUUCAAAUAACACACUCUUGAGUUAAAACAAGGCUCUACUAAUGAAGGAUCAAUAUAUGGGUUGAACAAUGAACAAAUAAUAUAGUUGUUAAAUCAAGCAAUCAAUGAAUAAUGUUUGGAUCUUCAAAGAAUGAUCUCUAUAAUCAAAAUAUUGUUCAACCACACUUUUGGACAUCCCAUAAGGUAUAUAUUUAUAAUGGGUAAUGUUUGGGACGAAAAUGAACUCAAAAAUAUCUUGAAAAUCGAUUUUUAUUAUUCCUUAUAUAAACACAUUGUUUGAGCGCCAGUCUAGUAUCAGGCGAGUGGCAGCAAAGUCAAUAUUUUCAUCAUAACAUUCUAUUCUGAUGUCUUAUUAUGGUGAUUCAAAGUGCAUUUGAAUGUUAUCUAAGGUACUACAAUUUUCUAGUUUAACAUUUUACAAAUUCUAAUGUUUUCUUUUUGAAAAAUUCAUUGCAACUUGUGACUGAGAAUUUGGCGCAAAACUUAAGUAAUAAUUUGACACUCCUUUGAUUUCUAAUUGCAUUUUAUUGAUCAUAUGUGUUCUUGGAUAUCUUUGGCUCCUCCAAGGACUAUAGUACCAAACCUUUAUUAUUUUGACUUUAUUUACACUUCAUUACUCCUAUUUUAACUUUAGUUACAAUACAAUUAACUAGAAGUGGACAAAUGUCUAGAACAAACCAAGCUAAUCCAAAACCAAAUCAAACCAAGUGGUUCGGUUCGAUUCUAUCAAAAAAAUUAACGGUUUUGGUUCUUUGAUCCAAGAACCAUUUUGUUUUGGUUUUGGUUUGGGUUUGAUUCUAGUUCAAGAACCAGAACCUAAACCAAACUUAACAUUUAAUUAUAUAUAUGAAUUAUUGGAGACUCUAAUUUUAUAUUCAUUGAAAAAUAGCCCAUUAAUUGAAUUAGUCUAUUAAUCGAUUUUUGGUCAUUAUAGAUAGACAGCUUAUUAGUUGUUUACACCCUAAUAAUGUAUUCAUUUCAAUCAUUUCUCCUUCACUCCAUUUCAAUUUACAUGCCUCGGCAUGCUGGUAUCACAUUUCAUCAAGUAAGUGGAGUAUCUCUUCAAGAUCGGAAAAUAAACUUGGUUAAUUACUUAACAAGUUUUUAAACUAUUUUUUACCUAUACAAGUGAACUGUAAAAUUUUUGCAUAAUUCAUUCUUUAUUGUAGUUGUGUGCCUUCAAAUCUGCUGCAAUUAAUUUAGUGAAUCAUUGCUAUUACUUAUUAAACGUUUUUAGUAUGAGAAUGAAAACUGAUUUGUAUAUUCAAAUUAUGACUAUAUUUUGUUUGUUAGUUAUGACUUUUUUGAUCUCUAUGAUUGAAAUUUGAACUUGUUCAAUGUUUGAUAUUUAUUCUUUUUUUAUUUAAGUAUAUAUUACUAACUUAAAUGGUACAAAUAUGAAAAUUUAAGAAAUGAAGCUAAAACCAAACCAAAACAAACCAAAGCCGAACGGUUUGGUUCCAUAUCUUUCAAAAAACCAUUUGGUUCCAUUAUAUAUAUAAAAAAAAACAUUUAUUCAUGGUUCGGUUUGGUUCUAUUGGAACCAGAAUUAAAUGGAAUCUUGUCCACCCCUACAAUUAACUCCUAAUACAAUUCAACAUGAUUUUGACUAUCAAAUUGCCAAUUACAGAUUUAGAAUUUGCCAGCUAUAUAAUUUGGACCUAACACCUCUACUAUCCUCCAUCAGACUUCUCACUUUCUCUCUAUAUAUAGAAUUUUGGGAAACGAUUUUGAAAUUUUGAUCAGUUCCUGAUUAAAAGUAGUCAAGUUAUACUAUCGACAGUUGGCUAGUUGUUAAGCCUUCAUUUGGAAAACAAAUAUAUAAAUGGUUUAUAAUUUUAGUCUGAGUUAAAUAUAAUUUAUAAUUUCAUGUGCACAUAAAUAAUGAUUAAUGGAGCAUAUAUAUUGAUUUUUCAAUUUAUAGAGAAUGUUCUAGAAUUUUGAAAAAGAGACACCCACCUCGCACAUGAAACCACCAUUCCCGCACGUAGCAUUCAAUUAUGUGUAUGUAUGAUACAUAGUAUAUAUUUUCAUAUAUUCUGAAAAAUUCACACAAUAUAUUGGAAAAUUAUAAAAUUUUCGAGGAAAAUGAUUUUUUUUAAAAUUUGAAUAAAUAAGUACGUAAUUAAUAAACAAACCUCAUCUCCUUAAUUUUCUCUGAGUUGUUAAAAAUUACGUGGAAGCAGAUCACCUAUCAUGAAGUGAAAAUAAAGAAAGCAUAAGAUUAAAAAUUAAGGGAAGUUAUUUAGAACUAAGUAAAUUUGUACAUCAUUUACGGCAGCUAUAUGUUCCAUAUGGCUUGCCCACUCAAACCAAAAAUGAAGUAGAUAAAUUAACAAAUUGAAACAUACAUUAGUUUGUUUUAUUACUAUGUAUUUCCUAUGUAUAAAGGAAGAAAGCAACAAAGACUCGGAACAACAUGAUUAUGUGGUCAACAGCGUCGUUGUUCCUCACUAAUGGACAAGAAAUGUAAGGCCUAUUAUUUGAAAAGUAUAAGAUUGAAAAUUACAAGUUAUUGAGAGAAAAUUAAUCUGUAUCAUUUAUUGCUGCUAUAUGUUCUCAAACCUAUUAGUUCCACAUGGCUUGCAUACUGAAACGAAAAAUGAAGUAAACUAAAACAUAAUAUCCUACAAGUUGAAACCCAAUUUAAUGUGUUUAUUACUAUAUAUUAUCUGUGUACAAAGAAAGAAAGCAAAAAAGACUCGGAACAAACAUUAUUACGUGGUCAACAACGUUGUUGUUACUUUCACUACUUAACAACCAAGGUAAGGCAUACAUUUAUUUAUUUAACAGGUUCGCAUGGAUUUUUAUGUUUUUCCACUUAUAUAAUGUCAUUAUGUGAAUAACUAUUCAUGAAAAAAGAUGAUAUCAAGCGUCACAAUUGUCCACAAGCCCCACUGAGAAGCGUCCAUGAGAAGACGUAAAUCAAACAAGUUCAAAGAGGGAGAGAUAUUAUGCUUUAAUAAUGAGAGCAAAUAAUCAUAUCGAUGUAAUAAGAGACGAGUCGAAGCCCCACUAAAGGUAGAAAUUCUCAAAGAACUACCACACUAAGAGCUCCAAGAGAAUAAGGAGAUGGUGGAGUCCAAGAAGCAAUCAUGUUUACGUUUUUCUAAUUACCUCGCACUUCAAUUCUAGAUGGACUGUUUAUCAUUAUUAUUAUUAUUAUUAUUAUUAUUAUUAUUAUUAUUAUUAUUAUUAUUAUUAUAAAAGAAAUACUUUUUUUUGGAAAAUGAAACCACCGAAUUGGAGACAUUAGAAAAUUCAGGAGGAGAAUGGAAUUAUGUGAUGCUCUGAACAGGCUUGUAAGUCUUGGUAAUUGAGAUUUGGUUGAAAACCUUAAACUAAUCUUGGGGUAUAAAAUUUUGAUGACGAUGAAGUCAUGAGUAGUGAUUCUUUGACGCAAGCUAAAAUUGAUGAUUUCAAAAUCGAAAUACGUUCGAAAUCUAGUGAAAAUAGCGAAAUGACUUGCAUCAUUAAGGAUUAAAACAAGAUUCUAGAAUUGAUAUGUGUUGAAGAUGAACUAUUGAACCACCUCGAAUGAGAAAUUGCAUCCUUUGUGGUUUCGAAUUUGGAUUCAACAUAUUCUGAAUUCACCUCUGCUGAUUUUAUUAUACAGAGUCUUGCAAUGUAAAAGAAAAUCGUGCACCAUGAAGUGAAAAAUAAAGCUAGCAAAAUUUAUAAAAAUUAGGGGUGAAUAUUACUAAAGCCGGUCACAUGGUAAAAUGUUCCUUCACACAUAUAUGAGAGAAGUGGGCUUAAGCAAGCAGGUGGAGCUCUAGGGAUUGGAAUCUUAAAUCACUUCAUUCAACGAGAGAAAACCAAGCCAUUGCUAGUUCCAGUGUUGCAUGCUUGACGGUUCUACAUUACGUCGGUUGAUUCCAUUGCCUUCCCUCUGCUAUCGUCCUUCAAAUCCCUCACUUUUUAUAUAUAGAAUUUGGGGACAAAUACAAUACAUCGUGUAAGUUAUCCCCUAACAAAAUCAUUCGUCUGCUAAAGUUAAUUUUGCGUGUCGAUAAAAUGUAAAUUGUUCAUAAUAAAGUCUUAUGAAUAUUACAAAGGAGAAGACCCUAUUUAUAGGGCUACAAAUAACUGUAAAAGGAAAUAACGUAAAAGGAAAGAUUGUGUAAUAAUUACACAAUCAAUUAUUAAGGAAAAUAAUCCUACACUAUUGGAAAAUUAUCAUAGAUAAAUAUUGAUCCAAUAUAUUAUUGUACUCUACUAACCACGAAACGAUAUUGAUUUUUCCUACAAAUUAUAUCAUGGGCUAAAUCUUGCUUUUCCCUACCAAAAAAAAAAGUGCAGAAAGAAUAUUUGUAAGCUAAAAUAUAUACAUUUUCCCAACAAUUAUUUUGUUGGCUAAACCUUGUUUUUUCUCUAAAAAUAAUUUUUCGUAGGGAAAGCAUAUAUGUUGGCUACUAUAUUAAUUUUUAACCAUAUUCAAAAUAAUAUAGAGAUGUAGAAAAAAGAAUAAAUUAAUUAAGACGUGUAGUAUCAAUUAACGUAACAUUGAAUCCAAAAUAUUUCCAUUCACUAAGUAUGGUUACAUUCGGAGUUAAAAAUAAUAUAACAAAUAUCCUUUGCAUCUAUUAUGCACCUAAAAACAUAACUCUUUAUGUGACGAAUUAGAUAUGGAGUUGAUCCUCACCAAAGUAAUCAUGUUUGCCCUCAAUAGCAUUAUUUUUUCUCAUUAGCAUUAAUCUCUAUUAACAAUAGUAGAUUGAUGCCAAGACUACAAAGUACAAUUGAAUUGUUACUUAACGACUUUCGUCUUUUUUUGCAUCCUUUGCUCCAUCUUUGAUAGAGUUGCAUAUUUUACUUUUUGAGCAGCGCAUUUUGCUUCUAACUCCUUCUCCGUAUUGUGUACACUAGAAGAAGAUAUCUCAAUUUCUUGACAGCAACCAUCUCCCAACCCACGAAUUUGAUGUUUGGGCUUUGAACCUAGAAUGGACAUCAUGAUAUUAACUCUAGUCUUAGGAUCUUCUACAUAUAUCUCCUCUAAAGGGGUAUCUUCGAAAAAUUGCUGCUCCUUUACCUUUUCUACAAGAUAUUCAUAAUCUUUGAAAUGCAUCUCAUUCUACAAACAGAACCCACAGGAGAUAUAAAAUUGCCCAUAUUAUUAAAAUAUGGAAGAGAUAUACUACAACUAUACACAAGAAAUGUAGCACUUGAUAAAUAAAUAAAAACAGUUACAGGGCCUAUUUGUUAGUGAUUAUGAAUCAAUUUUUUGACCAUUAGAGGGAAAAAGUGAAUCCCACAUAUAAGUGAAGAGGUCAAAAAUGACGGUUGACUAUUGGAAGUAAUUGUCAAAAAAUUGAGUUUUGGGGGUAAAAAGUCAUAACCAAAGGAGGGCAUAAUGUUUAGUCUUUCUUACUUGUUGAGCCUCGGCUACAUUAUAAGUCCAACACUUGUUCUUCCUUGCAUAAAUGAACUUGAAAGGGGUCAAUUUUAGGAAAACAAUUAUGCUUCAUACACUAUAUUUGAAUUAUUAGAAAAAUUAUUUAAUUUAGAACAUGUUGAUGACAUAUAAGUUCACUACGUCUAUCAUCUCCUUCAUAAUGUAUGAGAAAGGACAUGAACCAGUACAAUGAUUGUACUUUUUCUUCGAUCAAUUCACUAUGUUCAGUGAUUAUGCUUUCUGCAAAGAAAAGAAUGUAGUUAUUAUAUAACAAUAUCGAGAAGAAAAGCUUUGAACUAGUAAAUAGUUAUAAAAUAAAUACAUUUAACUUAUCGGAAAUUGGAAUAAUUACACAAUUACACCCAUUGAUCUAUACCUCUAUCAAGCAUCACCAUAUUAGAGCAAUAUCGAGAAGAAAAGCUUUGAACUAGUAAAUAGUUAUAAAAUAAAUACCUUUAACUUAUCGGAAAUUGAAAUGAUUACAGAGUUACACCCAUUGAUCUAUACCUCUAUCAAGCAUUCCCAUAUUAGAGUUAUUGCACAAAAAAGCCACUGAUAUUAGCCAUAUAUAUAUAUUCUCAAAAUGAGAUAUUUGAUCAUGAAUGGAAAGUUAUUUCUUCUAGAAUUAAUAGAAGAAAUGAAUUUAAAACUAAUCAGUUUACUGAUGUCAGAAUUUUUAGAAAAAAAUUUCGAAAAACUUUUUUCAAAAGAAGAAAUAGAAUCUUUUUAGGAAGAUUUUUUUAAAUUUCCCAAAGAAUAAAAUUUUUUAAGUGGGCAUAUUUCUAAGUUUUUAAUAAAAUACUCACUUCAAAAAAAAAAGAAAAAGAAAAAACUAUUCAAAAUACAAAUACUCCAAAAAAAGAUUUGGAAAACUUCUUCUAAUAAAUCUAUUCAAUCAUCUCAUCCUCCUUUGCAAGAGAUAGUAGAUGGAAAUACUGAAAUUCUUUCUUCUCAUCUUAAAAAGAUAUCUGAAGACCUGAUGAAUCUCAAGUUGCUGCUAAAGAUAUAAAAAAUAUUCAAUCUCAAAAUAAUUAAACUAAUGUAGUUCUUUUGUUACACUUCACUCGUUUAUAGUCAAAGUCAAGAAAUGAUAUAAUCAAAGUUAGGUAAUUCAACUUGUCAAAGUCAAAGCCAAAUAAGGACUUAAGUUGUAGAAAAGAUUUCAUGGGGCCUAAUUUAUAAUUACUCAUACUUAAAAAGGGUCAGAAAUAAUACCAAAUAUGAAUUUAGAGAUUUAAUGUUUUAUUAUUAUACUUAAAGGACUAAAUGUUAUAUUAUAUGAAGAUUUGGGACUUGAGUUGCAAUUAUACAAUAUAAAAGGAUAAGUAAUCCCUUUCUGUCAUUUAGGGAGACAAUUUCAUAUACUAGAAGUCUACAGAAACGAAGCAGAAGAGAAGGAAGGAAGGAAGAAAAAAGAAAAACAAGAAGAGCAGGAAGAAAAAGAGGUUAUUGAGGAAGAUGAAAUAUGGACUCAAAUAUAAGGUUCUUCAUUUCUUCUAUUCCAAGAGGUAAGAAAACACAUUGUUGUUCAAUAUUGCUAAAUUUGACUUUGUAAUUAAUGGCUUGUCUUUAAAGAUUUGGAAGAGAGAUUAGGUAAUGGAGUUGAAUAUUUGUUUAAGUAAAAUUUUGAAAUGGGUUUAUGAGAUAAAGGCAUUCUUCCAUUUUCUUGUGAUUUUGUGGUGCUAAAACGAUUAAUGUAAGGAUUUGAAGUUGGAUUUAUCAAUUUUAGAGCAAUUUUAAGCUAUUUUCGAGCAAUUGUAGUACACAAGUGUUAAUUCCGAAAUUUUGCCCCCCGAAAAGUGCUAUUUCUAUUAAUGGUUUUGAUGCCAGAUUUCAAUAUAUUCUGGAACUUUAGUGCUAAUUUUGUCAAACCUUGGAUUUCCAGAUUUUUAAAUGUUUGAAUGAAUUUAUAUGACAUAUAUUGAAGUCUAUGUAUUGGACUAACUAUGUAUAAAGUUUGUAUAGUAUAUGUAUAAGGUAGUGAUUUUAUGAAAUUAUAGUGAUUUAAUGGAAUUGAUGAUGUUUCGUGAUUUGUUAGUAAAUAAUUGAAGAGAUGAAAAUUUAAAGAACGAUCGUGCUACCUGCACAGGCUCUUUUGCACAGAGCUUGUAUAGGUGCACACACAUGGGGUGUACCCCACACAUGGGGUCCACAUGUGGAGUCCAUCUCCAUGUGAGAGCCCCUGACAAAUCUUAAAUAUCACUUUGUUUAUCUUCAACGUGUAGGUUAACUUCUCCCUCUUACAGUGGUCUACCCCCAUUUAGUUUCUCCAUAUUUGUAUAAAUAUGAGAUCCAUAUUUGGUAGCUAAUACCUGAGAAGCUAAUGAAAUAGACAUAAACCUUGCAAUAUUUCUUCCAAUGAGCUUUCAUUCUAUAACAAAGACAAGGAUCAUUAGAUUUGAUAUUGUCCUUUGCUCAGACUGUUUUAACCAUAUUGAAUGCUUUCUCAAAGUCCCUUUAGAUUUCCUCUUAACACUCUUAGAGGAAUCAAUGGUUUGCCCACUACCAAUUUUGAUAAAGGGCUUAACAGUCCUAAGCAUGUUAAACAACUUAAUGAGUAUGCAUUCAAGCUUAUUCAUAUCAUAAUUCAUAAUUAUUAUGAAUAACUAUAUAACAGAGAUUGCAGAGCUAAGUCAAUACUUAGUUCAUAGUUAAUGAUUGAACUCAAUUGAGACACUUCUCAUGUCAAUCAUCUUCAAUACAUGAGGAUUGACUGAAGAUUCUUUUGUCACUUUGCAUCGGUAUAGUUGUUUGGAAGUCUCAUAUCCUUUCACACAUGAUUAUCAUAUAACUUUUUGUAAUGAAGAAUUAUGUGUUAAUAUCUAUACUCUCAAGUUGUUUUUGUAACUCAGGUGACAUAGUUGCAGAUAUUACAUACGUUGCAGUACUAUUAUCAUCACUGCAUUUAUUAUAGCAGCCACCUCUCCUUAAUCGAGUCAUCACCAGGUGUCUCUGAAAAAUGGCUACUUAAGGACAAUCAACUUUCUGAUGCUUGAGAACAAUUCUCAAAUUACAGUGUCAAUCAAGAAGAUUCAGCUUAGUUGUUGGCAUCCAGUAUGCCAUUUAAAACAUAUGGUUACUCAGGAUUCAAUAUAAAUGUAAAUGACGAAAAGGAAAAGAAUAAUAUAUAAAAUGCGACAUGUUAAAUUAAUUAUGCUCCCACUGUUUAAUUAAAAUUUAUGACCCUCUUACAUAAAUUUAUAGAGUCCAUACUUGACUCUCAGUGGGCUGGGAUCCCAUCUAUUAUAUUAAAAUCUUGAGUAUACUCAACAAGCCUUAAUAUAACUUUUGGGUAUAUACUAUUAUCAAUUGUAUCUCCAUACAACUCCCAGAUCAUUAAGCUGGCUACUCUUUGUUUUCACACAUCUUAUGUGUUAGCUUAAUAUGCCUCUAAAAUUUAUCUCUUUGAGUGUACUCAACAAAAGAUAAAUUUUAGUUAAGUCAAACCCGUCAUUCAGAAAUAUCAAAUAUUUCAUAGUGUCAAACAUAUCCCUAAUGGACCAGCCUUGAGUGUACUCAACAAGCUGAGACGAUUUGGAACUCUGGUUUUUCACUAUAAUGAUAGAAGGCGAUUAUAAAUGUGAUUUACUAUUUUAUGGAGGGAUUUUGCUUUCAAAGGUCUCAUCAUAACAAUAAUAUAUAUUUUAUUAUACAUCUACCAUGCAAAUAAAUAAAUAUAACAUAAUAUAAUAGUGUGGACGAUUAUGGACUUUUACUAUCUAGUCUUCCCGAAUCAUAAGGAAGACUAGUUGAUCAAUUCCUAGGGAGUAUAGCAUUGAACAGUAUCAAUGCACCAUCUCCAUGGUCUCCUCCUCCUCUUGUUUCUCAAUUAGUCCAGCUGCAACUUGUAUCAUAUACUAGUUGGCACGCAGGCCUAAAUGAAAUUGGACUCGUAGGUCCAUAGCAAUAAUAACAAUAACGGACUCGCAUGUCCAAAAUGAUUAAGAGUUCGCAGGCUCAUAACUCGACAAGAUUAAAAAAUCAACCAUUCAACACAUCCAUAUGGUCGAGUCCAUAAUUAUCCACUAAUAAAGCAUUUAUCACAUAAAUGAAUACUUAUAUAAUAUCUAAUAUUAUAUGCAAACACGUUUCAAGUUUCUAGCAAUUAAGGUCGUCUAAACUCUUUUAGACAAAUGGAUUGGAACAAUUAAAUAAUUAAUUAAUCAUAUUAAUCAAUCAAUUUAAUUAGUGAUCAUAUUUAAUUAAAAUCAAAUUUUAAUUAAAUAUUGAAUUAGAGUCCAACUCUAAUUCAACAAUUAUAGGACUGGCUAUUUAAUUAAAAUCACAUUUCAAUUAAAUAUCAAAUUAGAGUCCAACUCUAAUUUCAUAACUUAAGGCAGUUGAAUUUAAUUAAAAUCAAAUUUCAAUUAAAUAAUAAAAUUAGAGUCUAACUCUAAUUCCAAAAAGAAAUUUAGGGCGAGAAAAUUUAAUUAAAAUCAAAUUUUAAUUAAAUGUGAAAUUAGAAUCCAAUUCUAAUUACAAGAAUAUAUUCGGGUGAAUAAUUAAUUAAAAUCAAAUUUUAAUUAAGUGUUAAAUUAGAGUCAAAGUCUAAUUUCAAUUGAAUCAAUAUUUUAAUUUAGGAUAACACUCCUAAAUAAAAUAAAAUUCAAUUUAGGGUCAAAUUUAAUAUUUAAGUUAAAAUCACAUUUUAACGAAAAUAUAAAAAGCCGUAAAUUUUAAACUAAACUUUCAAUUUGGGUCAAAAUUAAAAUAAUAGGCCAAACCCAUUAAAAUACAAUUUUAAAACCAUUUUAAAAAUUCAAAUUCAAAACAAUUUUGAGAUUUGCAAAUUGACCCAAGUUUCAAAUUACAAACAAAACCCUUCAAUUUUCGAAAUUGCAAAUAUGCCCUUCUUCAGAAAAUUACAUUUAACCCCUUUUAUAAUAUUGCAAGCGGGAUCCUACAAUUUCAAAAUUUGCAAUGAGGCUCCCACCUCCAAAUCUUAGUCACCCGACUAAAAAACCCUAAGAAUUAAAUUUUUUUUGUUGGCGCCGGCAUCGCCGGUCGGCACCACAAUAAUGCCCCGUGGUAGGAGCCCAGGUGGCUCCUGCCGCUAUAGCAGCGUGAAAAUGCUGCUCACAUUGCAAGGCAGCGGUGCCUGCUGCCACUCCAGUUCGCCGCUGCCACGUCCCUAUCCAAUCCAAAAAAUAUAUUUUUAUUUUAUUUUAUUUUCAGUCGUGAAAUCAUAUUUUAUAAAAAAUUAAGAAAACAAAUUUUCUUUAAUUGCUAGAAACAUGAAAAAUAUGUACAAUCAACAUUUGAUUAUUCAAUCAUGCAAAUCAAUUCCUAACAAGCACAAAGUAGGUUCUGAUACCACUGUUGGAAAUCUACUUAACAUACACGGGGGAGAAUUAAAACAGAUUUCGAUUCCCACCAAGAAUUGCCUUUAUGUUUAGAUAGAAAUUGUGAUAAGAUUAUACCUUUUUCAGAUCUGCAAACUUCUUUGCUAUUCUUUUCGUUCCACCAAUCUUGAUUCGCCACCCAUAGCUGUCCAAUUAUCCAGCCUCCAACGAUGAUCCACACAGAGAACAAGAUUGCAGGUACCAGAGUUUUCUCCUCUUGUGCUAGCAAGAAUAAUUAUGAGAAAAACAUAUGAAUUGAAAACCCUAGCCAUGUAUUUAUAUAAGCCCAAACGGGUCUGGCCUAGUCCGGUCUAAUAUUUAAUUAAUCCAUUUAAUUAAAUCCGGUCCGUGAAUUAAUUAAUCCAAUUAAUUAAUUCGGGCCCAUAAAUAACCAAACCAAUUAAUUAAUUAAUUUAUCCAACGAUUGUUAAAUUAAUUAAUUGACAAUUGCAAUUUUUCAAUUCUCUUUUGUGUACUACCCAUCAGGUUCACGAUCAAGAUGUCUAACGACGUGAAAUAUUAUUUUGAUCUAAUCAAAAUUGAUAAAUUAAAACACCCUUUUAAUUUAUCAUCAAUUCACACUGGCCGUCCCAGAUUGACAUCUAACAAUGUGUCAGGGCAAUACAUGUGACGGGAAAUGUCAAGUGGUAUGACAAAACCAAACUCGUUUGUUUACCGUGAAACUAUAAUCCUUCGUCAAUAUGAUCCGAUCAAUUACGAGAUCUGGAAGUAUGUCAAUCUCGAUUAUCGAUCAUAUCUUUCACUCCAUUAUUAAGUCAAUAUAAGUCGAAAACUCUUUUUCGACUUAUGAGUACACCUUGGCCGAGAAUUUAAUUAUUGGCUUAAUUGAAUAAAGCGCAGAUCAUAAUCUCUUACUAUCUAAGAGUGACGAAUCCUCUAUUUGGUCAUUUACAACCUUCAUAUGAUUGUUGACAUACCCGAACGAUGUCGAAUUGGCAACCCUUGGCAGAGCAACAUCCAACACCAUCAAAGCAUGACUGUCCUCAUAUAAGGUACUAUGACGACCUCAAGUCAAAAUGACCAAUCCCACUAUCGAACGUUAGAGAUUAACCACUGACACUCAGAUAGUUAUCCAUGUGGAAUCUCUCGACGGGUCUUCAAUGUUUUGUUCUAUAACAAAACAUCCACCUGUUCAUUUAAGUGUCACCACACUUUAGCUUGUGAGAUCAGCUACUUACUUCAUUAGUAAGAAAUGCCACACGUGAUGGUCUAUCCAUAAUAAUGAUAUCCAUAUCUCCUUGUUAUUUACGACCACGGAUGAUUUAAGAUUCAAUCAAAUGUAAUAUGUAUUUCACAAUUACAACUCCUUGUGAUUAACAAAUUACGAAGAUUUGAAUCUACGGACUCUAUUAUUUAUUUAAUUGACUAUUAAUUAAAUAAUAGAUCUGCCAUUAAAUUGCAUUAAUUAUAUAUCAAAAGUAUUUAUGUCCAAAGUUGAUUGGACCUAGGGCAUAAUACUUAUAUCAAAGCCCCACUAAAGGUAGAAAUUCGCAAAGAACUUGUUGGGACCGAUGGAAACGAAAUGCAAAAUUGAGAUUUAAUGGACACCAAUUUGAAGUAUAAUACAAUAUCACAAAAUAUCACGAACAUGAUUAAAGUAAAAGAUGAAUUAAGCAGAGGAACGACGAAUUUUAUUAAUAUGGAGAGAAUUACAACUGGACAGCAAUGAUGCUUCAAUAGAACUGACAGAGGGGCCUUGUAUUUAUAGUACACUUGGUCUAGCCCUAAAAAAGUCCCAAAAAGGUAGAAAUAUAUAAUUCAAUUGGACUCCUAUUUGAGUCACACUUCUAACAGAACUACCACACUAAGAGCUCCAAGAGAAUAAGGAGAUGGUGGAGUCCAAGAAGCAAUCAUGUUUAUGAUUUUCUCAUUACCUCGCACUUCAAUUCUAGAUGGACUAUAUAUCAUUACUAUUAUUUUUAUUUUUAUUUUUAUUUUUAUUAGUAUAAAAGAAAUACAUUUUGGAAAAUGAAACCACCGAAUUGGAGACAUCAGAAAAUUCAGGAGGAGAAUGGAAUUAUGUGAUGCUCUGAACAGUCUAGUAAGUCUUGGUAAUGGAGAUUUGGUUGAAAACCUUAAACUAAUCUUGGGGUAAAAUUUUGAUGAAGAUGAAUUCAUGAGUAGUGAUUCUUUGAUGCAAGCUAAAAUUGAUGAUUUCAAAAUCGAAAUACAUUCGAAAAACUAGUGAAAAUAGCGAAAUGACUUGCAUCCUUAAGGAUUAAAAUAAGAUUCUAGAAUUGAUAUGUGUUGAAGAUGAAGUAUUGAACCACCUCGAAUGAGAAAUUGCAUCCUUUGUGGUAUCGAAUUUGGAUUCAACAUAUUCUGAAUUCACCACUGCUGAUUUUAUUAUAUAGAGUCUUGCAAUGUAAAAGAAAAUCGUGCAUCAUGAAGUGAAAAAUAAAACUAGCAAAAUUUAUAAAAAUUAGGGGUGAGUAUUACUAAAGCCACAUGGUAAAAUGUUCCUUCACACAUAUAUGAGAGAAGUGGGCCUAAGCAAGCAGGUGGAGCUCAAGGGAUUGGAAUCUUAAAUCACUUGAUUCAACGAGGGAGAACCAAGCCAUUGCUAGUUCCAGUGUUGCAUGCUUGAUCAUUCUACAUUUCGUCAAUUGAUUCCAUUGCCUUCCAUCUGCUAUCGUCCAUCAAAUCCCUCACUUUUUAUAUAUAGAAUUUGGGGACGAAUACAAUACAUCGUGUAAGUUAUCCCUAACAAAAUCAUUCAUCCACUAAAUUUAAUUUUGCCUGUCAAUAAAAUGUAAAUUGCAUAUAAUAAAGUCUUGUGAAUAUUACAAAGUAGAAGACCCUAUUUAUAGGGCUACAAAUAACUGUAAAAGGAAAUAACGUAAAAUGAAAGAUUGUGUAAUAAUUUCACAAUCAAUUAUUAAGGAAAAUAAUCCUUCACUAUUGAAAAAUUAUCAUAGAGAAAUACUGAUCCUAUAUAUUAUUGUACUCUACUAACGUCCCCCUCAAAUUGAUGCUAGUAAAAGCAUCAAUUUGCAAUCGCGAACUGGAUGCGCUUUCGAGUCAACAUUUUUGUAAAACCCAUAAACCAAGAACUCAACAUUGCUGAACUUCAAAUCCAAGAACUGAUUCAAAACUCGAUAUGAUUCUCGGCAAAGAAUCAAUGUCCGACCAGAAACUGAUGACACUAACAAAUCAUCACCAAAACACUGAAUGCUCGCACCACACUUGAUGCACCGAAGAGUCACACGUUAACAAAAAUUGUGUCAACCAUAGACAACUACAAGAAAUUCAAACCUAAAAGGCUAAGUUAUGCCCAAAGAGAAUUGAAGAUUCAACCACUCCAAAGAUAGUCCAGAGAACACACUCCCCAAGAAGAAUUUUCAAAAGAAAUUCACGAAGUAUGCCGACCCACACAGUGAACUUUAUCUAUUGGGAGAACUCAAUCGAACACAUAAUUCAUGUUCCGACAAAAGCUCUAAUGUCAAUACACUAGCCGAAAUUCAGUAAUAUUGCUGACCAAGAAGCUGUAGGUAGAAGAAAUCCCACCAAACAACUUACACUAAAAAAUGUCAAUUGAACUUGACAUACCAAUUCCAAAAUCCAGCUAUGCCAAAUUCCAAAUUCCAAAUACAUUGGACCAACACCAAACCAAAUUCGAGAUGAAACUGGACAUAUACAAAACCAAAUUCUCAAUCCCAUAAACUGGGCACAUACCAAAUCAAAUUUCCAAUCCCAUGAACUGGGCAAACACUAAACCAAAUUUUCAAUCCCAGGAACUGGGCAUACACCAAAUCAAAUUUCUAAUCCGUUUGUUAUCUUGUAAUCCACCCCAAAUUAUCAAGUUUUUGCCAUCAUCAUCAUAUCCCGAAUAAUUUGUCCAAUACACUAAUAACAGCCCAAAUCAAUCACCCCACAAAAGAAACCAAAAUGCUGUCCAAACAAAUUUUACCCAAAAUCAACCCAUACAUAAAAUCAUGCUUAGAAUUUGUUAUUUUUAAUUUUUUCAAAGGAACAAAACUGAUUAAUUCUUGCAAAAAUCCCACAACAAUGUUUAGCUCAUCUCUCUUUACAAAAGCAUCAAAUUUGAAGACUUGAACAGGCAACAAAAUCACAAGCUACUUAUCACUUCAAACUAUAUCUAGACAAUAGCAUUGGCAGCACUCGCAAUUCUAGAGAAGAAAAGAUCCAAAAAGAUAAGCAAGAAAAGUUCCCACAUAUCAUAGACCCAAUUAAUCACAAGCAUACAAUUCACAAAAUCCAUGAACCCAACAUCAUAGCCCAACUUAUUACCCCCAAGCCCAACCAUCCAUAUAACGCAGCCCAAAAUACCAAACCCAAAAUAAUAACCUAAAGCCUUAACCUAAUAGCCCAUAACCUAAUUAGCCCGACCCAUAAUAAAGCCCAACUAACAAUGACCCAUCUAAUCGGUCCAGAACACCAUAUGGACCAACAAAAACAAACAACCCAUAUCUUAGUCAAAACCCACUUUCUCGAAAAUUAAAUUACAUGGCCGAACUAAACUCCAACGCCAAUUAAAUUACCUAGCCUACAAAAAAAAAAAGUCAAAUUCGGCAGACCCAUCAACCUAGCUGCUCAACCCUCAACAUUCAUCUUCUAAAAACUGUUGGCUCUCAAAUCCUUGACUCUGGUUUGCGCCACCACAAAAAUGACGAUCCACUUGUUUUUGGAGCCGCACUUUUAAAAUCCCCAAACUUGUCCAUAAGACCACUCUCCUUGCUCCCUUUAUUCUCUGAUUCCAUACUACAAAUUGGCUUAGAGCGAAAAUAAACCAAAGAUUAUUUUCGAAAACAGUAAAAAUGGGGGCCAAAAUCUGGAAGGAAAAGGUCAUAAAAAAUGAAGCCACCGUCCACUUCUUCAGUUAUAAGCACCCACCGUCCAAACAAAGCACCCACUUUCUUUAUUUUAAGUCCAACCACCCAUAUUUUCUAGCUCAUUCAGUGCUUUCCUCUCCCCUCUAUGCGAACAUAUAAAAAAGUUUUGAUCACCGAAUGAGCGGCACAAGGCCGCUCAUCGGAGAACGAAACUUUGCAAGUUUAACCCAAGAUUAAACUUGCUCUGAUGCCAUGUCAAUAAAAUUGUAAAUUGUAUAUAAUAAAGUCUUGUGACUAUUACAAAGGAGAAGACUGUGUAACAAUUACACAAUCAAUUAUUAAGGAAAAUAAUCCUAUACUAUUGGGAAAUUAUAAUAGAAAAAUAUUGAUCCAAUAUAUUAUUGUACUCGACUAACCAUGAAACGAUAUUGAUUUUUCCUACAAAUUAUAUCAUAGGCUAAAUCUUGCUUUUCCCUACCAAAAAAAAAAAGGUGCAGAAAGAAUAUUUGUAGGCUAAAAUAUAUACAUUUUCCCAACAAUUAUUUUGUUGGCUAAACCAUGCUUUUUCUCUAAAAAUAAUUUUUCGUAAGGAAAGCAUAUAAGUAGGCUAUUAUUUUAAUCUUUAACCAUAUUCAAAAUAAUAUAGAGAUGUAGAAAAAAGAAUAAAUUAAUUAAGACAUUUAGUAUCAAUCAACGUAACAUUGAAUCCAAAAUAUUUCCAUUCACUAAGUAUGGUUACAUUUGGAGUUAAAAAUAAUAUAACAAAUAUCCUUUGCUUCUAUUAUGCACCUAAAAAACAUAACUCUUUAUGUGACGAAUUAGAUAUAGAGCUGAUCCUCACCAAAGUAAUCAUGUUUGCCCUCAAUAGCAUUUUUUUUCUCAUUAGCAUUAAUCUCUAUUAACAAUGGUGUAAAUGAUGGUACAACGAAGCAAGAAAAUUUACUACAUAGCUCGUGCUUAGAGUGAUGCCAAGACUACAAAGUACUAUUGAAUUGUUACUUAACGACUUUCGUCUUGUUUUGCAUCCUUUGCUCCAUCUUUGCUAGAGUUGCAUAUUUUACUUUUUGAGCAGUGCAUUUUGCUUCUAACUCCUUCUCCGUAUUGUGUACAUUAGAAGAAGAUAUCUCAAUUUCUUGACAGCAACCAUCUGCCAACCCACGAAUUUGAUGUUUGGGCUUUGAACCUAGAACGGACAUCAUGAUAUUGACUCUAGUCUUAGGAUCUUCUACAUAUAUCUCCUCUAAUGGGGUAUAUCUUCGAAAAAUUGCUACUCCUUUACCUUUUCUACAAGAUAUUCAUAAUCUUUGAAAAGCAUCUCAUUCUACAAACAAAACCUAUAGGAGAUAUAAAAUUGCCCAUAUUAUUAAAAUAUGCAAGAGAUAUACUACAACUACACACAAGAAAUGUAGCACUUGAUAAAUAAAAAAAAAAAGUUAUAAGGCCUAUAUGGUAGUGAUUAUGAAUCAAUUUUUUGACCAUUAGAGGGAAAAAGUGAAUCCCACCUAUAAGUGAAGAGGUCAAAAAUGACGGUUGACUAUUAGAAGUAACUGUCAAAAAAUUGAAUUUUUGGAGUAAAAAAUUAGAACCAAAGGAGGGCAUAAUGUUUAGUCUUUCUUAAUUGUUGAGCUUCUCGGCUACACUAUAAGUCCAACACUUAUUCUUCCUUGCAUAAACAAACUUGAAAGGGGUCGAUUUUAGGAAACCUCGAACUAUCGUAAUAGCAAACAAUUAUGCUUCAAACACUAUAUUUGAAUUAUUAGAAAAAUUAUUUAAUUAAGAACAUGUUGAUGACAUAUAAGUUCACUACAUCUAUCAUCUCCUUCACAAUGUAUGAGAAAGGACAUGAACCAGUACAAUGAUUCUACUUUUUCUUUGAUCAAUUCACUAUGUUCAGUGAUUAUGCUUUCUGCAAGGAAAAGAAUGUAGAUAUUAUAUAAAAAUAUCGAGAAGAAAAGCUUUGAACUAGUAAAUAGUUAUAAAAUAAAUACCUUUAACUUAUCGGAAAUUGAAAUGAUUACACAGUUACACCCAUUGAUCUAUACCUCUAUCAAGCAUCCCCAUAUUAGAGUUAUUGCACAAAAAAACCACUAAUAUUAGCCAUAAAUCAAUAACCACAUAACCAAACACUCAAAAAGUAAAAGAUUUUGAUUAAAAAAAUUGAAAAAGUGUGAAAUUUUGCAAAAGAGGGAUUAGGAAAAUCUCACCAGCUUCACCAGAGGGCAUGAGAUGUGAGCAGUUCUUCAUAUUCAAAAAAAUAUAGAAGCACUUGGAUUUAUCAUCUCAUCAGAUAAAUAGAAGAAGCGAAUUUAAAACUAAUCAGUCUACUGAUGUCAGAAUUUUUAGAAAAAAAUUUCGAAAAACUUUUUUCGAAAGAAGAAAGAGAAUCUUUUUAGGAAGAAUUUUAUAAAUUUCCCAAAGAAUUAAAUUUUUUUAGUGGGCAUAUUUCUAAGUUUUUAAUAAAAUACUCACUUCAAAAAAAGAAAAAACUAUUCAAAAUACAAAUACUACAAAAAAUAUUUGGAAAACUUCUUCUGAUGAAUCUAUUCAAUCAUCACAUCCUCCUUUGCAAGAGAUAGUAAUUCCAGAUGGAAAUACUGAAAUUCUUGCUUCUCCUCUUAAAAAGAUAUUUGAAGACUCACCUGAUGAAUGAUAGUUGUUGCUAAAGAUAUAAAAAAUAUUCAAUCUCAAAAUAACUAAACUAAUGUAGUUCUUCUAUUACACUUCACUCGUUUAUAGUCUACGUAAAAAAAAGAUAUAGUCAAAGUUAGGUAAGUCAACUGGUCAAAGUCAAAGCCAAAUAAGAACUUAAGUUGUAGAAAAGAUUUCAUGGCGCCUAAUUUAUAAUUACUCAUACUUAAAAAGGGUCAGAAAUAAUACCAAAUAUGAAUUUAGAGAUUUAAUGUUUUAUUAUUAUACUUAAAGGACUAAAUGUUAUAUUAUAUGAAGAUUUGGGACUUGAUUUGCAAUUAUACAAUAUAUGUCCACUUAAAGGAUAAGUAAUCCCUUUCUGUCAUUUAAGGAGACAAUUUCAUAUACUAGAAGUCUACAGAAACGAAGCAGAAGAGAAGGAAGGAAGGAAGAAAAAGAAAAAAAAGAAGAGGGGGGAAGAAAAAGAGGUUAUGGAGGAAGAUGAAAUAUGGACUCAAAUAUAAGGUUCUUCAUUUCUUCUAUUCCAAGAGGUAAGAAAACACAUUGUUGUUCAAUAUUGCUAAAUUUGACUUUGUAAUUAAUGGCUUGUCUUUAAAGAUUUGGAAGAGAGAUUAGGUAAUGGAGUUGAAUAUUUGUUUAAGUAAAAUUUUGAAAUGGGUUUAUGAGGUAAAGGCAUUCUUCGAUUUUCUUCUGAUUUUGUAGUGCUAAAACACUUAAUGUAAGGAUUUGAGGUUGGAUUUAUCAAUUUAGAGCAAUUUUAAGCUAUUUCCGAGCAAUUGUAGUACACAGGUGUUAAUUCUGAAAUUUUGCCCCCCGAAAAGUGCUAUUUCUGUCAAUGGUUUUGAUGCUAGAUUUCAAUUUACAAAAAUUGGUGCCAGAUUUCUAUAUUCUGGAACUUUAGUGUUGUUUUUGUCAAACCUUGGAUUUCCAGAUUUUUAAAGGUUUGAAUGAAUUUAUAUGACAAAUAUUGAAGUCUAUGUAUUGGACUAACUAUGUAUAAGGUUUGUAUAGUAUAUGUAUAAGGUAGUGAUUUUAUGAAAUUAUAGUGAUUUAAUGGAAUUGAUGAUGUUUCGUGAUUUGUUAGUAAAUUAUUGAAGAGAUGAAAAUUUAAAGAAUGGUCGUGCUACCUGCAUAGGAUCUUUGCAUAGAGCCUGUACAGGUGCACACACAUGGGGUGUACCCCCACACAUGGGGUCCAUCCCCAUGUGAAAGCCCCUGUACAGGGCCUGUGCAAGAGGCUUUUUCCUUUAAAGAAAUAGAAAGGCAAGAAUAAAUAUAGAAGUUAGGGGAAUUACGUGGUAGAUUUGUAUUAGUUUAAUUGUUAGAUUUUAAUUUGAGUUAUUAUAUCGUUAUUUCAGGUAGUGGCUUGAAAGUUUGGAAAUGCCAGUCAAUUUAAUAGAAUUGCUAUCCAUACGUACAUCUGUGAGUGAAAAAACUUAUAUAUUUUCAAAUAGUAAUAAGGUACUUACAGUAUUACAUUACGUGUGAUUAUACAAAUUAUUUGUUUGAUUACAUGAUUAACAUGGAAAGAUUCUUUUACUAUGAUAUAUGCAAAAUUUAAAGUUUGGAUAUGGAUUAUUUGUGAAUUGGAAUGUGAGACAUAUAUGAUAUUGAGAUCGACCAGAAAAGUACCCGUGAUUAUAUACUUCUUGUAAUUCACCGAAAGGCAUUAACCGUGUUCUACACUGCACUGAGAGGUCGACUGAGGAUGAAAAGGUCGUGACAGUGUACAUAUAGUUCAUUGAGGGGUCUUGACCAUGUUCUAGAAUUGAUUAUCAUAUGUCUUUGAGACCCACUUUCGUGCACGGAGGGGGCCAAAGGCCCGUGAUGUUAGAUUUAAUAAGAGGGUACAUUUUUUGUGGAUCACAUGUGAUGUGAUGAGAUGAUGGUAUAGAUAUCAGCUGAUGACUAUAUCGUGAAUAUGAGAUGAUAUUUACAGAAUUAUGAGAAUGUCUCUUUUUUGCUAUAAUUUUAUGAGGCUAUCGUGUGAAUUACUAAACGAUAUAUACUUGAUGUCUAUGUAUGAGAAAAAUGUUUAAAUGAGAAAGUAUAAUUAUUUUCGAAUUCUUCUACUCACUGAGUUAUAAACUCAUAUUUUUCUUAUAGGUACUAUUGGUCCCUGAUAGCUUGAGGAGCCUGGUGGUUUUAGAAUUAGAACCACACAAAAUAUUUAGUGAUACAAUUCAUUAUGGUAAAACAUGAAGCAAUAAUUUCGAUGAUUUUGGCGCAUAUUUUGUCGUAAAUCAUAAUCAGCCUUGUGGUUGAUCUACCAUCUAGUCAGCAUCUAUCAUCGGCACAAGUCACGUUCCUAGUCCAUUAGGGUGAUUCGGGACUAGACGGGUCGUAACAUCUUCAACCUAUGUGUUCUCAACUCAACAGCAUUGAAUUAAAAUUCUGAAACUGAGACACCAUCAAUUUCAAAAACUAUUAAGCCAAUGGAGUCAAUUUUAAUAAACAAGCAUGAGGCUACUCCAAAAAAUUCUAUUAAAACUCAGGUCAAUGUCCUAAAAGAACUAGCAACUUAGUUAUCAAAACUAUCAUCAUCUUUCACUUCAAAUAACAUCAAUACUAUUGAUGAUCAUAAAUCUCAAUUUAUUGAUGAUAAAAUUCAUUAUAUUUUUAAACUUUAAAACAAAAAAGUUCAAUUCUCAAAAGUUCCUCCUUAUUAUCUGAAAAAUACUCCUCCUGGUUUACUUUUUGAAGAAAAGUCCAAAAUCAACACAACAUUUUUUGGCAAUGGUAUAACUGUCUGGAAUAUUGAUGGUUUAACUGAAUAUCAAAAUUUUCAAACUCUUGAAAGAAUAGGUGCUUGCUUUAAUGCUUAUAUUCAAGAAGGUCGAAGCAACAAAUAAUAUUAUUCAAGGUUUUGCUGGACAAAUUAAUAAUCCGUGGUUCAAUUAUAUUACUCAACAAGAAAAUUUUCAAAUUGGUCAAGCUAUAAAACAUGAUGGCUGCAAUGAUAAUUUUAAUACUUUAAUUUUUAGUAUUAUUAAACAUUUUGUUGGUUCUCCAACAGAUGUUAUAGAAAAGAUUUCAAAUAUUUUAAUGACUUUAAAUUGUUCAAGUUUAUAGGAUUUUUGCUGGUAUGAUGAUAUGUUUCUAACACAAGUAUUUUUGCGAAAAGAUUGUAAUCAAACUUAUUGGAAAAAAAGAUUUUUAUCCAGACUUUUAAAAUUAUUUUCUGAAAGAGUUAAAAAUUCAAUAAAAAGGGAAUAUGAGAAUAAUAUUCUAUAUGAUAUUCUUACAUACGAAGAAUUAAUCAGUUUCAUUAACAGAGAAAGAUUAUCUCUCUAUAAUGAAAUUAAACUCAAAUCUAAAUUGCAAUCAGAAAGAUUAGACAGUCAAAGAGAACUAGGAUCUUUCUGUGAAUAAUAUGGACUUGAGAAAAUAAUUCCACCUUCAAAAUUAAAAAGAAAAAUAUUUUCAAAAAGAAAAUUUUAUUCAAAUGAAAAGAAUUUCCAAAAACCUUCUUAUUCAAAAAAUUAUUCUAAAAGGAAAUUUUAAAAAAGAAAAUUUUCAAAAAAAAAAAUAAUGUUGCUUGUUGGAAAUGUAGAAAGCGAAUAAUCUUCAAAUAGACGAAGAUAUUAAAUUUGAACUCCUCAAUCUUAUCGAUUCAGAUUAAAGUUCUAAUGAAGAAAACAUUUCUGACUUAGAACAUGUUUAUCAACAUCAAGAAGAUUAUGAUGUUGAAUCCAAUUCAAAUUCUUCCUUCUCUUCAAAGCAAAGUAGAGAACUUUAUGGUUGUAAUACUAUAAAUGUUCUUACUAAACAAGAAGAACUUAUUAAAGAGAUUGUUGAUCAAAUUGAAGAUCCAUUGCUCAAAAAUAAAAUUAAUUCUCUUUUACCUUCAAAUUCAAAAGUUGAACAUUUUAAUAUGCAAAAUGUUUUAAAUCAUUUUUAAAAUUCAAAAUCCUCUAGUUCUGAUCUAAAGUUAGAAAUCGAUUCAAUGGAAUCUCAAAUUUCUAUUCUUGAACGUCAAAUGAAAGAUGUUCGAAUAGAAGUUGCACUUCUCAAAACUCAAAAUUUGAAACAAAAAUAAAAAAAUUCUUCGUCCUCCUCUUCUAGGUCUUUUGAUGAAGAAUUUAUUCCUCCUAAUCUUCAAUCUGAAGAAGAAAUAGUUAAUGUUAUUAAUUGUAUUCAAUUUAAAAAAUGGUAUUGCAAUAUGACUAUUGUGGUCAAUAAAAAAUUCAAAUUUACUUCUAGAGUCUUUACUGAUUCUGGAGCUAAUAAAAAUUGUAUAAGGGAAGAACAUAUCCCUACAAAAUAUUUUGAAAAAAUUACUGAACAUUCUUACAGUGCCAUUGGUUCAGUAGUAAAAAGCAUAAAAUUUAAUAUAAGCUUUCAAAAGCUUAUGUUCGCAAUUCAAACAUUUGUUUCAAAAAUAUAUUUUAUCUCGUUAAAAAUAUAUAUCAAGAAGUAAUUCUUGGUACUCCUUUUUAUUGUUCAAAUAUAUCCUUUACAAGCUAAUUCAAAAGGCUUAACUACAAAUAUUUUUUGUCAAGAAAUUUGUUUUAAAUUUACUAAUCCUCCUUUUUAUAGAGAUCUAAACUCUUUAAAAGAAGCAUCUAUUUCAGAAAUUAUUAAUAAUACAAAUCUUAAAAAAAACCAUAUUAAAUUUCUUAAAGAGGAAAUUAAAUUUCAAAGAAUUAAAAAAUAAUUACAAAAUCCUUCAAUUGAAAGAAAAAUUUCAAAUUUUCAAGAACAUAUUGACAAAAAAAUUUGUUCAACUGUUCCAAUAGGAAGAAACACAUUUUUUCACUUCCUUAGAAUUCUGAUUUUCAUGAAUCAAAUAUUUAUACAAAAUCUCGUCCUCUUCAAAUGAAUAAAGAACUUUAAGACCAUUGCAUCAAGAAAAUUAAAGAUUUACUUGACAAAGGUCUUAUACGUCCAAGCAAAUCUCAUUGGAGUUGUUCUGCAUUUUAUGUCAAUAAUUCAUCUGAAAUUGAACGAGGUGUUCCCCAUUAAUUAUCACUUAUAAACCUCUCAAUAAAGCUCUUCAAUGGAUUUGAUAUACACUACCUUAAAACAAAGACCUAUUAAAUAGGUUAUUCAAAUAUGUUAUCUUCUCAAAAUUUAAUAUGAAGUCAGGUAUAUGACAAAUUCAAAUUAAAGAAGAAGAUAGAUACAAAACUAGUUUCAAUGUGCCUUUCGAACAAUACGAAUGAAAUGUUAUGCCAUUCGGUCUUAAAAAUGCUCCCUCUGGAUUUCAAAAAAUUAUGAAUGAUAUUUUUUAUCAUUUUUCAAAUUUUAUUAUUAUUUACAUUGAUGAUAUUCUUAUAUUUUCUGAAAGUAUAGAACAUCAUUUUAAGCAUUUAAAUAUAUUUAUUCAUGUUAUCAAGAAAAUGGCUUAGCAGUCUCUGCUAAGAAAAUUGGUUUAUGUCAAAUAAAAAUUAGGCUCCUAGGCCAUAACAAUCAUUUAGGAACUAUUACUCCAAUCCAAAGAAGUCUAGAAUUUGCCAAUAAAUUUCUAGAUGAAACAAGUUUGCAGCGCUUUUUAGGCUGUAUCAAUUAUGUUGCUGAUUUUAUAAAAAAUAUACGUUAAAUCUAUUCCCCACUUUUCAAAAGAUUACCAACAAACACCGACCCAUGGAGUCUCAAGCACAUAGUUGCAAUUCAAAAUGUCAAAAAAACAAUAAAGAAUAUUCCCCAUCUUUCAAUACUUAACCUGGCCUCUAUUAUUGUUGAGAUAGAUGCCUCUGACAUAGGGUAUGGUAGAGUACUCAAAUAGGUUCCAAACCAGUCAAGUCAAGAACAACUGGUUAGGUAUCAUAGUGGUGUGUGGAUCGGCCCUCAAAAGAGUUAUUCCACUAUCAAAAAAGAAAUAUUAUCAAUAGUACUUUGUAUUUCAAAAUUUCAAGAUGAUCUUAUUAAUAAAAAAAUUACUUUGAAAACUGAUUUUAAAACAUCUAAAGAUCUUUUACAAAAAGAUGUCAAAAAUCUUGUUUUAAAACAAUUUUUUGCAAGAUGGCGAGCUAUUUUAUCUUCUUUUGAUUUUGAAAUCCUUUUUUAUACAAGGAAAAUCAAAUGUUCUUGUAGACUUCCCCACAAGAAAAUUCAUACAGAAAAGAGAGAUUUGUGAGAAUUCAAAAUUGACAAAAAAAAGUUCAUGAGUUGGACAGAUGAAGUAGAGAGAAAUAUUCAAAAGAAAAAUCUUCAAUGACUUCAUCUGAAGCUCAAAAUCCUUUUCAAAAUUAAAGUAGUGAAGAGAAAAAUUCUACUCCAUUAUUUUCAAUUGAUGGCCUCUUUAAAGGAUUAUCAUCAAAAUUUGAAGAACAAGCUACUUUUUCUUCUCAAAAUACUCAAAACACAAACCUUUCAACUCUUGUUUUCAAAAAACCAGAUUAUUAUAAAAAAACCUGUUCAAGGUUCUAGAAAACUUACUCAAAUAAACCCUCUCCAACUUUUCAAUAUUUUCACAAAGGAGCCCAUGAACCCAUCUUCGAAAUGGAAAACAUCUUAGCUAAAUAGAUAUAUAUCCCUUGAUGAUUGUCUUUUAAGUAUUUUCCAAAAAAAAAAAAAAAUUGUUUCAUGUCUGCCAAUAUAAAAAAUUCCUGAGAAUAUUAUGAAGCUAACCUUAUGAAAACAGGAUCAGCUCUAAUUUCUCAUACUCCGAAUGAACGAAAUUCAAAUAAAUUUGAUUUUUCAAAAUUUAGUAUUUAAAGAGUGUUGUCAUGCGAAAACUGGGGACAACAACCAUGGGAUGAGAAAAGAAUAAGCCUUUCUAAAGGUGAAUAAUUUGAAUCUCAUUUCAAUUACUUUGAUUGAAGGAUGCUUGGUAUAAUGUCUUUUACUUUGGACCAAUGACUCAUUCUUGGUUUAUUCUUUUCAAUCAAAAUUUUCUAAAAUGGUUUGAAAAUUGGUUCAAAUGUUUUGGAAUUGAAGAGAAGAUCUUACCCAGUCUCACUCUUCAAGGAUCCAAACACUUCAAAAGCGAAGCAAAAUCCAUUUUGAAGCCUCAAGAAAAUCUUUUGAUUCAAUUUGCAGUCAAUUUGAGAGUAUCGUGGAUACUCUGCUUGGACAAUUUUAUCCUUCAAGAUUCGAACUCUGAAUAAUAUACUCAAAAAAUUAUUCGGAGAUUCAAAGUCAAAUGGUGGUCAAAAUUUGGAGAAACAAAUUGUUGUUUAAAAGCAAUUCAAUCAUGGAUUCAAGAACAAAGAAAUAUUAGUGUUCCAAAAAUUUUAAGGAAAAGUUCGAAGAAAAAUGCAGAUUUUCUCACAGAAAAAUCAAGACUUUUGGCCAUGUUCAAUCAAUGCAAAGCGCCAUUUCAAAAAAAAAUAAAUAAAUUGGUUCUUUGGCUAAAACUACAUCAAAGAAAUUAAAGUCAGUUCAAGAAAAUCUUCUCAAUCAGGAUCAAUAUCAAACCAUGCAUAUGGCAACGAAAACAUAUAUGAUGGACCAGAUAUUGAUGACUUAGUUAAUCAAAAGACACAAAAGAAUUCAAAAUGACUAUAUGACCCAGUUAUUUAGAUGAAAUGCAAAAUUAUGGAACCCUAAAGUCAAAAGAGAUAUUAUUUAAAUUUUGUCUACUACCAAACAAAUUAUUUUUACUAGCUUUAUCCACUUUCAAAUGGAUGUAACUUUAUUAAAACCACUUUAAUAAAGCUUUAUUCAAAGUUGGUGAAAUUGUCAAAAGAAAACUCAAUUAAGGGAGACAAAGACAAAAAUUGGUGAAAACUUUUCAAACAGAUGUUGCAAAAUUCAAAAGGUGCAAUAAUUCAAGUUUCUUUUUCAAAUUGAAGAAAUUUUCAAGUUCGGAUUGAAGUGAAAAUAAAAAAAAUAUUGAAUUGAAGAAAUAAUUAUAUUGAAGUAUGAAAAUUGAUAUCACAAGAUAAAAUUUUGAAAUAAAAACAUUGAAUUACAAGAUUGAAAAUUAAGAAAAUUUAAAAAUACAAGAUUUUCUCAAACUAUCUUGAGGCUAAUUUAUCUCCUGCUAAAUCCACUCAGAAGAGAUCUUGAAAUAUUGAUCUGCUUAAAUACUUGAAUUCUUGAGCUCUGGGCUUGAAAAUCUCUUCAAUUUGAAAAAUAAUCUUGAAUUAUCGCACCUUUAAAUUUUGCAAUGUCUUUUUGAAAAGUUUCCAUCAACUAUUGUCUUUGUCUCUCAUAAUUGAGUCUUCUUUUGACAAUUUCACCAACUUUGAAGAAAACUUUAUUAAAGUGCCUUUAAUAAAGUUAUAUCUUCUUGAAAGUGGUAAAGCUGGUAAAAAUAAUUUGUUUGGUGGUAGACAAAUCUUAAAUAAUAUCACUUUUGACUUUAGGACCCAGUAAUUUUACAAUUCAUCUAAAUAAAUUGGUACAUAUAGUCAUUUUGAAUUCUUUUGUGUCUCUUGAUUAAUUAAGUCAUCAAUAUCAUUGUUAUAUGUAUGGUCUGAUAUUGAUCCUAAUUGAUGAGAUUCUUUUUUAACAGACUUCGAUUUCUUUGAUAUAGUUUUAGCCAAAGGAGCAAUUUUUUUCUGAAAUUAUUGCUAAUUCCUCUGGCGCUUUGCAUUGAUUGAACAUGGCCAUAAGUCUUGAUUUUUCUAUGAGAAAAUCUACAUUUUUCUCUAGACUUUUCUUUGGAAUUUUUGGAACACCAAUAUUCCUUUGUUCUUGAAUCCAUGAUUGAACUACUUUUGGACAACAAAUUGUUUCUCUAAAUUUUGACCACAAUUUUACUUUGAAUCUCUGAAUAAGUUUUUAAGUAAAAUAGUCAGAGCUUGAAUCUUGAAGGAUAAAACAUAUCCCAAAAGAAUAUCCAUGAUACUCUUAAAUUGAAUGCAAAUUGAAACAAUUUAAAUUUGAGUUUAAUUUCAUUACAGAGAGCUAAUCCUUCUCUGUUAAUGAAACUGAUUAAUUUUCCGUAGGUAAGAAUAUCAUAUGGAAUAUUAUUCUCAUAUUCCCUUUUUAUUGACUUUUUAACUCUUUCAGAAAAUAAUUUUGGAAGUUCGGAAAAAAACCUUUCUUUCCAAUAAGCUUGAUUACAAUUUUUUUGCAAAAAUACUCGUGUUAAAAACAUAUCUUUGUACCAGCGAAAAUCCUAUAAAUUUGAACAAUUUAAAGUCAUUAAAAUAUUUGAAAUCUUUUCUAAAACAUCUGUUCGAGAACCAACAAAAUGUUUAAUAAAACUAAAAAUUAAAGUAAUAAAACUAUCAUUGGAACCAUCAGGUCUUAUAGCUUGACCAAUUUGAUUUUUUUCUUGUUCAGUAAUAUAAUUGAUCCACCAAUUAUUAAUUUGUCCAACAAAACCUUGAAUAAUAAUAUUUUUUGUUGCUUCAAUAGCAAAAUGACUUCCUUGAAUAUAGGCAUUAAAGAAGCACCCAUUCUUUCAAGAGUUUGAAAAUUUUGAUAUUCGGUUAAACCGUCAAUAAUCCAGACAGUUAUACCACUUUUCUUGAAAAAGUAAAUCAGGAGAAGUAUUUUUUUGAUAUUAAAGAGGAACUUUUGAAAAUUGAACUUUUAUGUUUUGAAGUUUAAAAAUAUAAGGAAUUUUAUCAUCAAUAAAUUGAUAUUCAAGAUCAUCAAUAGUGUUGAUGUCAUUUGAAGCAGAAGAUGAUGAUAGUUUUAAUAACUAAGUUGCUAGUUCUUUUAGAACAUUGACCUCAGUUUCAAGAGGAUUUUUUGGAGUAGCCUCAUGCCUGUUUGUUAAAACUGACUCUAUUGGCUUAAUAGUUUUUGAAAUAGAUGGUGUCUCAGUUUUAAAAUUUAAUUCAAUUCUUUGAGUUGAGAACACAUAGAUUGAAGAACUACAUUAAUAUAGUUACUUUGAAAUUGAAUAUUUUUUAUAUCUUUAACUACAACUUGAGAUUCAUCAAGUUGUUCUUUAGAUAUCAUUUUGAGAGGAGAAGCAAGAAUUUUAGUAUUUCUAUGUGGAAUUACUAUCUCUUGCAAAGGAGGAUGAGAUGAUUAAAUAGAUUUACCAGAAGAAGUUUUCCAAAUCUUUUUUGGUGUAUCUGUAUUUUGAAUAAUUUUUUCUUUCUUUAAAGUGGAUAUUUUAUUGAAAACUUUGAAAUAUGUCCACUCAAAGAAUCUAAAAUCUUCGGGUAAUUCAAAAGAUUCUUCCCAAAAAGAUUCUCUUUCUUUUUUUGAAGAAGUUUUUCGAAAAAAAUUUCUAAAAAUUUUGACAUCAGUAGAUUGAUUAGUUUUAAAUUCAUUUCUUCUAUUAAUUCUAGAAGAAUAACAUUGCAUUCGUGAUCAAUUCUCUCAUUUUGAGAAUCAAUCUCUUGUUUUGAGAAGGGGGAACCAUAUCAGAUAAAGUUGGAGAAUCAGGUUGUUUUGACUCUUCUUCUUUAUCUUUAUAAUGAGGUUUUGGAUUGUUGGUAUUAAAAUCAACACCUACAAGAGAAGAUGUUGAAAAUCUAGCAGAUUAAAAAGAAAUUCUAAGUCUAUCAUCAGAUCUAGAAGAAUAAGAUCUUUGAAACCGAGAAGAAGAUCCUUUAAAAAUCAUUUUGAUAUUUCCAUCAGAUAAAAUAAGAAUUUGAUUUGGAAUUGUUUGAACAACAACAAGAAUAGAAUUUUGAACAUUUUCGAAAUUCCAUUCAGGCCCUCUAGAUUGAAGAUUCCAAGGAACUCUCUUAGAAAUCAUGGAGUUUGAAUGAAAAUGAUUAAAUUCAACCAAAAGACUUUCAACUUUUGGAGAUGAGAAUAGAGCGCCAAUAUUGAGCUGAGUAUUCAUGAGCUUGUAAUAUAUUUUAUAUAUUACAGCAAAAGCAUUUGAACAAUCAUCAAAAUCAAGAGUUUUGUUUAAAUAUGAAGAUUUAGAGCAUUAAGAAUAGCUCCAUCAUUGAGAUUGAUAGAAAAAUUUGGAUAACAAUUUGAAUAAACGGGACUACUUUCCAGAUUUGAUUGUAGAAUAGAUAAUAAUGAAUUUUCAAAUUUGAGAAGUAUCUUAUCUCUAGGAGUUAAGAGAAUAGGUAUGUCUAAACUAAGUUGAAACAAUGGUUUAAUAGCAAUUUGUACUAAUCCAUCAUGAAGAUAUUUAAAUGUCUUUCUGUAGGAUUCAAUAAAUUCUUUUGAAAAUAAAUUGAUAAAUGCAUUUUGACUCCUAAAAAGUAAAGUUUGUUCAAAAGUUUUGAUGAUAUAAUUUUGAGUAUAAUCAAACUUUCUUAUUUCAUAGAUAGAGUUUUUUUUUCUCUAUUUUUGGAAUAGUUUAGUUAUGCAAUCUUUGUUCAAUUUUAGCAAUUUGUUCAUGACUAUUAAAAUCAUUUGGUAUUAGAGUUGUAAGAGAGUGAGGCAAGGUUAUGGUAAUUUAUCAUUUUAGGCACUGUUCAAUAGGAGAAAUCUAGUUCAAACCUAGUGUUUGCUGAAUAGAGUUGGUCAGCCCGUGUUUUGCCAGUGUAGGCAUUUUUGGGUGGUCCCGUUGUAGGCUUGAUAAGAGUCAGUUUUUUUUAUUGUAUUGUUUUUAUAGGGUUAAAUUAUUAUAUUUUCAUUUUAUUUAAUUAUGUCUUUGAUUUCAAAUUGGUUAAGGAGAUCUAGAAAUAGAUCUGAAAAUAUUUCAAAUGUUUUUCAAAGUGAAUAAGAAUUAAAUCAAGAGAUUGUGUGUGUGUGUGUGUGUGUAUGUUCAUGCAUGCAUGUAUCAAUAUGGCCUCGAAGAGAAUCAAGGCAAGUUCUAGAGAAGCAAAUCCAUGGAAGAAAAUCACUCAUUAAAGAAAAUAGUAAGAUUGAUAUGUAUGUCUCAGUCAUAAGGUUCAAAAUCUCACCAACUUUUAGUCUACAAAAUCUUGUUACUACCAUCCACAAAGAAAAUAACCACGCUAAUUAACUCUAAGUUGGGAGAUUACUUAUUCAAUCAUGUUAUAAAUUCUUCAGAAGCUUGAUUGAAUCUAGCAAAUAGCAUACACAACUAAAAUCGAUUAAAACCACUUUGUUUUCUCCCUCUUAUGUCGAAGUUUUAUCAAAAAGUCAAAAAUAAACACAAAAUAUGAACUGAAAAUUUUAGACUCAACCUAAAUUCCCUCUUCCACAUUUAAAACUUACAUUGCUCCCAAUGUAAGGUAAAAUACAAAGAAAAGGAUAACAUUAACCAAAUAUAUGAAUGUAAAAAGAUAAAAAUAAAAAGCUAACGGAAUGAACUCCCCUUGGGUUGCCUCCCAAGCAGCGCCUUUGUUUAUUGUUUUUGGCUAGACUUAUUGCUUCCUUCUUCAACCGGCAUCAAUUGGAUUUCCAAGGCCCCAUGUUCUCACCUCUUCUAUUUGGAAACCUGCAUAGAAAUAUCUCUUGUUAGAAACUGACAAAACACUAUGCAAACUUUUACCUGACUUUGGAGAAGCAUUAAACGCUGCAAUGGUCUCUGUAAGGCAGUAUUCGGGGGUAACUCCUGAUAUACCUCCUCAAUAUGCUUAUCAGUGGCAACUUUCACUGCAUUUUUUCAUCAGGUUCUAAAAUUUUCUGUUCUAAAUGAUCAAUCACUUUAAUAGAGUAAACAUCAUUAGGGCAUUUUAUGGAAAUAUUGAAUUUAACAAUUCUAUCAUCAAAUUCCAUCAUAAUUGUGCAAUCAUGAAUAUCUAUCUUAGUUUUGGAUGUCCUUAAAAAUGAUCUUCCUAGAAAAAUGGGGUAGUUUGAUCAUUAUUACCAUAUCAAGCACAUAAAAAUCAGCGGGAAAAUCAAAUCAUGAAUGUCUAGGAGUGUAUGGUUGCCUGUAUUGCUGGAAGUUUGGGCAAUUUUUAGGCAUUAGUUGAUUCACUUGUUAAUUCCCAUAGCUAAGGUUGUAAUGAUCCCUCCAUCCUGGGUUAUAAGUGCUUGAGUAAGGAUCAUAAUUCCUUUGUGAUUGUCCAGGAAAGCCAUACAUUUCAUUAACUUGUUCACUGGGGUCUUUUUAAAGAGUUGGGCACAUGUCAGUUGGAUGCCUUGUUACCGAACAGAUUCCACAAGCCUUUGUUAUUUACAUAGUUUCUGCAGCCAUUUGAUGAACAAAAGAAGUUAGACUCGCUAGUUAUUGUUCAAUAGAUGAAACAUUUACCUUAUUAACAGGUCUAUAAAGGGUAUCGAGUCUAGUAACAAAUUGCUGAGAGUUGGCUGCCAUGUUUGCAAUCAAGUUACUCGUGCCCUCGGGAGUUUUGUCCACCGAAGCUCCUUCACUUGCAACAUCAAUCAUACUCCUAUAUGUGGGUAGAAGACCUUCAUAAAAAUAUUGAAUGAGAAGCUGCUCACUAAUUUGAUGGUGGGGACAGCUUGCACAUAGUCACUUGAAACGCUCUCAGUAUUCAUGUAAGGAUUCCCUGCUACCCUGCAUAACACCACAAAUUGCCUUUCGGAUGUUUGCUACACUUGAAGCUGGAAAAUAUUUCUCUAAAAACAACCUCUUCAUCUCCUCUCAUGUUGUGACAUUUCCAGAUGGUAGAUAGUAGAGCCAGUCCUUAGCUGCGUCCUUCAAUGAGAAUGGGAAAGCUCUCAAUUUGAUUUGCUCUUCAGUUACCCCUGUGGGUUGCAUACUCGUGCAUACCACAUGAAAUUCCUUUAAAUGCUUAUGAGGAUCUUCACCUGUAAGACCACGAAAGGUGGGAAAAAGAUGUAUUAGUCCAGACUUCAAUUCAAAAGCAGUGGUAACAUCUAAAGUAGGAAAAGUGAUGCAGAGAGGUUGUUCAUUCAAAUUUGGAGCUGCAAGCUCCUUCAAAUUUUGAUGUCCAGCCAUGUGUCCCUCGAAAUUUCGUUGAAUGCCACUCUUUAACCUGUGCGAAGCUUUUUUUCUAAUUCUGGAUCGCACUGCAAAUCAGUUUGGUUAGAGGAUCGAGUUAUGGGCAUAAAAAAUUAAGGAAGUUAUUUAUUAAAAAAAAGUAAACUAAAAUAAACAAAUUAAACAAAAAAGAAAAGAUUAAAAAAAACUAAGUGAACAAAUAAAAAGCACAAAAAUAAACUAAAUUACUCCUCGACAACGACGCCAAAAUUUGGUGUAUUGUCCCAGGCACCCAAAAAUAAUCAAACCUACACUUCCAAAAAUUGUAUGUAGUAGUGGAAGUAAGGAUCGUUCCCACGAAGAAUGAUUAGUCUAAUUUUAUGCAAUGUUAACAAUAACGAAUGGUUUUGUUUGUGAUGAAAUCAAUUUUAACUAGAAGCAAUGCAAUUUAAUAAAUUAGAUAAAAUCAAUAGAAUGAACCUUGAUUUAAGUUAAUAUCCACUGUAGGAAUUUCAAAUUGAUCAUGGAUAUAUGAAUGAUUAUCAAUUCAUAUUUUUGCAUUAAUCGCUGGAAUUUAUUUUUCCUAUUUCUUUUUAGUUGUAAUUAAUCUGAAAACAAGCAAUCCAAUCAAUCCUUAUUAUCAAAUGACCUAAGAAAAGCACUUAAGAUUUAGUUUAAUAACAGCAUGGGAAACUAGAGAAAUCGAUGAAACUAAACAACUCAAUCACAAGCGGUCAUGUUUAAUCUAGUCAAAUAUCCUCUCUAGAAUUUAAUAACCUCUAAACGAACGAUUAAUAAAGCUCUAGUUACUUCAUAAUGUCAAAGAUAUCAAACAAUUACAUAUUUGUUCUUUAAACAAGCAAUAGAUUGUGGUACAUGAACAUCUAAUAGGCCUCUUAGAAUUAAAAUAUAACAACCAUGAAAUCAUGCAUAGAAAAAUAUUCAAUACAUAAGAUAUGAAUGAAAGCAAUGAAAUUUAUUUAGAUCUCACAGUUUGAAUCAUUCCUAGGCUUCAAUAUCCUUUGACUAAGAGAUGGAGUUUAGCAAUACAUUAAUAAUCCUUAAGUAAAAAGAGAGAGAAGUCUAUGAUGUUCGUUCUUCGCCUCCAAAAAUAUGUAGGAUAUAAGAUUUUUAGGCCAAAAAAAGAGGUUCUCUUCAUUCUGGCAUCUUUAGGUAUAUAUAUGAUAUUAAAAAUAUUUUUUCCAUGUAGAAUUUCAUCAGAAUAAGGAAAUUGGCCCGUCACAAAAAUUUUGACCCGUGCUCGCGCGCCAUAUAUUUCAUUAUGUGUGCGCCACUUUGUUGUUUUGCUCUCAGUACGCAAGAUUGAGGUCCCCCGUGCGCACAGUAUAAAAUAAUUUCAUUUGUUGCACUUUGAUUCCUCAAUUUCAAUCUUCAUUUGUUUUAACUCUUUUUUGAUGUCUUCUUACUCCUUUAGCUUUCAGUUCCAUCUAAUUGAAUUCACACCUUCUCCAAUCAUCGAUAUUAGGUCCAAAUCAACUAUUAGCACUUUGAAUUUUAAUCCCCAAGCUUUGGAUUAAUUUCUUUUUAGCACCUUUUUCAUUUCUUUCUUCCAAAUCCAUCAAUUUGCAUUGAUGCCAACCUCUUUGACUUCUUUAUUCAUCAAAUUGACUUCCAACACUUUUGAAUCUUCAUUUUAUUGCCCGUCUCAUGUAUGGAUUAUUUUCAACUUGGUCAUCAAGCUUUUACUUUCUUCCAUUUUGAUCCUUUUUUGCUAUUUUCUUCCAAACUCCAUAUUUUCCAUCCAUUUACAACCUGAACCAAAAUAUAAGGGUACUGAGUACAUUUAGGCGUUAAUUAAUCACAAAAACGCGAGUAUUAAUGGAUGUAAAAAACGACAUUUUAUGUCUUAUCAAAUUCCCUUAGACUAGGCUUUUGUCCGUGUUUGAGUAAAAUUCAAAUUUACUUUCACAAAAUAUUAAGAUUGCCAUUCCAUCAAUAUAGAACAACCAGACUCAUGAAAACACAUAACAAUUCAUGAACAGACAAUCUCACACAGCUUGUAAUCAAUUAGCAAGUAUUCUCAUAUAAAGUUAGAGUAAACCAAACAUGUAGACUCUCACAGGAUAUAAGCACUCAACUCUCAUGUGUUUAAAGGCUAAGUGUUUCGCUCAAGUUCAUUCCAACGAACAAGAUCUACCAUAUGCUUGCAUGUCUUCUCAUUCUCCACCAAUUAGAUCACAUGCAUUACACAAAUCAUAAGGUUUUUUCACAGGUUGUAACGUGGGUUAGGGUUCAAGUGUGAGAUAUUUGGGUAAGGAACCGUCUUAUGUCUAGUUAUGCCAUUUUCUUUACACAUACUAUCAAAUUCAGUGUUGCAAAAUUCUAGGCCGUUAUCUGUCCUUAAAAAUUUAAUCUUUUUGCUGGUUUGGUUUUCAAUUUGUCUCUUCUAGUUAUUGAAGUUUUGGAAAGUCUUAGAUUUAUCUUUUAAUAAAUAGACCCAAACUUUCCUAGUAUAGUCAUCGAAAUAGAUAGGAAAUAUCUAUUCCCACCCGAUGUGAGAUUACUAGCAAGAUCCCACAGAUCAGAAUGCACAUAUUCAAGCAUGCCUUUAGCCUUAUGAACACUCGAGGAGAACGAUAUUUUAUGAUACUUACCAAGCACACGGUGAUCACAGAAUGACAAAUCUGACACACAGUCAUGACCAACUGCACCUUUUUCAUUAAGUAGCUUAAGUCCCUUAAUACCUACGUGCACAAGUCUAUUAUGCCAUGUGUGUGCGAUCAAUCUUGACAGAAGAGAUAAAGGAGUUCAAACCUCUAAUCACUUUCUCAGUAGUGAUAUAUAAAUGUCAUUUUUCUUAGUCCCUUUAAUAGAAACUAACGCGCCCUUAAUCAUCUUUAGCAUUCCAUUUCAAAUUUUACCAAUGAAGUAAUCUUUUUCAAGUCUCCCUAUUAAAAUCAAAUUCCUAGACAAUUCAGGAAUAUAUCUAGCAUCCUUUAACAUGUACACAAAACCCGUGUCAAAUUUUAUGUUCAUGUCACCAAUUCCAACAAUAGUAUAUGCAAAGUUAUCACACAGCAUAAUAUGCCCAGCAUUAGAUUCAUACAAGUUAUCAAACUAAUUCUUUUCAAAUGUUACAUGAAAAGAAGCACCAGAAUCAAAUUCCACUCAUGCAUGCGAGAAUUAGCAGUAAGAUUUAAUUCAGUAGUGUAUGUAACGGGACUUGUAAUCAUAUAGACCUCACCGUUAUCUAUAUCAGAAGUAGAGGAUAGUACAUUUACCUCAUCUCUCUCCUUACCUUUAACUUACCCUUCUCUUUAUGGCAACCUUUUAUAAAAUACCCCGCGUUCCCACAGCCAUAGCAUUUUCUAAUCUUAGUCCUAGAUUUUGAUCUAGACCUACCCUUGCCCUUCUUUUUCCCUCCAUUACCACUCGACUCGCCACCGCUUUGGUAUCCAUCAUGACUAUUUUGCCUAAACUAAGCUCUACCCCACAUCAUAUGUAACUCAUCGCUCCUCUUAUUGUGUUUUUCAACCCUAAUUUCCAUCUCUUUACUCUUAAGAGAAUCAAUGACAAUUUUAUGUGCCAAUGUAUCCCUACCAUACUUAAUGGCAUUUUUAACUUCCUUAUAAGAAUCAGAAAUAGCAUUGAACAAGAUUAUAGCUUUAUAAGUUUCGGACACAGCUUCAUCACAAUUAACGAGAUCUUGCACCAAUUUGUUAAACACAUCUAAAUUGUCAUCGAGAUCCUUUGAAUGAUCCAUUUUAAAACUGAAAAAACUUUCAAGCAGGUAGAGUUUAUUUAGUGUAGAUUUAAGCAAAUACAAGUCUUUCAACUUUUUUUUAAAGUUCUUUGGUGGUUUUCAGUUUACCCACCUCCCUUAAAACGUUGAUUUUUUUUUGACCCUAUGAAUGUUUUUGAAGCUUACCAAUGGGCUUUGCACUUGGAGAAAACCUUGUCUAGGAGGACUUGGAGUACUGGUAUUGGUGGGGUGAGCAAUGGUAGUAGUAUUGGAAGAAAUGAGAUGAACCAACCACGAACUGUAUGUACUCCAUCUUCACAAACUAAAGGGGCACUAAUGCCCAGUCGAGUAGGGGGGUAGCAUCAAGUUCCUAGGCACGAUGUUUCAAGUGUAAUGAGAAGGGUCAUCGCACGGUAGAUUGCAAAAAAAGUGGUAGAUAUGGUAAGGGGUUAUUCAUUAAUUCUAGAAUUCAGCUGCUGAUGUCGAUCAAGAACCUAUUUACGAUGAUAGAGAGGAGGAAUACGAAGAGGAACAGGUUGCAGGUGAUGAAGGCCCUUUGUUAGUAGUGAGGAGGGCGUGUUUGGCACCUCUUAAGGAUGAAGAAGAUAACUGGCUACGUCACAAUAUCUUCCAGUCGAACUGUACCAUUGGCGGCAAGGUUUGUCAACUUAUCAUUGAUUCAGGCAACUACGAGAACGUGAUUUCUGGUGAGACUAUUAAGAAGUUGGGAAUGGAGAUGGAGAAGCAUCCUAUUUCUUACAAAUUGGCAUGGCUCAAGAAGAGAAGUGAGGUAACUAUUUCUAAGCGUUGCUUAGUCUCAUUUUCUAUCGGCGCGAAGAAUAAGGAUAAAAUUUGGUGUGACGUGAUAACCAUGGAUGCAUGUCAUCUUUUAUUGGGUCGAUCAUGGCAAUUUGAUAGGGAUGUUAUCCACGAUGGAAGGCAAAAUACGUAUAGUUUUGUGUUUAACAAAGUAAAGAUUGUCUUACUCCCUAACAAAAUGGAGGAGUCCCAAAACGCUUCGGGAGGGGGAGAGCAGAUUUUGUUAGCUAGGAGGGACUUUAUGAAUGAGUUAUAGGAGUUUGGAGUGGUGUGUUUGUGUUGUUGGGAAAAGAGGGUUAUGCAGGGAAAAAGGUACCAGCUCGCGUGAACAAAUUAGUUGAGGAAUUUUCUGAUCUAUUUCUAGAUGAACUACCGGAAGGUUUGCCACCAUUGAGAGAAAUACAACAUCAAAUUGACUUGGUUCCUGGUUCUAACAUACCGAACCGACCACAUUAUAGCAUGACCCCCAAGGAGCAUGAGGAGCUUAGGCAUUGGGUAAAGACCUUGUUGUCAAAGGGUCAUAUCAGAGAAAGUCUUAGUCCCUGUGUUGUGCCAACAUUACUUACUCCAAAAAAAGACGAGUCCUGGAGGAUGUGCGUUGACAGUAAGGCUAUCAACAAAAUCACAAUUAGGUACAGAUUUUCUGUUCCUUGACUAGAUGAUUUGUUGGAUCAACUAAGUGGUGCUACUGUGUUUACCAAGUUAGAUUUGAAGAGUGGUUAUUGUCAGAUACGUAUACGUCCAGGAGAUGAGUGGAAAACUUCUUUCAAAACUAGGGAGAGGUUGUAUGAGUGGUUGGUGAUGCCCUUUGGGUUAUUUAAUGCCCCCAGUACCUUUAUACGGGUGAUGAACCAGAUUUUUAGGCCGUUCAUUGGCCGGUGUCUUGUAGUUUAUUUCGACGAUAUAUUGACAUAUAGUGCUAUUGUGGAGUUGCAUCUUCAGCAAUUAAGAGAGGUUUUGGAGGUACUACGCAGGGAGAAGUUUUUCGUAGCCUUAGCCAAAUGUUCUUUCAUGAUGAACUCGAUCUUAUUUCUAGGCUAUGUAGUUUCCAAGGCUGGUCUAUAUGUCGAUGAAUCCAAAGUUGCAACUACUCGAAACUGGCCACUUCCUACCACUAUUCAGGAGGUACGUAGCUUCCAUGGGUUGGUAUCUUUUUACAGGCAUUUUAUUCCAAAUUUUAGUACUGUUACGGUACCACUCAUGGAUUGUAUGAAGGGUGAAAAAUUCAUGUGGACAAAUGAAGCAAUCGAGGCAUUUGAACAAAUUAAGGAGAAGUUAAUAACCGCUUCUAUACUUGUGAUGCCGGAUUUUUCUCAACCUUUUGAGUUAUAUUGUGAUGCCUCUGGAGUUGGCAUUGGGGCCAUUCUCAGUCAAGGGAGCAUGCCCGUGGCUUACUUCAAUGAGAAAUUGAAUGGGUCCAAACUUAAAUAAAGUACCUAUGAUGUGGAAUUUUUUUCUGUUGUUCGGGUCUUGAAGCAUUAGAGCUCUUAUCUAGCAUAUAAUGAGUUCAUCCUCUAUUCAGAUCAUGAGGCAUUGAAUCGCCUUCAUAAUCAGGAUAAACUCUCCACUAGACAUGCACGUUGGGCAUCUUACACUUAAUAAUUUUCUUUCAUCAUUAAACACAAAGAAAACCAAUUUUGUGUGCCCGAAGGGAGUCGACGCCUGAAGAUUAUUCAAGAAUUACACAAUAAAGGUCAUGUGGGGCAUGACAAAACUUUGAAGCUUAUCACGGAGCAAUUUUUCUGGCCUCAUAUGCAGAACGAAGUCGCAAAAUUUGUGGAGGGAUGUAAGAUUUGUCAGGUCUCGAAAGGGAAAGCAACUAAUGCAAGUCUUUAUUUGCCCUUGCCUAUUCCAGACCGACCUUGAACUAGUGUUAGCAUGGAUUUUGUGUUGGGGUUGCCUAGAACACAAUGCGAAUAUGAUUCUAUUUUUGUGGUGGUAGACAGGUUCUCCAAGAUAGCACACUUUGUGGCUUAUAAGAAGACAUCAGAUGCUGUUCAUGUGGCACAACUUUAUUUUCGUGAGAUAUAUCGAUUACAUGGAUUGCCAUCGUCCAUUGCGUCUGACAAAGACACUCAUUUUCUUAGCCACUUCUGGAGAUGUUUGUGGUGUUUGUCUAAUACCAAGCUCGACUUUAGUAGUACCUAUCAUCCUCAAACCAAUGGACAAAUCGAAGUUGUAAACCUUCUUUGGGAGACUUGUUACGAUAUCUGGUGGGUGAUCACUUGAAGUCCUGGGAUCAGAAAUUAUUUCAGGCUGAGUUUGCUUACAACCGGUCUACUAAUAGGAGUACGGGGUUUAGUCCUUUUCAUGUAGUUUAUGGUUAUAACCCUCGCGCACCACUUGAUUUAGCUCCUCUUCCUGAUAUCAGACGAGUUCAUGUCAAGGCUCAAGAUUUAAUAAGUCAAAUUCAGAAAACCCAUGAAGCAACGGUCAAGAACUUGCAAGAUUCUAUUGCCAGGUAUAAGGUGACUGCGGAUGUGAAGAAGCAUUUUGUGGAGUUUGAAGUGGGAGGUUUUUAUGGGCUAUCUGACAAAAGAUCGAUUUUCUACUGCUCGGAAAAUUGGACUGCUGGAAAUAAUUGAAAAGAUCAAUCCUAAUACAUACAGGUUGAAACUUCCAAGCAAUGUGGUGACCAGUGAUGUCUUUAAUGUCAAGCACCUGAUUCCAUAUGUUGGCGAUUCAUCAAUGGAGUACUCGAAUUCGAGGGCGAAUUCUCUCCAACUCGGGGAGGAUGAUGUAGAUUGUGUGGCAGCAACAGGAUGAUUAGUCCAUGUGAUGGCAUGAGAUAUAGAAAUAAACCAAUUUAUUUUACCAAGUUAUUUUAUUAGCUUUUCUUUCUAUUAUUUUUAUUAUUAUGUUGGUCGAGUUUAAGGAAAGUUCCAAUAAGUUAAUUAUUCUGCCAGUCAAUGUUUUGGUAAGUUUUCUACCUAGUUUUUUUUAGUUUUUAUUUAUAUUUGGGGGCAUAUUCUGAAAGGACGUUUUUUGGAGAUAGAAUUAACAUCAAUAAGAAUUUUCUUUCUUAACUCCUGCAUUCCUAGUUCUGGUUCUAGGUUGUGGAAGAGUUGUGAACUUACUGUGAUCACAGAUUUUGCUUCUGUUCCGUUUUCCUGCUGCAUUACUACCCCUACUGGCUCGGUCCAAAUUUAUAGGUUGGGCAAAGCAUGGUUUACUAAGUGAGCCAUAUGAUGAUACAAGAAGUAGGUUUCACCUGAACUGACUUUUAUGAAUGGAGAAAUUAGGGUGGUGGAAAGAGGGGGAAGACAAAAAGCGGCGGUGAUAAUAGAGUAUUAGCUUAACUCAUUGACUUUGGAAUUGGAUUUUGGGCUAUAAACCGAUCUAAUUGUUCCCAUUGAUAUCUUUUGCAUAUUGCAAUUCCGAGUAAAUGGAACUUAACACAAGUUAAUUCCUGUCAAAAAUAUUUGUGCAUAUACUUGAGGCAUUCUCUUUUCCUUGGCUAUUUUCACAUGUCCUUCCAGUUUUUUCAACUCUAAAAUCUUAUUAUUUCAUCAAUUUCAGCAUUAGUCAGACAAUCAUUUUUCAUGGCUUCAUCUUCAACAAAUUUCCCCAUGGGAGAUUUAGUCCAAAAAUAUUAAUGGAGCUUCAAUGUGCUUAGUGGGACAAUUAUCUGGCCCGUUACUUGAACAUUCCAACGUCCACAUGGGUAAAAUUAAACAUAAAAAAGGCAAAAAAAGAAAUGAAAAAAGGAAAAAAAUGGUUUCGUCUUCUGAGCAGCCACGGAAGAAUACAUAUUCUACUUAUUUUUCAUCGUUUUCCCUUUGUCCACUUCUUUCUGUGCUCAUGAGACGAGUAUUGAGGAAGAUGAAGAUGGAGAGCGUGAUGGUAAAGCGGGAUUGAAGGUGAGAUCAGAAUAUAAGUAGAUGUGCAUUGUUGAGACAGCAAUCUUUCUGCUCACACAUGAUCACCUGUCAAAGUACUUGGUUUCUCUACUGCGAUGCAGUGAUGGAAAUGAUAGAAAUCAUCCACUGCCACCUAGAAACAGAAGUAUUUCUUUUUCCUAUGCUAUUUUCACCGUUUCUUCCAAUAUUUUUCUACAUUUCAACUCUAAAAUCAGAUUGAUCACCGGUUCAGCCCGAGUCAAAGAAAUAACUACAAGUAGCUUCAUCUUCAUCAACCUUUCCCCAAAAAUUAUACAAGUUUUGGACUGAAAUCUCAUUACAUGAUUUGAGAGCAUGUUUACAUUAAACAUGCACCAAAGGUGCACCUAAUGUGCACCUAACAUGCACUUGAUGUUCACAUCUCGUAGAAUCCAAUAUUCGUGUCAAAAUAUUUGUGUCAAUAUUUUUGUGCAUAUGCUAUAGGAGUUCCCUCUCCUUUGCUAUUGUCACCAACACUAAAAUCAGAUUGAUUUUAUUAAUUUUAGCCCACGUUAAAGAAUCCCUACUCAUGUCUUCAUCUUCAAUUUUCCCCAUGUUUAUAUACAUUGUUCGAAAAAAAAUUUGCCAAAAGAGAUUCUGUCCAAACGUACUAACAGAUGUUCUACAAAAUCAAUAAUUGGACUUCUCUACUGCGGACUGAUCAAUUAUUUGCCCCGUUGUUAACACGACACUCAAAGUGAUUAUUUUUGACAUAUUACUAGGAAAACCUCCCUAUCCUUUGGAUCUAUUGCGGAAUAUUAUCUAUCUUCUCAAAUUUACUGAAAACGCCCAUAUAUGACUUCUUAGGUACGAAAGACUCCCUUUUCUCAUUUUCUCAAUAAAGCCUCCCGAAUAACAAACAUAUCCUCCUAUUUAUACAAAAAAUAAAAAAUAAAGAACGAAUUUCCACUACAAGAAAAAUGGCAUUUUGCAACAUGUAAAAGGCAACUUUCAUUAAUUGCAUGUUGCUAGAAGGGGCCUAUCGUAACAUUUAGCAAGUGUAUGUUGCUAUUGAUUCAUUAAAUUGAGUUUUGACAACUUUUUUUUUUAAUGAAUGUUGCUAAUACAACCUUUUGCAAUGUUUGGGGUCCAUUCGUUUUAUUAUUAUUAUUAUUUUUUUUUUUUUGCAACAUGCAAUUUUUUUUUUUUUUUGCAACAUGCAAUUUUUUUUUUUUUUUGCAACAUGCAAUUUUUUUUUUUUUUUGCAACGUGCAUUUAAUGCUUUAGCAACGUGCAAUGCAUGUCACCAUUAAUUAGCUUAAGCAACAAGCAAUGCGCAUCACCAUUAGGUGUUUUAGCAUUGCGCAUUUAAAAGUUGUCAUUAAUGUUUUAGCAACAUGCACUGUGCGUUGCUGUUAAACGUUUUAAUAACACACAUAUGAAUGUUGUCAUUAAUCUUUUCGCAACGUUUAUUGCACGUUGUCGUUAAAUAUUUUAGCAACACACGUUUGAGCGUUACCAUUAAUCUUUUAACAACGUGCAUUACACAUUGCCAUUAUUUAUCAUAGCAAUUUAACCAGUCUAACCCAAAAUAAAGUGAAUCUAGCCCAUCAAAAGAUCCAACUCACAAAAAAAUUUAAUUUACAAAAAGUAGAAAUCCUAAACUGAUUUUUCACUACUUCCUUCCUCCAUUGAGGCCUCUCCAACAAAAUCAAAAUCAUUUAAACACCAAAAUCCUUCUCUCUCACAAGAAAAGUGGCACAAAUCUUUGUAUGUUGAUAAUAACAAGCCACCAGAUUUUUUUCUUAACUGAUUUUCCAAUGAAUUAUUCCGUUGAAAACUAGAUAAAAGAGUGAUUCUCUAUUCAAUUGUAUAGUGUGUGUGUGUGUGUGUGUGUAUAGUCUUCCAUACACUUCCUCUUUAACACUAAUUUUCACUUGCUUUCUCGCCACCUCCUUCGCAGACCACCAUCAAAUUGAAGUAGGCCGAGACGUCGGAAGCAGAAGAAGAACAAUAAGUCAUCAUAAGCCUUAGCCACUGGAGAUGAUAGCGACACUGCUUUUGAGGAUGGGUGUUUUUUAAAAAACCAGAAACACUUCUUGAUUUCUUUCAAAUCAUAUCUAAAUCCCUCUUCAUCUAUGUAAUCCACUAUUGAAAUGGACAGCUUAGCAGUAAACCGCUUCAUGGAACUAAAAGAAGAAGAAACUCAUAAGAAACUAGGAGAUGGAGCAAAAGGGACAGCAUGAACAGGAUGAAAUGACGGUGAAAUACCUGAUGAAGAAUACAUGGAGGCUGAUUUUGAUUCUGAAGCUAGGGCUAAACUCUUCUGACUCCAAAGUCAAGGUAUGUUUCUAGGUUUAUGUGUGUGCAUGUGUGUGUGUUGUUAUGUUUAUCUUUGUAUAAAUAGGUGUGAUAGCAUUUGAUUUUAUUUGGGGUUUGAAUUGUAGGAAUUGGAAGAUAUGAAGAAGAGAUUGCAGGAGAUUGAGGAAGAAGCAGGGACAAUGCGAGGUAUGUAGGCCACGGUGGAGAAACAGACUGUCAAGGCUCAAGGUCUUUUUAUUACUCACUCUAAGUGCUUGUUCCUAUAUAUGUUUGAUGUCAUAUAUAGAUGUAUUUUAAAAAUUCUUGACUUUGUCUAAGUUUACUUUUAUAACUAAAUUGCCCAUGAUGGGUUGAUUUCGUAAUCUUUGUAGAUUCCAGUGGUUUAAGACUUUUAGAUGAGUAGGAAACAUUCUACUUUUUAUCUUAGUGGCUACAACAUUAGUGAAUAUGGACUUAUUUAAUAGAUACCUCACAAGAGGCUAUAGGAUAAUAUUUCAGUUGUAAAUUCAUUUUCCUAAUGAAAUUGACUCCUUUGACAGAUUUUGGAUUGUUGAGAAGUAAAAAAUUUAAUGCAUCAUUAAAGAUUUUGAUAUAAGGAAAGAUAAUUGUGAGAAUCUACAAUAGGGGACCAUUUAAGGGGAAGUGGAGUACUAAAGUUCCUAAGUUAGCAAUGAUACAUCUUAAAAAGUACUACGUUAUUUAAACUAAGAGCCUUAUGAGUUUAGGAUUGCUUGAGAACUACAUGAAAAGCCACGAUAUGCUCUUGAGGUAGGCGUUAUACUUGUUACCAAAAGUCGGUAGUGCAUUGAUGAAUAUGCUCUUAAUUGUCAUUGACCUUACCAAGUAAAAUUUUCAAUUUAUGAAGUAACGUUAAAUUUUUUCACUUUCUCAUUUUUAUUUGAAAAUUCUACCAUUCUUUUUAACUAUUUUUCCUUAGGUUUUCCAUGUAUUGCAAAUUGUAGAAAACACAAUUGUUUUAAAGGAUUGAUUUGUGUCUUCUCUUGACUAUCAAUUAUUUUAUUGUGUUUUAUGCCUUUUGACAUUGCAAUUUUUCUUGUUUCUUGUUGCUAAAUAUCAUUGAAAUUUGAGAUUGAUGAUUGUUCCUUUGCUGUCUAUGGGGUUCAUUUUGCAUCUGUUUGCUUUCUGUAAGAAUUCUAUUGUUCCCUAAAAUCUUUAGUUUUAAUCGUUGAUAUCGUUUGUCUAACUGUGGGGUACAUGAAUUUAGGAAUUAUUAUUUGAAUUUAAAAUCAAAGCUGUAAUUUUUUAUGUUAUUUAAAGCUACAGUCUUCACAAUGAAAGAUCCCUAUUUGCAACCUUUGCGUUACUGAUUACAAUUUUACUUUGGUUAUAAUAGAAUGAUAUAAUUCAAGUCAGGCUUUUCACAUUAUCUUCAUCUGUUUUUUCUUUUUUUCUCCAAUGAUUGCUUAAAUAGGCGGAUCUUUGAAUCUACAAGAUAGGAGAGUCCUUGAUUUUUAAUUUUUUUUUUUUUUUUUGUAAAGAUGGUCAUAUACAGGAUUUCCUCGUGCUCAAUUAUUGGCAAAUGCACAAGCAGCAAUUCAAAGGAAAAGUAAGGUAAAUUCUUGAAUUUUCUACCAUUUUUCUUGAAAUGCAGGAAGGUGACGCUAUUGAGCUCCAGAAGAAAGUAAUGUGGAUUGCCUGCUAGAUGUUCGUAAUUUCUUUUCUCUCUCUUUUAUUUUUAAGAUGAGCGUAAGAGAAUGUUUGCACUUAUUUCUAUAGUUUGUUCUAUAUUUUAAGUGUAUAGAUUCAAAUUUGUAAUGAAAUUUUUAUUUUUUCGCGAUUCAAAUUUUUUUCACAAGGUGUAAAUCUUUAAUUUUCUAGUUUAAUUUCAUAAAUUCCUUUAAAAAGUAUAAAAAAAAAUGUAAAAUGAUCUACGACAAUGAUAAAAAAUAUUUUAGAAAAAGAAUAAAAGCAAAGACAACGUGCAAAAAAUGCUGUAAAAUAUAUAAGACAAAAACAAAGGCAACGAUCAAUGGAUGUUGUGAAAACUUUAAAGGCAAUGGUAAGUAAAUAAUGCCAAAAGUAUAAAGGCAACAAUCAAUGGAUGUUGCCAAAACUGCAAAGGCAACAGUUAGAGAAUGCUGCAAAAACAUGUAAAUGCAACAUAUAAAAAACGUUGCAAAAGGUUAAAUGCAACGUUCAUUGAGCCUUUUGCAACGGUUAAUGAACGUUGCAAAAAAGCCUUUCACAAUGGUCUUUGAACAUUGUUGUAUCCUUUAACUCUACGACAAUAUCGAAGCCUGCAACGCACGCGUAAACAUUGCAAAAGGUCUUUCGAAAAUUUUUUGACCGUUGCAAAAGAGAGUUUUUGGUGUGGUGUUCAAUUGUAGUCAUAAUUUUUUUUAAAAAAAAGUAUAAACGAGUCCCAAAUAAAUAAUUAAAAAAAAAGACUCUCUUUCUUUCCCACCUACCCUAUAUUCCUACCACCACCUUUCUCUAGUCAUUUUUCCAAAUAUAAAUACUUGCUAAGGUUUGUUAGCCCCCAUGUCUUAAUCCUACACAUCUUAGAGAGAAAUUAGAAAGAAAAGAAAAAGACUGCAAAGAGUGAAUGAAAGUGGGACUGAAUAAGAAUUAUGGCGGACAACAUUGGAGUGGUGGCACAUCUUCAGAGUUGGAUUCCAAAAGAUGAUCUAUUGCUUAAAACUGUUUGAUAUACAACCCUUUUAAGCACCAUGUGAUUUUGUUCAAGAUUUUUUUCUUCUUCUUGGUAGUACCAGAAAUUCCUAGAGGCAUACUAUCAGAAAAACUUCCUUGACCAAUUGGGUAGAUCAAGAAAACAGCGAUAGCAGCUGCAACGGGAGCUGAAUAUGCAACAACAAUCUAAGGUUGCAUACCCAAACGAAAACUAAGCUUCCACUCACGACCCAUGUAACAAGGUAUACCAAGUAAGAGGGAAGUUAUGAGCAUUACGUUCAUGCAUGAGAUGUUCACACCAAAGAUGUACCUAAUGUGCACCUGACGUGUACUUGAUGUUCAUAACUUAUCAAAUCUAAUAUCUUUGCAUCAAGUGAGUUCUUGUCAAAAUAUUUGUGUCAAUAUUUUUGUGCAUAUACUAGAGGCACUCCCUUUUCCUUUGCUAUUUUCACCAACACUAAACUUAGAUUGAUUUCAUCAAAUUUAGCAUGCAUCAAAGAAUCCCUAUUGUUAGGUUUUAUAUUGUAAUUGGCGAUUCUGUGAACAUAAGGGACUUAAUUGAACAUGUUGUAAAAGUUGGGGACUUGAGUUGCAAUUUGUAUAGAUGGUUUAGGCUAGGUUGAAUUUGGAACAAGGUAGAAUACUCAUUGAAUUUUCACUAGCUGGUCACCAAGUUGUUGCUCGAGCGGAGGAAGCAGAACCAUCGUCACCCGUUUGUCGUCCCAGCGUCAUUGGAGCGAAGAAGCUGUUGCUUGUUUCUAUUUAAGGUGUAGCUCAAGCGAUAGUGAUAUGUGGCCAAACCCUAUGUUGCGAUUUGAAGAAUUUUACAUUGCCCAUGAGACCUGUUUGUCCCCAAGAAUAAAUAUAGAACUCAUGGACGUGAUAAUGAGAGGUUGCUACAUUGUGCUAACUUUGAAUACACUUUACAUCAUCUUCUAGAUAUCCAAAACAUAUUUAUUGGAGGAUUCAAUCAUUUUUAUCUUAUGAUUCGACAACCAACUUUUGGAGAAAACAUCAAGGUACAAUAAUCCAAAACACCGUGCUUCCUUAAUCUGUUGAGGAAUGGACUCUCUCAUUAGGGGAUUGAAGCACAGUUACAUGCACAGGAACAGUUAGUUCUUGGUGUUCUACUUGGAGAGAGAGACAUUCAACGCAAAACCAAGAGGCUGUAGGAGAUAGCAAAUUGGACUACUAGAGGUAGAUUAGGAAAUCUAGCAGGAGGUUAGAGGUAUCUACGAUAGCAGAAGGCUACAAGAGGUAGAUCAGGAGGUCUAGCAGGCUAGAGGUAUCUAUGGCAAUAAAUCAUAGGAUUGUGGCAGCGGGUCUUAGUGGGUACAAGUUGUGGAAUUGUUGUGUAUUCUCUGAACUAUCUAUAGUGGAGGUAACUGGCUUGGUCUCGGAGUUUUUCCCAUGUUGGGUUUCUCCUUCAUCAAAUUUUGUGUUCUUUACUUUCCAACAAUUUAUUAUAAACUAUGGUAUUCAAACAUAGGGUUAAUUAAAUUGCAUGCUUAAUCAUCUAGAAACUAAUUAAAAGUGACGUAUUUGCUUUAAUUAGUGAAUUCCGCAUGUAAGGUCAAACUAAUCGACAAUCUGGAACUUAAACUUGGUAAUCUUAAAAGUAAAAGUAGUGUGUUGCGUCCCAGACCUGAAAACUCACACCUACUCAUGUCUUUAUCUCUAAAAUUUUCCCCAUGAUUUAUAUACGGGGUUCGAACCAAAAUCUACCAAAACAGAUUUCAUCCAAAAGUAUUAACAGCCAUUUUCUCGGAUCAAUUAUUGGCAUUCUUUGUGACUAACAGGUCAAUUAUUUGGCCCUGUUAAUUAACAUGCCAUUCAUUGUGAGUGAUUAUUCUUAGCUUAUUGGCGCAAAACCUCCCUAUCCUUUGGACCUAUUGUGGAGUAUCCCCAUGUUUUCUCAAAUUGGCUAAAAGCCGUUAUAUAAGACCUUUAAGGUGGGAAAGACCACAUUUUCUCAAUAACAUUGUGAAAUGAUGAAUAUAUCUUUCUAUUUAUAUAAAACAAAGAGAAAGAAGAAAAGAAAUAAAGAUCAAAUUUCAAUUGUAGUCCUAAAUUUUUUUUAAAAAGUGCAAUUGAGUCCUAAAAAUAAUUAAAAAAUUAAAUUGAAAAUAAAAAUGUCUUUCUUUCCCACCUACCCUGUAUUCCUACCCCUACCACCACUCUCUGAUCUUUUUUUUCAAAAUAAAAAUUCUUGUUAUGGUUUUUUUGGCCCUCAUGUCAUAAUCCUACACAUCUUAGAGAGAUAAAUUAUAAAGAAAAGAAAAGGACUAUUGACACGACUCGUCCCGAAUCAUCUUAGUGAGAUCCAUCUCCAAGGUAGAGUAUGAGUUAUUACUAAAUAUGCCCUAAAUAAGAUGCUUAUGAAAUAGUAUGCAAUGGGUCCAAAAUCAUCACUUCGUACUUAAUUAAAAUGAAUCAUAUUGCUCCAUAUGUCAUGUGGUUUUCACUUUGAAAUCAUCACGCUCUUCUAGCUAUAAAGAACCAAUUGCUAUCUGGAGGAAAUAGUAUGAGAAAAUAUGAGUUGAUAGCUCAGUGAGUAGAGAAGUUCGAAAAUAAUUAUAUUUUCACAUUUAUACAUUUUCAUCGAAAAUCAAGUUGACAUUAUUUAAUAGUUUACAUUAUAAAGACAUAUAAUAAUAAUAAUAAUCAAGAUGUGAUAUACCUCAAAAACAUUGAAAAAUAUUAUUUCACAGUCAUGAUAUAAUGUAAUACAUUAAUUUAAUAAAAAAAAAGUUAAACAUGUCAUACAAAAAAAAAACACUAAAAACAUUUAAAAAAGUAUUGGUAGGCGGUGGAUUGACCUAUGAUCCAAAUCCAUUCAAAACACACACAACCCACCAAGAAGCCAAGAGCAGGGAGAAAAGAAAUAGAAAAGAUGAAGGAAAAAAAAAGGAAAGGGAAGGAAGAAAAAAAUAGGAAACUUUGCCUAUGUUAUUAGAAAAUAAGAGCUUCCUACAAGUAGGCUUGAAUUCUUCAAUUUAAAGGUAAGUAAAAAGUUACUUAUUGUGUAGUUAUGUUUAAUUUUAUAGUGUUUAAAUUGUUAGUUUAAAUUCAAUUUUAUUGAAAGGGAACUAUUGAAUAAAGUAUAAUGAGCUAUAUAAUUAAGUUAAAUGAAAGAAAAAUUAGCUUAAAUGAUUGAAGGAACUUUAGAAAUCGCUUAAGUGUGAAAGGAUUAAAUUUGGGUAUCAUCUAUUUAAUUAUUGAAAUUUCUUAAAAUAGUUAAUUGUUGAUUUAAAAAUUAUAUCAUAUUUCAGGCGGCGAUAUGGAUAUCGGGACAGAUUACCAACCGAGUUGAUUUUGGCGUACAUAGUUCUAUGGGUGAAAAAAUUUAUAUAUUUUCAAAUAUUAAUAAGGCAAGUAAUUAUAUUAUGUACGAUUAUGUGAAUUAUUUGUUCAAUCACAUGAUUAAUAUGGAAAAGUUCUUUCAAUAUGAUAUAUGUGGAAUUUAAAGUUUGGAUAUGGAUUAUUUGUGAAUUGAAAUGCGAAAUAGAUGUCAUGUUGAGAUUGGCUAAAAAAGUACUCAUGAUUAUAUAUAUCUUCUAGUUCACUGAGAGGCCUUGACUGUGCUCUAUACUACAUUGAGGGGUCUUAGACCGUAGAUGACGGGGUCUUAACCAUGCACAUAUAAUUUACUGAGGGGCCUUUGCCGUGUUUUAAAAUGAAUUAUUAGAGGUCUUGAGACCGACUUUUGUUCAUGGAGAGGGCCAAAGGCCCGUGGCAAAAGUUCGUAGCCCGAGAGAUGGAUUACAGAUUUUAUUCAUAAGGUACAUUUUUGAUGGAUUUUUCAAUAAAUUUGAUAUGAUAUUAUAGUAUAGUUAUCAGUUGACAUUUAUAGCUUGACUUUGAGAUGCUAUUUUGUGAUGUUAUGUGAAUGCAUCAUGUUUUGACUAUAAUUAUAUGAUGUUAUUUUGUGAGUUAUUCAAUUAUAUGAACUCGAUUUUCGAUGAAAAUAUAAAAUUGAAAAAGUAUAAUUAUUCUUGAACUUCUCCACUCACUGAGUUAUAAAUUCAUAUAUUUUCCCGUAAUUUUUCCUACAGGUAGCAAUUGAUUGCUUUUAGUUGGAAGAGCCUAAUGAUUUCGGAAUGAGAGCUACAUGACAUGUUGAGUGUUAUAAUUCAUAUUGAUGAAGUAUGAAGUAAAUAAUUUGGGUCCAUCUCAUUAUAUUUUACAUAGCAUUUGAUUUUGGCGCAUUUUUUUAUAGUAACUCAUAGUCAGCCUUGGUGAUAGAUUUGAUAUCUAGUCAGCAUCUAUCAUUGGUGCACUUCACGUUUCAGAUCCACUCGAAUGAUUCGGGACGAGUUGUGUUAUAUAAUCAUUGACAUAACUCCAUAUCAUUAUCUCAUCACAUCAUAUGUAAUUCACCAAGUAUGUACUUUCUAAAAUCUGUAAUCUGUCCCUCGAGGCUAAACACCAUCUCCAUGGUGUGUGAACGAAAGUGGCUCUUAAAGACUUUUGAUUAUCAAUUAUAGAAUACGGUCAAGGCCCUUCAGUGAACUAUAUGUGCAUGAUUAAGAUGAAUGUUUGAUCAAGACCCUUCCGUGUAUUAUAGAACACGGCCAAGGUCCCUCUGUGAACUAGAAAAAGUAUAUAAUCACGAAUACUUUUUUUUGGUCGAUCUCAAUAUCACAAGUCUCACAUUCCAAUUCACAAGUAAUCAAUGUACAAUAUUUAUGAUUUCACAUAAAAAGAUAAUGAAAGACCUAUCAUAAUAAUCAUGUACAUCUCCAAGAAUUUCACAUAAUUGCACAUAAUAUACUAGUAUAAUUAAUUCAUCAAUACUUGAAAAUACUUAAGUUUUUCCAUUCACCAAGUUGUAGAUCAAUGUGACUUCAAUCUUCUCAUCACCUUCUCACAUUCAAAUACAAAGCACGACAUCUUGCACUCAUCCCAAGAAAUCACAUCUCUUCACCAAGGUGCCUUAAUCAUUUCCCCCACCAUUAGAAAUAAUAGUUUACCAAUAGGAACUUAGAUGUCUUUAAUUUUCAAUCUCAUAAUCCCAAUUAGGGUUACUAACAACAUACACUCCUUUAUAUACAUUAAUUUGACACCUAAUCCCCAAUAUUUAACACAUAAUUUCGUUUUCAUAUUAAACAAGGGUUAUGCUAUAUGCACAUUAUGGUGUCCAUAAGGGUAUUUAUAAUGUACAAGUGACAUAACAUCAUUAGAGGGUUGAAAAAUAGUUUUUUAACCCUUCAAUUAUGAAAUUUCACGUGUACAUUAUGGACACCCUUAUGGAUGCCAGAAUGUACCUGUAGAAUUAUCCAUUAAACAAUCCAAGAAAAUCAAAAGAUUAUCCAAAACUAUACUGCAUUUCUAGAAUAUUGAAAUUCGACACAAAUUUCUGUGUAUGGGAAAUUGUCUUUGAAGAUUUUGACAAAAAGAGCACUUUCUGGCUGAAUUUCAAAAGUAGCAACAAUGUAUUGCCUUGCUUGAAAUUAGCCUAAAAUUUCUUGAAUAAUUAAGAAACUAAACCUCAAAUCUUUAAUCAAGCAAUUGAUAUCAUAUAAAUACAACAAUUUUAAAGAUUGAAUCUAUAAUUUACAAACCCAUUUCAUAUUUCUUUGACUUCACCAUGAAUCUUCUAAUAGUUCUCUCUGUAUUAAUAUUCUUAAAUACCUCAAAUACAUCUUAAUAAUCUCUAAUUCUUGCUAAACUUCAGAAAUAAAACAAUUUUCCGUGAACCAUAAAAUCAAAUUGAAGCAAAUCUGUUCCUCACCUCUAAAAUAGAGAAAUUGAACACCCUAGCUCAUUAGUGUUGCCAUCCUUCUCUCUCUCUCCCGUCACCUUCUUUUUUCUUUUUUUCUUUUUGUUUCUUCUCUUCUCCCCUUCUUUUUCUUUCUCUCUAUUCUUCCCUGUUUGUUUUUCUUCGUUCUCCAAAAUAGAAAUAAUGGGUCCAAUGAGAGUUAAGUGGGUAUGUAUCACAAAUUUGCAAAAGAAGUCCCUUAACUUCUUAUAAUGUAACUUUUAGCCCUUUCCAUUCUCAUAUUAGAAACCAAAUCCUUGAAUUCUAUUUUAUUUUAUCUAUAGCCCUUAAGUAAUUGCAAUUAGUAAUUAAGUCCUUAUUUGAAUUUGACUUUGACUAAAUAUUUUCUUAACUUUGACUAUAAUGAAUAGGGUGCAACAACUUCAAAGGGAAAGAAAGAGAGCGGCAUUGAAUAAAAAAGAGUUAUGGUGGACAACAUGGGAGCGAUGGCACCUCUUCAGAAAUGGAUUCUAGAAGACGAUCUCUUGCUUUUAAAUGACGUUGAGGUAUAACUCUUUAAGGUAGAUUUGGUUUUAUUCAAGAAUUUUUCUUCUUUGUCUUGGUGAUGUUGGUUUUGUAUGUGGGUGCGUUUAUUGGAAAAUGAUUCUAGGUUCUUCAUUUAUUUUAAGAUUAUUUAAGUUUAAAAUGGAAAAAUGAAGUCUGGUUUUAAAAUACAAUUGGGUUUCUUUGUAUUGAUUUAACAAGUAUUCCGAUUUUCCCCUAUAUUCUGAUAGAGGGUAUUGGAAUUGAUUUAUGCAAUUAUUUAAUAGCGGUGGUGGUGAAAGGGAUUUUAAUUUUAAUUUUUAAUUUUUGAUUUGGGACUCGUUUAUACUUUUUAUGAAAAAGUUAGGACUACAAUUCAAAUUAGAUCUUUAUUCUUUCUUCGUUUCUUUUUGUACUAUUGAAAUAGGAUGAUAUAUUUUUCAUUUCACACGGCUUUUUUUAGAAAAUGAAAAAGGGAUCUUCCUCACCUCAAUGGUCAUAUAGAGGGCUUUUAGUCAAUUUGAAAAGAUAGGGGGUCUUUUGUAAUAGGUUCAUAAGAUAAGGGUUGCUUUUACCAAUAAGCCAUUAUUCUUGAAUUUCUUUUUCAUAUACUUUUCAAGAAAAAGCAAAACAGUAAAUUAAUGGAUAAAAAAGAAGAAGAAAUGUAGAGGAAUGGAUUAGAGACAUUGCCACAGAAGCAAAAAACAUUAAUCGACUCAAAUUCUUUUUCCUUGACCAUUUUGAAGCAAUGAGAAACCAUUCAAAUAGUGCAUGACUCUUUCUUUGACCUAAGCAAAUUUGAAUAUCCCUUUUUUCCCUACUUUGACUGAAAAUUUUCGAAAGGAAGAGCGGACGUGUAUGAGAGUGUGGAUGCAAAACAAUGAGUGAGAAAUGGAAGUAGUGUGCACGAGAUAUGCACUAAACAUGCACUUGAUGUUCACAUCCCAUAAAUUGUGGUGGCCUGUAUGCAUAUACAGGUAUUAAAUUCUGAGUUAAUAGAAGUUAGCACCAGUACAUUACUAUCAAAACCUUUUUGUACAAAUACCAGCCCUUCUCCGUUGCUAUCUUCAACCAUUCCUCCAACGUUUUUCAUCUCUAACAUCAUAUGAUUUAAUCAACUUCAAAGUGAGUGAGAGAAGGAAUGCUUGUGGCUUCAUCUUCAUUAACUUUUCCCCAUGAUUAAUUACAAGCUUCAGACAAAAUCUUCGAAGAAAGCUGUCCAAAAUUAUUAAUGACAUUCUACAGACUACAUGGCUAACAAAACAAUUGUCUAAACCGCUAAUUGAACACUUUAGAGUCCCCAUGUGUAAAAUAAAUAUUAAAAAACUAAUAAAGAAUUGUGAAGGAGAAAAAAAAAAUAUUUGUCGGGAAUUUGCUGCCAAACAACCCCCAACAGGCGAUGAUGUAUAAAGGUUAAUUUCAUAGAUUUCGGCCAAUGGUUGAAAUAGGAAAUCAACACCACCAUUAAUAGCUCGACCUGAAAAACUAAGUGGGUUGUUUGAAGCAACAUUUUAAGUAAUGGUUGCUUAUAGCUCAUUCACUAAAUGGAUUACCCAUUUAUAUGGACUAACCCAUUUAUGCUCCUUGGCCCAUAUUGUUGGCUACCCUGUAGAUGUACACACACACGUUAUUCUCCUUUCUUGUUGUUUACGUGUGGCCAAAGAGAAAUCAACAACAACCCUUUUUUUAUAUGAAGCUAAUAGCUGUGAGUUUUUCUCCCGUCCUCGAUGUGAGUGAUCAGCUACCUUCUCUUUCUCUUUGUGAGAUAUUAUCCUUUGUGGUUUAUACAUAUACUUGGAUAACCUUAAAGAAUGUUUUGUGGGUUGAGCUUUGGAUUUUGGAAGAUCUUAUUGAUCUUGAUAUUGAUUUCAUAAAUUGAGCCCAUUUUUGUACAUCAAUUGAAAGUUAUUGGUUAGUACUUUCAUCACAACUGAAAAUCAACACAACUGAACCUGUAAAUUCAUUUUUCAGUGAAACCAGACAUCUGAUGGAUGAAUGGACACCAUAUUUUGACUCUAAAUGACAAGCCAAAGUUGUCUGGUUGGCACGUACAAUGCGUAGAGCAACAGAGAUGGCAGCACAUGAGGCCUACACGUAGAGAUUGGGGCAGUGUGUGGCGUUGAUUCUCGUCGAGGUCCUUGAAGGCAGUUUGUUGAAAUCUGGACAGUUUUUCCAUUGAGUAUUUGGUUGUCGGAUGUUAUUUUGGGUUGCUGCAAUUGUUGAAGGUUGUAGAGCGAACAGUGGUGGCCUUGAAACUGUAAAUUUUUCGCAUCUUUCCUUUAUUUACAAACCGAUAGUUUGGUAGGCUCGAUGAAUUGGCUGAUCUCUUUCUGUAUUAGAAGGCCAUUAUGUGGGGCGAUCAUUGGGUUUGGGAUUACCGUGCGGGGGUAAACAUUGCUUGUUGCUAGAAUUUAGUAAUUAUUUGCCUUGUUUUAUGUGUUUGAAGUAUUGAAAAUUGUUAAGUUUUAUUGCUGAAAAUUUUUCAUUGAAUCUGUGAUAUAAUUGUUGAAUGAGUUACUUUGUGAGACUUGAUGAGAAAUUUUGAUGACGACAUUGUCUACUAUUUUGUUGUUUUGAGCCAUUUUAUUUAUGUUUAUUUAGUAUUAGUUGGGCUAGCCCAAACUUUGACUUUAGGGUUACUGUUUCUAUUUAAAUGUUUGUAAAUGAAACUUGGGAGAAGACUAGAAAUGUCUCUUAUUUUUGUUCUUGUUCUUCUUCUUCGGCAGUGAGAUAGUAUCGUGAACUCCAAUGUUUAACACAGCUCCAAGUUAGGCGUUCCUUCUUCUUCUUAUUCUUCUUUGUGAGAUCGUAUUGUGACCUUCAGCAUCUAAUGCAGCUCCAAGUCCGGGGGUCCUUCUUCUUCUGUUCUUGUCUUCUUCUUCUUUUUCUUCUCUGUCACAGUUAUUAUACUUUUUCUCUUGUCAAGUUCACUUGACGCGACAUCACCUGGUUUUGUUAGUAUAAAUGGAUGGUGAUGAGACUUGAACGAUUGACCUCUUCCUAAUAUGACAAGUUGAACAACCUUAUCUCCAUCAAUUUCAAGUCUUAUCAUGCAAUCAACAACAACAUAAGCUCAUCACUACUUGAUUCCAUCCUCCAGGACCAACGGAGUCUCAAAAUUUUAGGCAGAGAAUCAUAAAACAUAAAAUAAAAACCUACCAAAAUCAGUAAUAUCACCAUUUCUCCAUGCUGCUACUAACUGGGACCUCUAACCAAUAUUCAAAAACUGAAACUCCAGGACCUCAAAUUUUGCAAAUUAGAUCUAGUGAUACUUUGCUUGGAUCUCUUGAACAAUGGGAUGUAUUUGUUGUUAUGGUGUUGAGAAACGCCAAUUAUAGUAGUGUGUAGUAGGUUUCAAGAUUUUGCUAGUAGGGUCCAUGAAUUAGGUCAACAAGAUGGUUUAUUGGAAGGAAAGGAUGAGAUGGUGGUGGCGAAUGAGCCAAGGGGAUGGUGGGAUGGGUGUUGGUGCUCGGGUAAGUGGCAAUUUUUUAUAAUCCCAUUAACUAUGGAGGGAGUAUUGAUGUCUUCGAUAGAUUCAUCUUGGAUGGAUUCUACUUAUACAACUUAAUUAUUGUUUUUAACUAGUAUCAAUGUGCUCAUAUGAUUUAUCUCGAGACAUGGUUGCCAUUAAGUCAAAAUUCUGCUCUCCGAUAUUACUUAUUUUGAGGUGGGCCUCCUUAUCUUACGCCAGAAAGGUUGGUUAUUCUCACAUUUUUGGGAACUUCUCCAAGGGGUUUUACUUCUAUAAUUUCCAUUUCCAAUUCCUGGUAUAGGAAAGGUGUUAGUUCAUGUUACUUGUUAGAUGCAGAGACUAACGAGAGGAGGAUACAGUUUCUGUAUAUCAAUACUGAUGAACUUUCUAGAAGCUUAUUAUAAUAAGGAUAUUGAUUUACUCAUCAUUAUUUCAGUUUAUGCUUCAUUUAGUAUAGAACCACUGGGAUAGUUUAGUUUUUCAUUCCGUUCUUACCGCCUCUUUCUCGUGCAUCACUUCCCUAAACAACUUUAGUUACAUGCCCAGACAUUGUUGAAGUAGCCUAGUUGUUUGGAAUUAUUAAUGGUUGUUGCAUAUUCUAAGAUAACUCUAGAAUUCGCUAGAAUUGCCUUGGGGAGCAAGAAAAUAGAAGUCCCUAGAAUUUCUUGAUAAGCAAGAAAAAAAAGUAAUUUAAAAUUAAAAAAUCAGAAUUUUCUAGAAUGUCUUGGAAAAGUAAUAAAGUAAUGAAAAAAAUCAGAAUUUCUAGAAUAGUUUCCACCAUGUAUAAAUAGGGGGUAUUACCUUCAAAAUAUUGUAAUAAAACAAAAAAUUGAAAAGAGCAUCCAAAUUCUUGCAUUGUAAAUCAGAAGUCACUUUGUAAAACUUCUAUAAAAUAACUUUCUUCCUCCUUUUAACUAUCUUGUUCAAUUAAAUUACUCCUAUCAUUUAUAUCCCUCAUAAAAUCUACUUAAUAACAAACCCCGCCCCGUGUAACACCACUAGAUCCGAACGUAGUAUGUGCCGAUGAUAGAUACCAACUAAAAGUUGGACCCAUCAUCAAGGCUACUAUAAAUACAAUAUAUCAUUUUUUAUACAUCAUUUUUCUAACAAAAUUUCGGCAUUAUUUCAUCUGUAAAUAGGAUUAACCAACCUGUGAUCAAUUUCACACAAAUCCUAAACUAUAGCACAACACAAUAAAGAUAAGCCAAAAUCUCCACUUUUACCAAGAAAUACAAUGAAAUAUACAUAUGGAUACAUAAUACAUAAUGAGCCCCAUAAUUAUCUACAAGUGAUGCAAAAUCACAUCUAGACAUGAACAUGCGUCCCAAAAUACUGACUAUAUGUUCUAUGAAGUGAAUCAUACUAACAAACUCUGUCGUGUGGCUCUGACUCCAAAAUCAAGCCUCAACUCCAAAAGAUGCCCAGAUUCUCAACUGCUGCCUAAUAAGGAAAAACGGGGAAAAAUAUAUAUGAGUUGAUAGCUCAGUGAGUAGAGAAGUUCCAAAUAAAUAUACUUUUUCAUUUAUACAUUUUUAUUGAAAAUCAAAUUCAUAUCAUUUGAUAAUUCAUAAGCUACCAUUAUGUAAUUAUAGCCCAAAAGCGAAAUAUUCACAUAAGGUCAUAAAAAUAUCAUCUUAAAAUCAUGAUAUAACAUCAGCGGAUAACCAUGCUAUAAUCUCAUCACAUCAAACGUGCUGAAAAAUCUACUAAAAAUGUACCCUCUGACUAAAAUCUGUAAUCCGCCUCUCGAGCUAAGAACUUUCGCCAUGGGCCUAUGGCUCCUCCGUAAACAAAAGUCGGUCUCAAAGACCUCUCAUAAUCAAUUCUAGAACACGGUCAAGACCCUUUUGUGAACUAAAUGUACACGAUCAAGACCAAUGUCAGGUCAAGACCCUCCGUGUAGGAUAGAACACAGUCAAGGCCCCUCUAUGAAUUAGAAGAAGUAUAUAAUUAUGGGUACUUUUCUGGCCGAUCUCAAUAUUGCAUGUCUCACAUACCAAACAAAUCUCAAUAUCACAUGUCUUACAUACCAACUCACAAAUAUGCCAUAAAUAAUCUUUGAUAUUCCACAUGUAUCAUAAUAAAAGAGAUUUCCAUAAUAACCAUGUAAUUCAAACACAUAAUUGCAUAUAAUUGCACAUACUUUAACAAUAUACUUAAUUUAUAAAUAUUUUAAAAAUAUUUAUAUUUUUCACUUACAGAACUAUGUACACCAAAAUCAAUUCGAUUGGUACGUUGUCUCGAUAUUCAUAUCGUCGCCUGAAAUUUAAUAUAAUUUUUAAAUCAACAAUUAACCAAUUUAAGUACUUUCAAUAAUUAAAUUGGCAAUACCCAAACAUAAUUAUUUCACGUUUAGGCAAUUUCUAAAGUCUCUUUAAUUACUAAAAUUAAAUUUUCUUUCAUUUUACUCAAUUUCAUAGUUUAUUACACUUAACCCCUUCAUUAAAAUUAAAUUUAACCUAACAAUCUAACAACUAUAAAAUCAAACAUAACUUAACAAUAAGUAACUUUUUACUUACCUUUCAAAAUUGAGGAAUUUAAGCAUAAUAGUAUAACCCACUUAAUUCCUAACACAUUGACGAAAUUUUUCUUUUUUUUUCUUCUUUUCCCUUUUUUUUUCUUUUUCUUUUCUCUCUUCUUCUUUCUCUCUGUCUCGUUUUCUUUCGUGUGUGUAAUGUGUGUGCUUUCUUUUAAUUUGGUUUUGGGUUGUGUAUAUAUAUAUAGAUAUUCAAUUGGAAUGAUUUGUUUUUGCUUCCACCGCGUGCCGUUUUUGUUUUUAUCUUUUGAUUUUAUUUUUUUAUUUUCUUUUAAGUUUGACUUUUCUUUUGAAUUGAUUAAAAUAUUACAAAACUCACCCACUUAAAAUAAUUUUGUCCUCAAAAUUUGAUUAACUAAGUACGAAAAAUCUAGGGAUACUGAGAACGCAUCUGCUCUUCACUUUCCCAUGUCGCUUCUUCUAUAACAUGAUUCCUCCACAAAACUUUAACUAAAGGAAUAGUCUUACUACGCAAGACAUGUUCCUUCCUGUCCAAUAUCUGAAUUGAUUUUUCUUCAUAGGUAAGAUUUUCCUUCAGCUCUACUGGUUGUAAUUCCAAAACAUGAGAUGGAUCUAGAAUAUACUUACAAAGCAUAGAAACAUGGAAUGCAUCAUGAAUUCUAGACAAUUCUAUUGGCAAAGCAAAUCGAUACGCAACUGGACCGAUGCGUUCAACAAUCUCAUAUGGGCCAAUAUACCUCAGACUCAAUUUACCUUGUUUACCAAAUCUAAUAACACCUUUCCAUGGAGACAAUCGCAGGAAAACUCUAUCCCCAACAUCAAAUUCAAGGUUUCUUCUACGUCUAUCUGCAUAGUUCUUCUGUCUAUCCUGGACUGUCUUUGACUUUUCUUUAAUUAUCUUUACUUUCUCAGCAGUAAUCUAGACAUAUUCAGGACCCAAUAACUUUCUUUCACCAACUUCAUCCCAACAUGCUAGAGUUCUGCAUUUCCUACCAUACAGUGCUUCAAAAAGAGCCAUUUCUAUAUUAGAAUAAUAACUGUUAUUAUAAGCAAACUCCAUCAAAGAAAGAUGAGUAUCCCAAUUCCCUUUGAACUGUAGUACACAAGCUCGUAAGAGUCUGAAUAGUUCUUUCUGACUAACCAUCUGUUUGUGGAUGAAAAGCUGUACUGAAAUGAAGUUUAGUACCCAUAGCUUUCUACAAACUGGGCCAAAAUUUAGAAGUGAAACGAGAAUCUCUAUCUGAAACAAUAGAUACUAGUGUCCAUACAAACUGAUUAUCUUAUCAACAUAUAUUUUUGCCAAUUUAUCUAACAAGUGACUUUAAUAGGCAAAAAUCUAACAGUAUUCGUCAAUCUGUCUACAAUGAUUCAUAUGCCAUCAUGUCCACUCUGAGUCCGUGAAAGUCUAAAUAGAAAAUCCGUAGUAAUGUGUUACCAUUUUCACUCAGGAAUAGGCAACGUUUGUAACAAUCUUGCUGUUUUCUGAUGAUCUGGUUUCACUUGCUGGCAAAUGAGACAUCUGGAUACAAACUCAGCUAUUUCUCUCCUCAUUCCAUGCCACCAAUAGUGUUCUUUGAGUACACGAUACAUUUUUGUACUGCCUGGAUGCAUCGCGUAAGCUGAACUAUGUGCCUCUUCUAGAAUUUCUCCCUUCAAUUUCGAAUCAUCUGGAACACAUAAUCUGUUUCCCAUAACUAAAGCUAUGUCAUCUCGAAUGGUAUAAUCUGUAUGCUUACCUUUACUAACUUCUUCUUUCAAUUUGCUCAACACUGGAUCUUGAGUUUGAGUUUCUCUAACUGUGUCAAUCAAAGUAGGCCUCACUUGGAAGUUGGCAAACAAUGCUCUUACACUGGUAACUGAUAAUUGAGCAUGAAAACCUCUGAACUCACCAAACAAAGAUGAACAUACUGCAUUAUUUUGGGUCAUAGGACUCAAUAUUUUUUGACUGAGAGCAUUAGCAAUUACAUUAGCCUUCACUGAGUGAUAAUCAAUCUUGCAGUCAUAAUCUUUUAUCAGCUCUAACCAUCUUCUUUGCCUCAAGUUUAACUCUUUUUGAUCGAGAAUAUACUUUAAGCUUUUAUGAUCUGUAUAUAUCUAACAUCUCUCACCAUACAAGUAAUGUCUCCAAAUUUUCAAGGCUAGGACAACUGCAGAUGGCUCUAAGUCAUGUGUAGGAUAACUCGGUUCGUGUUUCUUCAAUUGCCUGGAAGCAUAUUCUAUAACUUUCUCAUUCUACAUCAAAACACAACCAAGACCCUAACAGGAAGGAUCACUAUAUAUCACAAACUCUUCACCGAGAGAUGGAAGGGUAAGAACUAGAGCUGACACUAAUCUAUUCUUCAAUUCAAGGAAACUUCUUUCACAAUUUUCAUUCCAAACAAAUUUAGCAUUCUUUCUAGUCAAAUUGGUCAAAGGAAGAGCAAUUUUUGAAAAUCCUUCUACAAAACGACGAUAAUAACCUGCUAAGCCAAGGAAACUUCGAAUUUCUGUCACAUUAGUAGGCCUUUCUCAUUUUACCACUGCCUCUAUUUUCUGCGGGUCCACAUAAAUUCCCUCUACUGAUAUGACAUGUCCCAAAAAUAUAACUUUAUCAAGCUAAAAUUCACAUUUAUCAAAUUUAACAUACAACUGCUCAUCACGUAGAGUCUGGAAGAUGAUUUUGAGAUGCUCUGUGCGCUCAUCAUGAUCUCGAAAGUAUACUAAAAUAUCAUCAAUGAAUACAAUCACAAAUCUGUCUAAAUAUGGGUGAAACACUCUAUUCAUCAUAUCCAUAAUUGCUGGUGGUGGUUGGUCAACCCAAAUGGCAUCACAAGAAAUUCGAAAUGACCAUACCUUGUCCUGAAAGCAGUUUUUGGCACAUCACUGUCCCUGAUUUUAAGUUGAUGAUAUCCAGAACGCAAAUCAAUCUUUGAAAAUACUGUAGCACCUCAAAGCUGAUCAAACAAAUCAUCAAUACGUGGCAAAGGAUAUUUAUUGCGAAUUGUCACCUUGUUUAAUUGUCUAUAAUCUAUGCACAGUCGCAUUGUGCCAUCUUUCUUUUUCACAAACAAAACUAGUGCUCCCCAUGGAGAUAUACUAGGUCUGAUGAAACCCUUGUCUACCAACUCUUGCAACUGAACCUUUAGCUCUUUCAAUUCUACUGGUGCCAUUCUAUAGGGUGCCCAUGAAAUAGGUGCUGUUUCGCGCGUGUUCGUCGCUAACAAUUAAAAGGGAUUAGACGAUUGUGUAAGGGACAAACCUCUUGAGACAAAGUCCCAAAAAAGGGUGUUCUUUAUUGGCAAUAACUUUACAAUUGGAAAUUAAAAACAGAAUGCCUCCAAGGGGCGCAGGCACACGAGUUACUGAAAGAAGUGUUUAAAUCUAAGCUAAGAAAUUUAAAAUUACAUGUUCUCUGUUCGAGAGUUUAUGAUUCGGUCAUUUUUCUCUAUGUCUUUUCUUCCUUUUAUACUCCUUGGAUGAUCUCUUUGUGAUCAACCGCCUAAAAACUGCUUGAUCGUUCUAUAACUGCCCACUUUCCUCGUAAUGGCCAACUUUGCAUGGAACUACCUUUGUUAACUGCUGCCAUUACUCUUUGUCGUUCAACCGUCUUCAAUUGAAUUCCUUGAAUCGUGGAACGUGAUGGGGCUGCUUAAUAACUGCUUUGAUAACUGCGCUUCUUGAUAACCAUAACACUUCAUGUUUGCUAAGUCCUUGGGCGACUCGAAGAUUUGGGCGAGAAUAGAGUAGCAGCUCUAGGCGACUGCAUGGCAUUCCAUUUGCUCAGAUCCUGGGCGACUUGCAAGUUUGGGCGAUGGUGUUACCGCGUUCACGGGCCUCCCUAUUUGGGCCUUCAUCCUGAAUCGUCUGAUUGGGCUUCAUUCUUUGGGCUAUCUGACUUGGGGAUCCUUCAAUUGGGCUUCAUUCCUUGGGCCGUUCGAUUUGGGUUGAAUUUUUAUGUGUCAACAAUUACCCCCCAAUAUGGCAGAAUUAAUACCAAUUAUUAAAUUUUGCUAUAUUCACUUUUGUGUUUCCAGCAACAUUCGAAAUUCUCAAGAAUUUCAAUCACUGUUUUCUUCCAUAACUUUGAAAAGGUGCGGCGUUUUGUAAACCCUUAUAACCCCCAAAUACGCCAUCUCACUGCACCAUUAAAUCACGCCUCACUUUUUCGCGUUUCUCUCCCACAAUUUACUGUUCAUCUCUUUGCUUCCCUACUACGUAAUUCUGAAAAACUCCAUUUCGUCCAUAAUGGCUACUUUACAAUCUCAAUCUAGCGACUCCUUUAGUUUUGAUGACUUUCAGAAACUCCUUAAUCGUCCAUACAUAACUCCGAACUUUCUCGCACCUGCCAAUGUCGAACUCAAUGAGUUCUACCUAGGUCCUUUCUUCAACAAUGCAGAGGCAGUCGAACAAGCGGCGAUUGGCCAGCUGUUUCCUUGCACUCAAGGUCCUCCAUUUCUAAACUCUCUGCCGCUGGGGCCACUUCGCGAAAGAGGUAUUCGCAUUUGGCCCAAAUCUGACGUAGUUUUCCAUAGGUGGCAUGCUCGCCUUGUGGACCAUGGUCCUAUUAAGGCACUUUUUAAUAAUGCUAGGAUUUCUGAUUUGUUAGAAAUCUCUAUUCAACCCCCUUACUUUUGAUUCGGCACUUUUUUCGAUCGCUCUAAGUUUUUGGUCUUCUGAAUAUAAUACCUUUGUUUUCCCUCUUGGCCCCAUGUCUAUUACUUUAAGGGAUGUUGGGGCCCUGGUGAAUCUACCACCUUUGGGCAAUACCAUUUUUCCUGGUAUCUUGGUUUCUGGUGGCGCCCCAAAGUUUGGUAGAAACCUUACCGAUUCUUAUUCAAGCCUGCAAACCCUUCAUAACCAUUCGAGCGCUGAGCCUUCCCAUACUGAGCGAGUGGCUUUUCUUCUGGUUUGGCUUUGUAAAUAUGUUUUGUGUGUGCCAAGCAUAAAGCCCUCCCUGAGCUAUUUACCCAUAGCGCACGAAUUGGCGCGUGGCAAGCCUUUGAAUUUAUGUUCUUUCUUUUUGGCUGCCCUCUAUAGAGGCAUGGCUUCUCUUCAAACUCAAUUGAAGAAUGGUGCAUCUCCCACUGGCAGUGGACCUCUUUGGUUCACUCAAAUGUGGUUGAGGUCCUAUUUUCCAAUGCUUGGUGCUCCAUCAAUUUCUCGUCCUUCUGCUAAGUGCUAUGGGCUAGCCAUUGAGCCCCUGGCUCCUGUAAAUAUGUCUAGAAGGGACAUUUUUUCAUUCUUUUAUUCUUUGGAUUCAAUCCCUUCCUUCUUUCCUUUUCCUUCCUUUUUGACUCCAGACUAUGUGCAUCCUUCCUCUACCAUAGACAGUACGAGCACCUCUCUGCUCAUUUGGAUCCAGUUUUUAACCAGGAGGGAGUUAUUUCAUGAUAUUUUGACUGGGACCAAUGCCAAGGCUAGAGUAGAAAUAUAUGAUCCCCAAUUUUUUGCCCCCCAACUUGGUUUCGGCCAAACCUGGCCUGUCGCUCCUUGCUAUUCAAGGAAUUUGAUAGACCGCUUCCAUAUUAUUAAUAAGGCAGAGGCAGAGGUUAUAAAUGCUUACAAUCUUCUUUUGACGAGCCAUUUUUCAUUAGCCCCCUUCAAUUCUAGUCAUGUCAUCUAUCCUCCUUUUGAACAGCUCUGGCCGUCAGUGAAGCGCAGAUUGUUUGCGACUGAUGCCAAUCGUGCCUUUCAUUCACUGGACCAGCCAAGCAUUUCUUCCCCUCCUCCUGGUUUAGUCACUCCUUUGUCUAUCCGGAGUCCUUCUCCUCCUCGUCACGCCAAACAGUCUGCUCAUCCAUCUUCUUCUCUCCCUGCCAAGCCUACUGCAGCCAGAAGUGCUCUGAGCCACAAACGGCCAGCCUCAGCAUCUCCUAUUCUGGAGGAUGAUGUUGAUGAUGAUGAUGAUACCCCUCUUAUCAUCAGGAGAAAGGUAAUUAAAUUGGUUUACUUACAAGCAUACUUUUCCAUACUUGAAACUUUUCUGUGUGUUGAUGAUUUAUUUGGACUUCUCAGAAAAGUUCGGCCUCUCCUUUAAAGGCUUUGGUAUCGGCAGCUCCUGCUCCAUCAUCCUCCGCUGAGGCUGCUUCAUCCAAACCGGCUGAUGAUGGGACUACGCUUAAAGAGACAUCUUCAGCCCCAGAAUCCACAUCACAACCAAUGGAUGAGCCACCUUUUUCCCAGGGCGUCAACCCCCCAAACAUCGAAGCAGAAGGUAAUUCAGUUUUUUGAUGCUUUACCUUUGCUUGUGCUAUUGGUUUCUGAUUUGUUGCUCUUGAGUUCUACAGAUGCUCCUAUGAGUCUGUCCGUUGUGGCAACAUCUUCUCGCUCAGACAAGGGGAAGUCCUCGCGAAUGGUGGAGCCAUAGGUGGCAAACUUGGCUGAGGAUACGCCAUCUUCCAAGAUUAUUGAUGAGGUAAUCUUUGCUUCACUUUUAUUUCCAUCUUGUUCGUUGUAGUGAGAAUCUUUAGUAUUGGCAAUUUUCUUUGUAGGAUGCUGAUAAGAUUGUGCGUUCCACCCAAGACUUGUUAGCUUCCUGGGGACAAGUCAAGACAUCUCGCCCUGCUCCAUCUGGUCAUCCUGCUACUUCUUCAGAGGAAGAUAUGAAGUUCCUCAAGCAAUCGAUAUUUGAGUAUGUGUCCUUGAUGGAUAUGGACAUUGGCAAGGCUAGUGCUGCCAAACAUAAGGAUAAACUUAAGCAUUUGAACGCGAAGUUGGAGCAAGCACUGACACUUUUGUCGCUCAAUCUUUCUGCUGAUUUUAAAGCGAUGUUGAAAGUUAUCCAUUCCGAAGUCCUUUCCUUGCUGGCCAAGAAUGUUGGACUGAAGGCCAAAAGUACUCAAUAUCUUCGCGCCGUAUCUGAAAAAGAGUCUUUGCGUCAAGAGAUCAACAAAGCAGAGGACGAGUUGAAAGAAAUCUCUUCCGAAGUCAUGAUUGAAGAUUCUUAGAUGACUAGUUUGGCUGCUCAGAUGAAGGAACUUCAAGCCAAAAUAGACGACUGCAAGGUGAGAAUGGCUGCUAAAAAGCAUAACGCCUCCCAGGAAAUUGAGCGAACUAAGUCUUUGAUCGAGCAGUACAAGAAGUUGGAAGUUGAUGAUGAUGUCGUGGCCGAAUUGAACAUCACUUCCUCUCGGCAGAACGAGGACUGGGAAAAACUUAGGGAAAGAAUUCAUUCGGUAUGGGGCGAAUUGUAAUUAAGACAUAUAAUGCCUUAACUCUUUCUUAUUGUAAUUUCACACUUGACUUUCCUUUUGUAACCUUGUUCAUCAUUAAUGAACAUCUAUGUUAACUUCUUGUGUAUUUAUUUGACGUUUGUAUUUUAAUCGCCAAUCCUUCAAGCAUUUAACUGCUUUGUGCUAAAAAUCUUACACAUUUUCUCUUGAUAUUUCCACCUCUUUUCCCAAGACUUUGGGCUACUUAAUUCCAUUUACUAGGCAGAAUGUGGCUGCUCAUAUUCUGUCUCUUCAUCUCCACCCCCUAUAAAUGCACGUAUGCUUCGCACUUUCCGUCUUCCAUCUUCAUUUUCAUUCUCUUCUUCAAAACCAAUUUGCUGCCAUUGUUUGGCAUUCUGAUAAUCAAUCCAAAACCUUCGUCUUCUAUAAAUAUGGAUUGUUUGGUCCGCCCAUUUUACUACUUGUCUUGAUGUCACCUUUGGUAUGGGAGAUAUAGGAAAUAUUUUUUGGUCAGCAGCGAAGUUUUUCCCAUCAAAGUUCUUCCCAUCGUCUCUUUGAUCUUUACAAGGGGUUCGAUGAUAGAAGGCAAUUUUUAGGAUGCUUGCGGGCCACCUUGCUUGCUGAGAGUGCUUCUCAGCCUCUUUGCCCGCCAUUACAGAGGUGCAUUUAGGAAGGCAGUGCGAGGCCAGUCCACCCUCUUACUCGGCGAUCGACCAAGAGAUUAGCUUACUUGUAGUUUGUAGAGCAUCCAUUAUUUGUAUUUUGCAUCUUUGUAAUGAACGUUUGAUAAUAAAGGACUUUAUUUGAACGUAUUUCGCUCUGACUUUGUUAUCUUUAAUCGUUCAACAUGUUUUGAUUACGCUUUUAUCUGUUCGCUUUCCCAUAAAAAAGGAACAUAUUUUUUCAAAUAUUUGCCGUUGAUGAAUCUCACGUGCUUGUUGCCAUCUAAAUCUUCCAAAUGAUAUGCUCCAUUGGGUAACACACUAUUUACUUUGUAUGGUCCUUCCCAAUUAGGCGACCAUUUCCCGUACUUUGGAUCCUUGCUAUCCAAAGAGAGUAUUCUCUUCCAAACUAAUUCGCCCAGGCUGAACGACUUGGCUAUGACUUUUUUUAUUAUAAAACUUAGCCAUUCUUUGUUUUUGAACUUGCAAUCUAUCUAAGACGUCCAACUUUAAUUCGUCCAACCCCAAUAAAUUUUGAACUAGUGAUUCGGUAUACUCGUCAUCAUUUAACUUAUGUUGCAAGCACACUCUAAUCGAUUGCACAUUGAUUUCCGUAGGCAAAACGGCCUCCUAUCCAUAAGUAAGUUGGAAAGGAGUAAUUUUGGUACUUGACCGAGGUAAUAUUCUAUAAGCCCAUAAGCCUUUAUUCAGACAUUCGUGCCAAUUUCUGACAUUUUCAUCUAUCAUCUUUCUGAUUAUAUUUUUUAGAAUCUUAUUAGAAGAUUUUGCUUGUCCGUUGGAUUGAGCGUAAUAUAGUGUGGAGUUUACUAAUUUAACCCCAAACUCGCUCAAAAAUUUGUUCACUUGAUCCCCAUUCAAAGAUGUUCCGUGAUCUACCAUCAACAUUUGUGAAAUUCCAAACCUAUAAAUGAUGUGAUCAUGGAUAAACUCUAUGACAUUAUUUUGGGUGAUCUCUUUCAAAGAUACCGCCUCUACCCACUUGGCGAAACAGUCGCUUGCAACUAUAACAAAAGUAUGUUGCUUGGACGAUGGGGAUAAAUCUUCCCUAUCAGGUCUAUCGCCCAACCCUUGAAUGGCUAAGGUUUAAUAAUAUGUGCUAUCUCUCGUGCUGGCGCCCUUUGUAUUGGACCAUGGUUUUGGCAUGCUAAACAACUCUUUGCAUACUGAACGCAUAAUUCUCCCAUCUUUGGCCAAAAAUAUCCACUCCUAAUAAUUAACCAUCUCAUCUUUUGGCCAGCUUGAUGAGCUCCACAUAUCCCUUCGUGCACCUCAGCCAUGAUCGUCCUGGCUUCUUGCAAACUUACACACUUUAGCAAUACACCAUCAGAGCGUUUCUUAAACAACUCUUCAUUUAUUAGUGUAUAGUUCAGCAAACACAGCUUCAUUUUCCUACUAAUCCCUCCAUUAGGUUCUUUAAGGAACCUUUUAAUCUCUGUUCUCCAAUCCAUUGCAUCUCCAUCUUGUAUGCAAUGAAGUUCAAUUCGUCUCGCCCUUCUUUGGGUCACGGGCAAUAAAGUUCCAUACUCACAAGUAGACUUCCAAUUCAAAACCUUUGAGUACCCUGAGGCCAUUUGGGCCAACUCAUUUGCCACAUCGUUAUAUAUCCUAUUAACGCAUUGAAGUUCUACUUGGUCAAAUUCUUCUAACAAUUCUUGGGCGAUCUCAUAUUGACUUAUAAUGGAAUCACUUUGGCAUUUAAAAUCACCAAUCAGUUGGUGAAUUACCAAUUGAAAAUCGCCCCUAACGAUCACAUUUUUUACUCACAUAUCUAUCAUUAGUUCUAGGCCUACGAUUAAGACUUCAUAUUCAGCCUGAUUGUUGGUGCACAUCCUGUCUAAAGUGAACGCGAACUUGUAACAAAUCCCUAAAGGAUUAAUCAAUGCUACUCCUACUCCUGCACCUUUAGAGGUUUUUGACUCAUCGAAAUACAACACCCAAGGUUUUAGCUCGAACGAAUUGAUUUAUAAUUCAAUCUCUUCAGGCAUGUCAAGGCAUGGAUGAUCGGCUAGAAAGUUAGCCAAAACUUGAUUUUUGACUGCCUUUUGAGGUAUAUAUUGUAUCUCGAAUUCUGAUAAAGCUAAUGUCCAAAGGCCUACCCUUUGGUGUAAAAUAGGGCGCGAGAACAUAUACUUAACUAAAUUUACUUUAGAAAUUAAAUAAACGGCUACGCACCGUAAAUAAGCCCUCAAUUUUGUACAUGUGAAAUACAAUGCAAGAUAUAAUUUUUCGAUAGCAGAGUAAUUACAUUCACAUUUUGUUAACCGUCUACUUAAGUAGUAAAUUGCCCUUUCUUCACCAAAUUGGUCUUCUUGUGCGACUAUUCCAGCUAUUGAUUCUUUUUCAGCCGAUACGUACACUUUCAUUGGCCGUACUUGGAUUGGUGACACCAACACUGGUGGACUUAAUAAAUAUGUCUUCAGGCUUUCAAAAGCCUUUUGAUGUUCUUCUUUUCAGACGAAUUCGUCCUGAUUUUUCAGUUUUAAGAGCGGCAAAAAGACCUUAGUUCACCCUGCACAAUUAGAAAUAAAGCAUCUUAAAAAGUUUAUUGGCCUAGAACCCUUUGCAAUUCUUUUUUGUUGCUAGGUGGUUUGGCCUCUAAAAUGGCCUUCGCUUUAUUUUUAUCAAGUUCAAUCCCUCUUUUGUGUACCAAGAAACCAAGAAAGUUCCCUGCAUUAACACCAAAUGCACAUUUCAAGGGAUUCAACUUUUGCUUAUAUUGCUUCAUUCGCUCAAACGAACAUCUUAGCUAUUCGAAAUGGUCCUCUUCUUUAAUGGAUUUGACCACUAUGUCAUCUACAUACACUUCAACAAACUUGCCUAUCAUAUCAUGAAAUAUUAAAUUCAUUGCACUUUGAUAAGUUGCUCAUGCAUUUUUUAGGCCGAAAGGUAUGACCACCCAUUCAAAACAUCCUAGAGACCCAGGGCAUCUAAAGGCAAUUUUGUGUAUGUCUUCUUCAGUUAUAUAAAUUUGAUUGUAUCCUGAAUACCCAUCCAUGAAAGAAUACAUGACGUGUUCGAUAGUUGAGUCUACUAAAGAAUCCACCAUGGGCAUUAGAUACUCAUCUUUGGAUGUAGCUAUGUUUAAAUUCCUAAAGUCUAUGUACACUCUUAGUUUACCAUUCUUUUUUAUUACUGGCACGAUAUUGGACAACCAUUCGACAUAUCUGACUGUUCUAAUAAAACCUGCUUUCAAUAAUCGCUCUAUCUCUUUCUUAAUCUCAGGGAGUACAUUAGGAGCAAAACGUCUAGGAGGGUGCCUAUGAGGUUUAAAAUUAGGCUUAGUUGGUAACCUAUGUUCCACCAAGUCUCUAUCUAAACCAGGCAUUUGUUCAUAUUCCCAAGCAAAACAAUCUUUAUAUUCCUUUAGCAAAGCGAUUAAUUUAUCACUAACCUCUUGAUCGAGUAUCUGGCUGAUGAAUGUUGGGCGAUCUUCUCCUUCAUUGCCAAUAUUUACUUCGAUCAGAGGGUCUUGUGCUUGAGCGUAUCCAGGUUUAAUGAUCUGCAUCACUUCGUUGUCCAGUUCCCUUGUAAGUACUUCUUCUUCUAAACAGUCCACCUUGUUGACUUCUCGGCCAAUGCUUUGUUCCAUCUCGAAUACUGCCCAUUUGUCUUUCAGUGCUCUUAGGGCUGCCUCUUCUUUCGUUUUGUCCUUGCAUUCUUUAUUGAAAGCCAUUAGUCUGGCUUUGAAGGCCUGAAUAUCGGCCAUUUGCUUUUGUAACUUAGAAUCCAUUCAAGACUCCUUGAUUAUUCUUUUGCCAAUUACUGGCUCUUCUAGGGCCACUAUAUUUGGCCUCAUCUGUCUGAACAUUUCAGUGAGUGCGUCCACUAAAAAUGGCUCUUCGCUUUGCGUGACAACUUGAGUUUCUUCUCCAUCUUGUACAACCCCGAUAGGUCCAUAGUUUCCUUCGUACAUGAACUUUUCCACCGAGUUUACUUCUGCGACAAAAGGCCUAUGAUCGGCCUGUACCACCUCUGCUUCGCUCUUGUUAUUCCAAAAAAUAGGCAUUGAUGGAGCGAUGAGGGUAUACAGAGACUUCCGUGUAUCCAAUCUCUUCCUAGUAACACAUUGUAACUAGUAGGACCAUCUAUUACAAAGAAGACUGUGGUCCUAGUAGUUGUCCCUAUAGUUAUGACCAAUCGCAUAACUCCCUUAGCUGAAGUUGCUCCUCCAUUGAAACUCGUAAGGAUGACUUCUAUUGGAAUCAUGUCACCCUCUGUCUUUCCAAAUUUCCUCAUCAUCCUAGAUGGAAUGGUGUUUAUAGCUGCUCCAUUGUCGACAAGUACUUUUGCCACAUGGAUGCCGUUAACUAGAGUUUUAAUGUACAAUGGCCUCAAGUGUUUAGUCAAUUUCAUGGCUGGCCGUUUAAAAAUAACCUUUUCGGCAGCCUCUAUUUCUACUUCUUGCUUGUUUUCUGUCGAAUUAUCCCCCUAUGAUAAAUCGAUGUGCAGCAUAUCAUGCUGAGCCUCUGUCUCCUGAAUUUCUCCCUUACUGUUUUCUAAUGCUUCCUCAUCAGUUACCCAACCUGUGGGAGGGGGCAUUAUUCUUGGAGGUGAUCCAUACUUUUCAGAGAGAGUCACUCUCCUCUUCCUUUUAGGCAUCCCGUACAGUACGUAGAAAUCGAAAGGACGUCCAGAUGGUUCUCCCAACAAGUCUACUUCGCAAACUCCCUCUCGAUGUAGUUGUUUCAACAGAGUAUUGUGCGAUACUCCUCUCCUUCUUCUUUCUGCUUCUAGGUCAAUUUUUUCUUCGAUGUCUGUCAUCCCGUCAUCUUCUUCAUCAUUGUAGGCCUUUCCAGAAGCUUGGCCUUCUUCACAUUCCAGCACGCAAGCCUCCCCUUCGUUGUCCUCCCUUUCUUCUUCUUCUUUUUCUUCAUUCUUGAAUUCAUUGGCCAGUAAGUAAUUAUUAGCCACGACAGGAGGUAACGUACCGAACUGGAUAGUAAGGGGCUGAUCUGGAUCUUCUCCAUCCCUUCUAUCUCGCUCAAACUUUGAUCUCCCAGAAGAAGUCUCUAGCAGUUCUUUUAUUGAUUCAUCUGUACCGAUCUCUUCACUAUCUUUGAGAACAUUUUGAUUCCUUGAGUAGUUUAGGUGCUUUAGGAUGUGGCACCCCCUGUUGCUGCCUCAUCAUUCGUCCAUAGUUUCGUUGAAAAUGCUUUUGUUGGGUUCUUGUCAUCUCAUCGAAGGAUACUGCUCUUCCUGCAUUAUACUGGAAUGAAUGUCAUACAUUUGGCCGACGAGGUUGUGGCCUGAAUGUUCUCCCAUUAUCUACUGGCCUGCACUGCCUUUCAAAAGGCGGUCCUCUGUAGAAUGAUAUACCUCGCCCUCUACCAGGCUGAGUGUUUGGGAAGAAGGUAGGGCAAUGGGAAUGCUGCCAUAUCCCUAGUUUCUCCGUGUUUCCACUCACUUCUCUUUUACAUCUUGCACACAGGACGUCUUCGUCCUUUUUUGGCUCUUUCUCCUGAUUCGUUCAAAGACACUGGGAUGUGAUCCAGGGUCCUCUUCUCCAUCAUCUAUGACCAACUUGAAUUUUGGCAACUUGUUUUUGAAACCAGACGUCACCAUGUUCACUCCAAGUGGCUGUGGAAAAGGAUUUUCAUCCACUGCCAUAUUCUUCUUAUCGUCGAACGUAAUUCGUCCUGAUUCAAUGGCAUUCUGCAAUAUAUGGCAAAAACCCAAGCAAUUGUUAGUCAAAUGUGACCAUGCAUUAUGCCACUUACAAUAUUUUUUACCCUUAAUUUGUUCAGGGUUUGGCAAUUUAUGCUUAUAGCUCAGCCUUAUCUGCUUAUCCCUAUAUAAUUUAUCAAAUAUAAGGUCAGCUUUGGUUACAUCGAAUGAGAAAGUUCUAGCCUUUAUGUUUCCAUCUUUCAUGGGCUCAUCUUUGCCCGAUGGUCUAGGCUUAGCCAUUAUAGGACAAGUAUACGUGUCUCCUUUGACCAAUUCGGCCAAACACAUUUCGGCUUGAUCGUAUGACUCAUCGCUGAUGGUAUGAACGUCAAAAUUUGGGUCUUUGUAAUAAGUCCCUUUACUAGAAUUUUUCAUAAGAUGUCGUUAACUAGAGCUUUAACGUACAAUGGCCUCAAGUGUUUAGUCAAUUUCAUGGCUGGCCGUUUAAAAAUAACCUUUUCGGCAGCCUCUAUUUCUACUUCUUGGUUUUUUUCUGUAGAAUUAUCCCCCUGUGAUAAAUCGACGGGCAGCAUAUUGUGUUGAGCCUCUGUCUCCUGAAUUUCUCCCUUACUGUUUUCUAAUGCUUCCUCAUCAGUUACCCAACCUGUGGGAGGGGGCAUUAUUCUUGGAGGUGAUCCAUACUUUUUAGAGCGAGGCACUCUCCUCUUUCUUUUGGGCGUCCCGUACAGUACGUAGAAAUCGAAAGGACGUCCAGAUGGUUCUCCCAGCAAGUCUACUUCGCGAACUCCCUCUCGAUGUAGUUGUUUCAACAUAGUAUUGUGCGAUACUCUUCUCCUUCUUCUUUCUGCUUCUAGGUCAAUUUUUUCUUCGAUGUCUGUCAUCCCGUCGUCUUCUUCAUCAUUGUAGGCCUCUCCAAAAGUUUGGCCUUCUUCACAUUCCAGCCCGCAAACCUCUCCUUCGUUGUCCUCCCUUUCUUCUUCUUCUUUUUCUUUAUUCUUGAAUUCAUUGGCCAGUAAGUAAUUAUUAGCCACGACAGGAGGUAACGUACCGAACUGGAUAGUAGGGGGCCGAUCUGGAUCUUCUCCAUCCCUUCUGUCUCGCUCAAACUUUGAUCUCCCAGAAGAAGUCUCUGGCAGUUCUUUCAUUGAUUCAUCUGUACCGGUCUCUUCAUUAUCUUUGAGAACAUUUUGAUUGGCUACCUUGAGUAGUUUAGGUGCUUUAGGAUGUGGCACCCCCUGUUGCUGCCUCAUCAUUCGUCCAUAGUUUCGUUGAAAACGCCUUUGUUGGGUUCUAGUCAUCUCAUCAAAGGGUACUACUCUUCCUGCAUUAUACUGGAAUGAAUGCCAUACAUUUGGCCGACAAGGUUGCAACCUGAAUGUUCUCCCAUUAUCUACUGGCCUGCAAUGCCUUUCAAAAGGCGGUCCUCUAUAGAAUGAUGUACCUCGCCCUCUACCAGGCUGAGUGUUUGGGAAGAAGGUAGGGCGAUGGGGAUGCUGCCAUAUCCCUAGUUUCUCCGUGUUCCCACUCACUUCUCUUUUACAUCUUGCACACAGGACGUCUUUGUCCUUUUUUGGCUCUUUCCCCUUGAUUCGUUCAAAGACACUAGGAUGUGAUCCAGGGUCCUCUUCUCCAUUAUCUAUGACCAACUUGAAUUUUGGCAACUUAUUUUUGAAACCAGACGUCACCAUGCUCACUCCAAGUGGCUGUGGAAAAGGAUUUUCAUCCACUGCCAUCUUCUUCUUAUCGCCGAACGUAAUUCGUCCUGAUUCAAUGGCAUCCUACAAUACAUGGCAAAAAGCCAAGCAAUUGUUAGUCAAAUGUGACCAUGCAUUAUGCAACUUACAAUAUUUUUUACCCUUAAUUUGUUCAGGGUUUGGCAAUUUAUACUUAUAGCUCAGCCUUAUCUACUUAUCCCUAUAUAAUUUAUCAAAUAUAUGAUCAGCUUUGGUUACAUCGAACGAGAACGUUCUAGCCUUUAUGUUUCCAUCUUUCAUCGGCUCAUCUUUGCCCGAUGGUCUAGGCUUAGCCAUUAUAGGACAAGUAUACAUGUCUCCUUUGACCAAUUCGGCCAAAAACAUUUCGGCUUGAUCGUAUGACUCAUCGCUGAUGGUAUGGACGUCAAAAUUUGGGUCUUUGUAAUAAGUCCCUUUACUAGAAUUUUUCAUCUGCUCUUCUUCUCUUAUCAGUCAUUCAUACCGAAUCACAUUCGCACUCAACUGAAAAAGGUCAAGAAAUUCCUUGUCUUGGAAUUUCUUUUUUAAAUCAAAGCUCAAACAGCCCUGAGCGAUUUUGACAAAUUUCUUUUCGGGCAGAGGUACAAAACACUUGCUUCUUGCUAUUUUGAACCUUUGGAGAAAACUUUCUGCCCAUUCAUUUGGCAUUUGACGUAAAUUCGCCAAAUCAGCCAAAGUGACUUCAGACUCAGUUUUAUAAAACUGAGCGUGGAAUAAUUGUUCCAAUUAUUGCCAUGUUUGAACAGAGUUCGCUGGCAAGUUGAUGAACCCGGAGAAAGCUACUCCUGUUAAUGAACUAGGGAAAAGUCUCAUUUUAUGGUAAUCAGUUACAUCACCACUUUGCAAUGUGAAUCGCCCUAUGUGUUCUAGAGUAGACACCUCUCCUAAACUGGUAAACAGUGAGAAUUCUGGCACUUUAUAUCCUCUAGGCCAUGGAUAUGCUUGGUCUACCUAAUCAGGAUAUGACUUUGUGUAAGUCGACCUAAUGACAGGACGCAUCCCAAUACGAUUUCCAUAAUCUGAUUCCUCAACAUGACGUUGGGGUCAUAUGGAAUUCCUACAGGUUGGUUAACCAGUUGAUUUGCAUGAGGCCUGAUGUUUGGUCCUUGAUUGGCAACAAAGUUACCAUGAUUAGGGCCAUUACCAUUAGCCUGAACAUCUAUUUCCUCAUUAACACGUGGGGUAUUCUGUCCAUUGUUUAGGACAUUAUCUCUUACAUUUGGAUUACCCCCUAAGUUAGGCGUACCACUACCAUUGUUCUGAUUUGGCACUGCAUUACCCCCUUGGUUUGAAGUAGAGAGACCAGAAAGUGGUUCUAUCCCUUGAUUCGGAUUUAGGACUGAGGGAUUAUGUCCCACAAUUGUCCUAGUUUGAAAGUGGUUUGCAAGAGGCAUAAUCGGUUGACAUAUUUGGCCUACUAAUUUAUUCAUUGUUUCGUUCAAAGUGUUUAGUUGUUUGGCCAUGUUGUCAUAAUGUGCAUUCCCAUUUUGGGUAAAUCUUUCCAUAUUAUGAAUACUUCGAAGAUUUACCUGUUCAACGACAUCUUGUGUGAGUUCUCCAAGUAGUGCACGCAUGGUUCGAGGACUCAACUCUGUCAUUGGGUCGUAACGACUGUUACUACUCUGAUUCUGUCCAUCUGUUCGUGGAGAGGCAUGCUGCUCCUCAUAUCGCUUGAUCACAGACUGGACUCCUCCCUGAUUUACUGCUUCCUUAUCGGAUCUCUGAGGCAUAUUGUUUCACCUUUUGUAUUUUCAACACCAAACACCACUGUCCCACUGGGCGUGCCAAAUUGUUUCGUGCGUGUUCGUCGCUAACAAUUAAAAGGGAUUAGACGAUUGUGUAAGGGACAAACCUCUUGAGACAAAGUCCCAAAAAGGGGUGUUCUUUAUUGGCGAUAACUUUACAAUUGGAAAUUAAAAACAGAAUGCCUCCAAGGGGUGCAAGCACACGAGUUACUGAAAGAAGUGUUUAAAUCUAAGCUAAGAAAUUUAAAAUUACAUGUUCUCUGUUCGAGAGUUUUUGAUUCGGUUCUUUUGCUCUAUGUCUUUUCUUCCUUUUAUACUCCUUGGAUGAUCUCUUUGUGAUCAACCGCCUAAAAAAUUGCUUGAUUGUUCUAUUACUGCCCACUUUCCUCGUAAUGGCCAACUUUGCAUGGAACUGCCUUUGUUAACUGCUGUCAUUACUCUUUGUCGUUCAACCAUCUUUAAUUGAAUUCCUUGAAUCGUGGAACGUGAUGGGGCUGCUUAAUAAUUGCUUUGAUAACUGCGCUUCUUGAUAACCAUAACACUUCAUGUUUGCUAAGUCCUUGGGCAACUCGAAGGUUUGGGUGAGAAUAGAGUAGCAGCUCUGGCCGACUGCAUGGCAUUCCAUUCGCUCAGAUCCUAGGCGACUUGCAAGUUUGGGCGAUGGUGUUACCGCGUUCACGGGCCUCCCUAUUUGGGCCUUCAUCCUGAAUCGUCUGAUUGGGCUUCAUUCUUUGGGCUAUCUGAUUUGGGGAUCCUCCAAUUGGGCUUCAUUUCUUGGGCCGUUCGAUUUGGGCUGAAUUUUUAUGUGUCAACAGGUGCAAUUCCUAGAAUCAGAUCAAUAGCGAACUCCAUAUCUCUAUCUGAUGGUAGCCCUGGUAAUUCUUCUGGAAAUAUAUCAGGAAAGUCCUUGACCACUGGGAUAUCUUCAAGUUUUAGUUUGCUAACAUCCGUAUCAAUUACAUGAGCCAAAUAUGCAUUGCAGCCCUUGUUGAGUAAUCUUCUAGCGUCAAUAGAAUAUAUCACACAAGAUGGUAAAAUUCUGCGCUGUCCAUUGAAUAUAAUUUCAGGCUGUCCUGGCUGUCUAAACACAACCUCCUUUCAAAAAAAAUCAACUAAAGCUCGAUUUAUUGUAUGAAAGUCCAUACCUAAGAUAACAUCGAAAUCAUGUGUGUCAAGAGGUAUUAAAUUUUCCUUGAGCUCAUUCUCCUUUACCUUAAUCCCACAAUCUCGAUAUAUAUUAUUUGCUUUAGUGAUUCUCCUACUGGUGUAUUCACUGCCAAAUAACUGCCUAAAAGUUUUGGCUUUUGAUUUGCAUAUAAAGCAAAUGCAAAUGACAUAAAGGAAUGUGUAGAUUCAGGAUCAAUCAAAAUACGAGCAUUUCUAUCAAAAAUAAACAACAUACCCAUGAUAACAUCUGGUGACUCCUCUGCCACCUGCUGAGUCAUAGCAAAAAUCUUACCUUGGGUCUUUAGUUGUCCUGCCUGCCCUUUUGAUUUUGUACCUCUACCGCUUACGAUAUUAGACUGGGCCACACUGUUUGUACCUGCUCUAUUAGCUGAAUCAUCUGUCUGAGUCUGAUUCUGUCUUGUACUACCAGCACUCUGUUGAGGAAACAUCCUUUGUGCCAUGCCACCCUCCUGGAAUACAAUUGGACAAUUCCUUUUCAGAUGUCCUUCUUGGCCAUAUUGAUAGCAAACACCAACUCCCUUCAACUUUAAACACUCUCAAGGAUGAGAUCUUCCACGUAAUUGGCAAGAAGAAAAUCUAGCACUAGUAGAACUCUCUCCCUGUCUCGGAGUAAAUGAUCUCUGGAAAGAACCCUGAGUAUAAUUACGACUGGCCAAUGGUUGUUGUACAGUACUGGGACUGAAUCUGGGAUCCUGACUUCCUCGGAGUCGAGAUUUGAAUUGGCCUGAACUAGACACACUAGGUCGAAAUCCUCUACUAUCCCUCCGUGGUGGUCUAUAGCUAGAAGCACUUGCUAUUGUCUGACUACCGCUUGCUUUGAACAUUGUUUGUUCUCUACCAUUUGGCCUAUCAGAAAUGCUCUUUUCUACGCUCGAAGUUGAUCCUAAUAAUUUACCAAAUUCAUUCCAGCCUGCCAGCCUGCAGCUGUUACUACUGACCUGAUUUCUUCCCUUAACCCAUUUUCAAACUAUCUGUAUUUACCUAUUUCGUUGCUUACCAGAACUUGGGCAUACUUUGAAAGUUCAAUAAAUUUCGCCUGAUAUUCUGCAAUAGUCAUCUGGCCUUGUACUAGUUUCAGAAAUUCCUCAUGCUUUGCAUCUUUAUAGGAUCGAGGGUAAUAGGCAUCAUAAAAGAUACAACGAAAAUCUGUCCAAGUAAUGAUGGAGAAGGGUCUAGAUAUGUGCUCUGUAUCGACUGCCAUCAAUCAUACGCAUCCUCCUCUAAUAAGAAGGUGGCAAGACACAACUUCCGAUCGUCUGAGCAGCCCGUAACGUCAAAUACCCUCUCUAUCUUUGUCAUCCAUGCCUGCGCAACUACAGGAUCUAUUGUGCCAGUGAACACUUUAGUCCCAAACUUUGUAGCCCUUUCAAUACUAAAAUCUCUAUUAGUAUUACGCAUAGCAGAUACAACGACAAUAGCAAUUCUUUCAACAGCAAUAGGAUCAGUUCCAAUCACAUUUCCCUAUCCCUGUUGUUCAGGAGGCUGGUGAACUCAUUCAUCGACUCUCUCGGACUCUCUCAAUUCAUCUCUAUCAAGAGCAAUCUAAGACUGGGGCAACAUAUCUUGGAGCCUACGAGUUUUGCCAUCACGAGGGAUGACUCACCUACAGUUAUGCAUGAUAUGCUAAAUAUCAGAAUGUAUGCAUGUACAAUGCAAACCCAUGAACUCUAAUGCAUGCUCUAAUACCAAACUGACACACCCCGCCUCGUGUAACACCACUAGAUCCAGACGUGGCAUGCGCCGAUGAUAGAUACCAACUAAAAGUCGGACCCACGGUCAAGGCUACUACAAAUACAAUAUAUCACUUUUUAUACAUCAUUUUUCUAACAAAAUUUCGGCAUUAUCUCCUCUGUAAACAGGACUAACCAACCUGUGAUCAAUUUCACACAAAUCCCAAACUAUAGCACAACACAAUAAAGAUAAGCUAAAAUCUCCACUUUUACCAAGAAAUACAAUGAAAUAUACAUAUGGAUACAUAAUACAUAGUGAGUCCCAUAACUAUCUACAAGUGAUGCAAAAUCACAUCUAGAUAUGAACAUGCGACCCAAAACACUAACUACAUGUUCUAUGAAGUGAGUCAUACUAACAAACUCUGUUGUAUGGCUCUGACUCCAAAAUCAAGACUCAACUCCAAAAGAUGCCCAGAUUCUCAACUGCUGCCUGAUAAGGAAAAACGUGGAAAAAUAUAUAUGAGUUGAUAGCUCAGUGAGUGGAGAAGUUCAAAAUAAAUAUACUUUUUCAUUUAUAUAUUUUUAUUGAAAAUCAAAUUAAUAUCAUUUGAUAAUUCACAAGCUACCAUCAUGUAAUUAUAGCCAAAAAGCGAAAUAUUCACAUAAGGUCAUAAAAAUAUCAUCUUAAAAUCAUGAUAUAACAUCAGCGAAUAAUCAUGCUAUAAUCUCAUCACAUCAAACGUUCUGAAAAAUCCACCAAAAAUGUACCCUCUGACUAAAAUCUGUAAUCCACCCCUCGGGUUAAGAACUUUCGCCAUGGGCCUUUGGCCCCUCCAUGAACAAAAGUUGGUCUCAAAGACCUCUCAUAAUCAAUUCUAGAACAUGGCCAAGGCCCCUUUGUGAACUAUAUGUACACGAUCAAGACCCUCCGUGUAGGAUAGAACACAGCCAAGGCCUCUCUAUGAAUUAGAAGAAAUACAUAAUCAUGGGUACUUUUCUUGCCGAUCUCAAUAUUGCAUAUCUCACAUACCAAACAAAUCUCAAUAUCACAUGUCUUACAUACCAAGACACAAAUAUGCCAUAAAUAAUCUUUGAUAUUCCACAUGUAUCAUAAUAAAAGAGAUUUCCAUAAUAACCAUGUAAUUCAAACACGUAAUUGCAUAUAAUUGCACAUACUUUAACAAUAUACUUAAUUUAUAAAUAUUUUAAAAAUAUUUAUAUUUUUCCACUCACAGAACUAUGUACGCCAAAAUCAAUUCGAUUGGUACGCUGUCCCGAUAUCCGUAUCGCCGCCUGAAAUAUAAUAUAAUUUUUAAAACAAUUAACUAAUUUAAGUAAUUUCAAUAAUUAAAUAGGCGAUACCCAAACAUAAUUAUUUCACGUUUUGGCAUUUUCUAAAGUCUCUUUAAUUACUAAAAUUAAUUUUUCUUUCAUUUUACUCAAUUUCAUAGUUUAUUACACUUAACCCUUUCAAUAAAAUUAAAUUUAAACUAACAAUCUAACAACUAUAAAAUCAAACAUAACUUAACAAUAAGUAACUUUUUACUUACCUUUCAAAAUUGAGGAAUUUAAGUCUAAUAGUAUAACCCACUUAAUUCCUAACACAUUGACAAAUUUUUCCUUUUUUUCUUCUUUUUCCUUUCUCUCUUCUUCUUUCUCUCUGUCUCAUUUUCUUUCGUGUGUGUAAUGUGUGUGUUUUCUUUUAAUUUGGUUUUGGGUUGUGUGUGUGUAUAUAUAUAUAUAUAUAUAUAUAUAUAUUUCUAUUGGAAUGAUUUGUUUUGGCUUCCACCGCCUGCCCUUUUUGUUUUUAUCUUUUGAUUUUUUUUUAAAUUUUUUUUAAGUUUGACUUUUCUUUUGAAUUGAUUAAAGUAUUACACUUAAUCACUUCUAUCUAAACCCAUUUAUUUUUUCUACUCAAAAUAAAAAAAAACUUUCAGUGGUAUCAGAGCUACGUUCGAUUGAUAUUGGCGUAAGCAUAUAUAUUUAGAAAGGCGCUAUCACGAGUAAGGUUCGAGUUACUACGAGAAAUGAUCGGAGUAAUCAAAAUAUGCACCGAGGAGGAGUAUUAAUGGUUGUUAUAUAUUUUAAGAUUACUCUAGAAUUCACUAGAAUUGCCUUGGGGAGCAAGAAAAAAGAAAUCCCUAGAAUUUCUUGAUAAGCUAGCAAAAAUACUAAUUUCAAAUUAAAAAAUCAAAAUUUUCUAGAAUGUCUUGAAAAACAAGUAAUGAAAAAAUCUGAAUUUUCUAGAAUAGUUUCCACCACUAUUUUGUCUGUAUAAAUAGGGGCUACCACCUUCAAAAUGUUGUAACAAAACAAAAAAUUGAAAAGAGCAUCCAAACUCUUGCAUUGUAAAUCAAAAGCCACUUUGUAAAACUUUGAUAAAAGUAUUUUCUUCCUCCUUCAACUAUCUUGUUCAAUUAAAUUACUCCUAUCAUUUCUAUCCCACAUAAAAUCUACUUAAACACUUCUAUCUAAACCCAUUUAUUUUUUCUGCUCAAAAUAAAAAAACCUUUAGGAAUGUGACGGUGUAAAAGGAAGGAUUCUUAUAAUGCACAAGAUAGACAUGAAGAUUCAACCAAAUCAGCUGUAAUUAGCUUCUUACAUAACCCUUUUUUUUUUUCAGAAUCUUGCACAAUUUCCUGAUGUGUAUACUUUUCAUGUUUUAUUGCGUCAUAUACAAGGUCUUUGACUUGAAAACUUACAUAAUGUUCUUUGACUUGAAAACUUACAUAAAGUUAGUCUCCAUUUCAAGUAACAUUUUCAAGAGAGUGCACAUCAUGAAUAAAUUCAAAUGGUUGUUAUGAUAUACCUAUUUCUUUUCUGAUGUAAGUAAGCUGGAAAGAUGUUUGUAUUUCUUCAGCUCCAAAAUUAAAUAGUCCUCAUUCUGCUUCCCAACGUUAUCUAAAUAAUCCUUUUUAUCAUAUUCUUUAACUGAAAGAUUAUUUGUUUCUUUACUUUUUCUCAGACUCAUUUUCUGCACACGUUCUUCAAUAAAUUACUUCUCAACAAAAAGGUAUUUUCUUCUGUGUGGAAAGAAGACUUCUUUCCACAAGCUCACUGUGUCUUGUAUACACAUCCACAAAUUUGUGGACCCAUAACUUAUUACUUACUUUUUACGCAGCAUUCUUUGGAACCUGCAUCUGAAAUUCUAACUUAAACACUCCGAAACGAGGUUUUAUGUGUUCAUAAAAAAAUUAGUCUUCAAAACACUGUCUUUGAUGCAGAUCAGAUUCCUUUUUUUUUAAUGAAUGGAUGGUAUGUUCAUAAUUUUCAUAAAAGAGUGGCGACGAGACAUGUACCUAGAUUUUUGUUGGCUCCAAUACCAUGCCGUACUACAUCAUCUAAAAGCUUAAGCUGUUGACUGGGGACAAAUUUAUUCAUUUCAAUUUAAUAUUAAUGGUCUUUAGGGUAUUUAUUCUUUUGAGAACAUAUGAUGCAGAUUCCUGAAAGUGUGGUUGACCUACGCUAGAAUUAACAAUGUGCUGCUUAUUGUUGGGGUACAUCCCGCGAUUUACCUCCCUCACAAAGUUCUAGGGGCGGAACGUUGGGGACCCUCAAGGUUGGGGUUCAACCUUUUUUUUUUUUUAACUAUGUGCUGCUUAUUUUCCAACGUGUUGAGCAGUCAAGAAAAUCCUUGCUGCAAUGCAAACAGGGUCUAUAAAUAAGAAAAUCCAUACAAGGCCUCGUUGAAAUUUGAAAAAGUUCAGUGUUUCAUACCGUGGAAAGGGAACGUUGACCAAUUUGAUUGGGGAUGCAUACUUCAAAUGGAAUCGAAUUUCUCGAAUUGGAAUCGAAUUUAUCACUUUUAUAAUUAUUUAUUUAUUUAUUUAUUUAUUUAUUAUUAUUAUUAUUAUUAUUAUUAUUAUUAUUAUUAUUAUUAUUAUUAUUUUUACAAUUUAUUCACCCUGAUUCUGCUAUAUAUUUUUCCUUUGAUUGAGAUUUUAACUAGGAAUUCUGAUGUAUAUUCAGAACGGUCUCAUUCUCAAUUGAAAGAAUCUAUUGAGGAACAUGGCCCCUAGCCUUGGUAAUAUCAAUAACAUUAAUUGUAUUAUAAAGGAUGGGUAAGACAGCAUAAAUCAAUAGAUUCUUUCAAUUGAGGAUGAGACUAUUCCGAAAUCUUUUAACCAUCUUCUUCAUCAGAACAAGGUGGAUUUCAUUGAACAGUUCAAUGAGAAGCUUCUUGUCAAACAAAGGAACAAGAACACCAAAUUCUUGAUGUAAGUCGUUGUUUUUUGUCUUAUAUUUGUAUAUUACUUUGUAGCAUGCUUAGCACGAAGACUAGAUACCAAUGAACUGUAUGAAGAAAGAAAGUGGAGUUAACAAACUUACUUGGUUAUGUCCCAUAGUGCGCACCAAACAUGCACUUGAUGUUUACAUCCUAUAAAAUCUAUACGAGUCCGCAACUUGGACAAUAGAUUCUUUCAAUUGAGGAUGAGACUAUUCCAAAAUUUUUUAACCAUCUUCUUCAUCAGAACAAGGUGGAUUUCAUUGAACAGUUCAAUGAGAAGCUUCUUGUCAAACAAAGGAACAAGAACACCAAAUUCUUGAUGUAAGUCGUUGUUUUUUGUCUUAUAUUUGUAUAUUACUUUGUAGCAUGCUUAGCACGAAGACUAGAUACCAAUGAACUGUAUGAAGAAAGAAAGUGGAGUUAACAAACUUACUUGGUUAUGUCCCAUAGUGCGCACCAAACAUGCACUUGAUGUUUACAUCCUAUAAAAUCCAUACGAAUCCGCAACUUGGAGUUAAAGUUAGCAUAAGUGAAUUCCUGUUAAAAUAUUUUGUACAUGUACAUAAGGCGUUCCUUUUUCAUUUGCUAUUUUCAUUCGUUCUCCCACAUUUUUCAACACUAAAAUCAUAUGACUUCAUCAAUUUCAGCACGAGUAAAAAAAAUACUACUCACAGCUUCAUCUUCAUCAACUUUUUCCCAUGAUAAUAUACAAGUUUCACUUCUUUUUGUGCUCGUAUUUUUGUUUAGGUUUGGCAAUUAGAUAAGCUUAGCUGCUUUUAUUUCUUUCUCGUCCAUUUUUUUAGUCUA